rnacentral:lncRNA from 1 species
UCAAUCAAUCUGAUCUCCUAGGUCUCCCAAUCAAUCUCCCAGGACUCCCAGGUCUCCCAGGACUCCCAGGCCUCCCAGGCCUCCCAGGACUUCCAAUAUCCCUUGCUGCUGAAAAAACUUCAUCUAAGUCCUCCAACUCCAAAACUUCAAAGAAUGGGCAACUAGGUGAUAAUAGAGAAGUAGCCCAUCCAGAUUCUCCACCAGCAGGUUCAGCACCAUGAUUCCCAACCUGCCACCUAUCCUGGUUUCUGUUGGGUUCCUAUCCUAUUGGGCGUAACCCGUUUAAGUAUAAUAAGCCCAUUUAGGUCUUCUGAGUUGUGGUUUCCUGAACUUCUAUGUAUAUGGUCUCUUCCUUCUCCUUGAGAACUAUGUGAAAUAUUAAGAGAACUAUGUGAAAUAUUGAAUAUUUAAGUUUUAUCUUCUUUUCCCAUUUUCUCUGUAAUUUUCCCUCUUUCUUCUCUAACGAGAAUGUGUCAUGCAUAGACAGCUAGUCAGCUACGAGUACGGUAAUAUAAUACGAUUCAAUUAUUAGUUAAAUACAAUGAUUAUCGUUGAAACUCAAAAUUUCAGGACAAGGGAGUCGCAUGGAUUCAGAUAUAAAAAUUAUAUAUAUAUAUAUAUAUAUAUAUAUAUAUAUAUAUAUAUAUAUAUAUAUAUAUAUAUAUAUAGGGAAUUGUUAUUGGCACUUCAAAAAUCUCAUUCUACACUCCAAAUUUUCUAUGUUUGGAAAGAAAAAAACAUUUGUGAGGUGUGUAGAAUUAGAUUUUUGGAGUGACAAUAACAAUUCCCUAUAUAUAUAUAAAUUAUUAUUGAAUAUUACCCAAGGAUGAAAUAUGUGAUGUUUAUUAACUAAUGAAAUGUGCUUGAAAACUUUGAGUUUUAAUGAUAAGGACAAAAUAAAGGGUAAAGUGAAUAGUACCAGGAUUGACUUUUUAAUGUAAAAAUGUAGUUUUUCGUUAAAAUGAACAGUACCAGGAACUUUUCGUUAAAGUUCCCUUAUUAAUAAGCAUUUUAGGAAUAUCUCUGACUAUGUUUAUUAACAAUUCCCUAUUAUUGAAUAUUAUUGAAUAUAACCUUUUUCAUCCUUGGGUAAUAUUCAAUAAUAAUUUAUAUAUAUAAUAUUAUAAUAAUUUAUAUAUAUAUAUAUAUAUAUAUAUAUAUAUAUAUAUAUAUAUAUAUAUAUAUAUAGGGAAUUGUUAUUGUCACUCCAAAAAUCUAAUUCAGGGACGUCGUCGUUCUGUAAAUUAUUAAACCAUUCAAAUAUGCGAUGUUUAUUAAUAAGCAUUUUAGGAAUAUCUCUGACUAUGUUUUUAGAUUAACAUGCGCUUAGCAACAGAAAAUUGUCAUGGAGAAGCGGUUGCCCAAACUUAAGGCUGCAAUUUUGAGUGCUCAGAAGUGCUUGGAAGAUUGCAACUAUGUUAGGGGAUUGGUGAGUGACCAUCAUACGCGGAGUUGUUCUGCAUUUUUUAGUUGUACAGUAGUUGUAUAGACAGUCCAUUUUUCUACGUUAGCAGUACAAUUUCUUUUUGUUUUCAUCUUGUUUUUCCUCUCUUUAAUUGUCUGAACUGCAAUACGUUUCUGCAGCUUGAUGAAUGGUGGGACUCCCACCCACCAUAACCGUUGCUCAUCCCUAGAUAGGAGCAACCAGCAACAAUUGUUGUUGACUGGGUCUGAGUCGAUGGAUUAAAUGUUGCUGCCUGGCAUGAUCAUGUGAAGCAGCUCCUUGAAUUUUAUGAUCAGGAGCACUUGUGAGUAUUAUUCGAGUACUCAGCAAACAAGAUUUUAUGGGGAUCUAACUGGUCUUCCUGUUGGCAGUCCCACAUUGAUGGGGGAAGUCAACAAGGGUGGCUAUAAAUAUGAUUACGCUACUCUAACUAAUACCAAGGUUUUUUUUGGUAAAACCCCACACUUGACGGAUUGGGCAGGUGAUAAAGUUGGGGACUGUAUCGGUCUUAUUAGAGUGGCCAGUUGGGGACUCUAUAGGUCUUGUUAGAGUGGUCCCUGGGUCCGUCGAUCUCUACGAAGCCCCUUGUUUCAUUCAUUCUCGCAUUGCUAAAAACACAUUUUCAUUCAUUCUCGCAUCGUUAAAAACACCUACAAAGGCUUGGUAGAAACUCAAGCUCGACUUUAUGCUUGGAAGGUGAAUUCAUUAUCUCUGGCUGGUCGCGCCACUUUUGUUCAGUCUAUGACCUCCGCUGUCCAGUAUAUGCUUUGCAGACAAUAUUACCAAUUACCAUUACAGAUAACCCCGAGUGUCAAAGAUUUUCCCAAGGCAAGAGAAGUUUGGCAAAAGUUGGAAAGUAUAACCAAUAGUCAGACCACAUUAAUUUUCAUGAUUGGCUUCAUUUUAAUUUCACCACUAAAUCACUCAUAUUGGGGGGUUUAGAGUAGAUGUUAGUAUUUUCUGUUGCUUGUUGGUUUAUUUGGUAUUGGCGAAAUACAUUUAUUUUCGAGCAAGAUUUUGCAAUGUUAGAUGAGCCUACCGUCGAUAUUUGUGCAUAUUUUCAUGAAUUGUUAGCCUUCUAAUACUCACAAAAUUGAUAAAUGCCGAAAGACUGAAUCUUUGCUCCACUGGGAAGCUCUUCAUUCAAAAUUGAUUUACACUUGAUGGAAAAUAAUGCUCCUUACAUAACUAACCGGCAGCCGUGCCGGAGGCAAUGUGUGUAUGGAAUCAUAUACUGAGGAUAUUGUCACUUCUAUGUUACGAUUUGAGGAGAGAAAGGCGGAGUAGGGAAGCCGGCCGAGAGGAACAGCUCCUGAUCUUAAGAAGGAUAUGUUGUAUCAUAAACUUAUAACUUGGUCCCUUAUUGAAUGAAAGGGCAGGCUUCUGCUUUGAAUAAUACCACUUCAGACUUCAGUCCAAUUAUGUCUUCCUGUUCUGAAAAUUGACAACUCCAUGUGAUAACAAAACAUCUCAUGUAUUAUUGUACGGUUGAAAAUUGCUGCUUUACACUAUACAUUUAACGUGAUUAGAAAUUCCAUGAAAAUUUACAAACAAUACCAGGGAUGUGUCAUAGGCUGAAAAGGAGUAAGGAUGUUUGUACAUAGGCUGAAAAGGAGUAGGGAUGUUUGUACGUUCCUUCCCCACAGCAAAACCACAUAGCAAAAGGAUUACAAACACAGCUAACAAAUCAAUAAACACAAAAUCAUCAUUAGGUCAACGAUCAUAUGAUUAUAUCAGAUGCACGUCAAUUAAAUAAUUCUCAUGUUCAACUAAGGUCACUAAAAGCCCCCUAUUUGGCCUAAUUAGAUAUGGUCUUCGUGGUGAUAGGAUAUUUGUAAUAUAGCUCAUGACUUAAAAAAAAAAAUUCGGAUUUAAACCCUUGUGGUGAUAGGGUAUUUAGAAGACAAUCCAUUUCUAUUGAGCCACAAUGAAGGGAGUGCAGAAAUUCACAGUUUUGUUUUUGGGAUUAACAAAGAAAUAACAGAAAUUUGGUUUUUGGGCUUAAAUCACAACGGACUUCACCACAAGAAUAUAAAUCUGAUUUUUUUUACCACAUGGGCUAUCUUCCGAAUACUCUAUCAUCACGAGGACUAUUUAUACAAUUAGGUCAAUGUUUUUUUAAGGUGAAUAUCACAUGCUAAAACGGAGAAGGAUUCUCUCAUCUUCUAAUCUCUCUCCCAUUCCCUCCUCUCCUACUUGAACAAUUAUGAUUAAGUUAUGUCAAUAUUUUAUAUUGAUAUUUUUAUAAAGAUAAUAAGACAAAAAACAAUGUGUUGAUGCACAAAAUCAGCGAGGACUUUGGUACAACAGAAAGUGUCAGGUUUGUGACAUUCGCUUGGUUGCUUCGAUCACUAGUGAAGAUAAGUACGUAAAUGAAUAGGGACAGGGAAGCAAACACAAGAUGUACGUGGUUCACCCAAAUCGACUACGUCCACGGAGUAGAGGAGUUCUCAUUAAUUGUGAAGGGUUUACACAAAUACAUAGGUUCAAGCUCUCAUUUUUUGAGUUCUAGUGAAUAGUUUAGUACAAAAUGACAUUAGAUAUUAUUGUGGGAGAAUGAUCCCUAUUUAUAGAAGAAAGUUUCUAGUUUUGUUCUAACAUUGACACGUGUCGUGUUGUGAUUGGCUUCUGAUGUUGACACGUGUCGCGCUGUGAUUGGCUUCUGAUGUCGACACGUGUUGCAUUGUGAUUGGCCUCCUGGUUGAAGGGAAGCUCUUCUGGGUCCUUGACGUAUAACGUUGACCGGUGCUCAGUAGUUUCGGGAUUGGUCAAGUAUGGUACAAACAGUGCUCCCCUAAGUUCCCGAGUGAGGGAAGCUCCUCGGUUGGGGACUUGCAAGAUCCAAGCCACUGAGUAAUCACGAAACUUCUAAGUACCGAAGUGUGGUAUCAUUUUCACGCGCCUUAUCUGUCUCAUAUGUAGAUGUGGCAUCUUCUUUGGAAGUACUUUUCCUUCAUCCAUGGGUGGUAUCUUUAACCGAUGAAGAUGCACAAGGUAAUGUAUCAAUUUCACUUGAAGCUUACUUAUAGUUUCGGGCUUGGUCAAGUGCGAUACAAACCCUAUAGUAGGAGUCCCCCAAGUCGCCGAGCUAGGAGAUCUGCCGAAAGAGGUGACAGACAAGGUAAGCAGUCAAACUUCCAAGCAAGCAACCCAGGAUCAGAGGUUCGACUUCGGCUUCCGGUUGAUUGUUCUCCUUCUCCUUGUCUCUCAUUCAGCUGCCGGGAUAAGGAGAGGCAAAUGGAGAAGAGAUGAUAUGAGAUACUUUUGCUUUUGAAGAAGUAACUUUCCACAGGCUUAUUCUUGAACUGUGCUGGAGGGUUUUCUGGUUCCCUUCAGAGUAUAAGGCCGACUCAAGAAUUUGAGGGUCAAAACAAGUCCAUCAAAUCUAGAGUACGUUCGACCUUGAUGAUAUGGGAUACUUUUGCUGUUGACGGAAUAGUGAAUGUGGUAUGGAAAAGUGUCGUGCUGUAGUGAUCUGUUUCAGCUCACCGUUAAACCUUCUGCUUUAAUCUUUUGCAUGGCAGAAGUGGUGUGCAACCUUUGCAUUUAAAUGGUCCUUCAGAACAUUCCUUCAUAGUGACUCAUCCACGCUUGGCAGCUUCAGUGUAAAGAGCCAAUAUCUGAUCAACUGUCAUGAGGUAUGUGCCGGUGGAAUUCAUGACCUUGACAGCAGUUGAGGAUGAGUUCUCGAGAGCAAUGCUAAGUAAGCAACCAGGCAAAGGUCUCAGGCAGUCAGUUCCAGAUUGGAGGUUUGAUUUCAGGUUCCGACUGACUGCUCUCUUUCUCUUGUCCUGCAGGUGUGGACAAGGACGAAGACAAGGACAGGGAGAAAGCAUAAUAUGAGAUACUCUUACUUUCGACCCUGAUGAUAUGAGAUACUCUUGUUCUUGGUGUGGCUUAUUUGCUGAGGUAUUAUCGGGGGGAAAUAAAGCUGAGUAUUUCGAGAGGUUAUGUUGAGGGUGCAUUCUCGAAUGUGAGAAAGGGUUGAGCAUUUUUGUAGGUUUGCCUGUCCGUUGAGGAUGGAGGUCGAUGUAUAUAGGGAUUUCCCAAUAACAAGUAGUAAUGCUAUUCCUUUAUCCUUCUUGGUCACAACAAUGUAGUGGGAGCUGCCAGCUUCACGUGUUUUAACUUUGUCAGAGCACUUUGAAAAAUUGGUAUGUGGUAUCUGGAAAGCUGAUGUUGCGUGUGAAGAUUACAGACAAGCUUUAUCUAAGGAAAUCUGGCUCUCGAAGUUCUGAGAGCUGUGCCUCUUCGGUUUUCGAACAAGCAAUCCCGUCGGGGAUCUAGCUCUCGAGAUUCGGAAAGCGGUGCAGCUUCGGUUUUUGAGAAAGUAAUUAUGUUAGGAGUCUUUUCUCGAAGGUGAGUAAAGGUUGGACGUUCUUGCCAGCCUGUCUUGCCACAGAACACGGAGGUCGACACACAUAGGGGCUUUCCAGUUGUCAAGCAGUGGUGCUGUUCCUUUACCCUUGUGGGUAAUAGUAGGGUAGCUGGAACUUCUAAAUUCUCGUGCCUAAACUUUGUCAGAGAUCUUUGGCAAAGUUAUAUGUGGUACCCGAGGAGUUGAUGGUGCGUGUGGAGAGUGGUGAUUGAACAGUAAGAUUCACGUGCUUUUUAUUUCACCAGAAAUCUUCGACAGAUUGCCCAUAAUUUCCGCAAAGCUGAGUGUGCAUGUGACAGGUGCUGACGAGGCUGAAAAAGCAGGUGCUUCUUCGAUUUCUGAGAUCGGCCCUCGUGGUCUCUGAGCAACUCAGCUUUCGAGAAAGCAAACGCCUCUUCGAUUUCUGAAGCUCUGUCAAGUGUAGAUUUUUAUAGAGGUUGGCAUUAAGUUCCACAUCACACUUGAAUCUCCACCAGUAGAAGCUCCCUUCUUGCACUUCUAAGAUCUUGAUUUGUCUGACCUCUUCCCUCUUCAACACCUUUGAAAAUGUCUAGCUCCUCUGACCGUCGUUUUGACUUGAACCUUGGAGAAGAGACAGCCACGCCUUCUCCAGACAACAUAUGGCGCCCAUCCUUCAUAUCCCCUACUGGUCCUCUUACCGUUGGGGAUUCUGUGAUGAAGAAUGAUAUGACCGCUGCAGUGGUGGCCAAGAACCUUUUCACUCCCAAAGAUAACAUACUACUUUCCAAACGGUCUGAUGAGUUGGCUGUUAAGGAUUCUUUGGCUCUUAGUGUUCAGUGUGCAGGUUCUGUGUCUAAUAUGGCCCAACGCCUAUUUGCUAGAACCCGCCAAGUUGAAUCAUUGGCUGCUGAAGUGAUGAGUUUCAAACAGGAGAUUAGAGGGCUCAAGCAUGAGAAUAAACAGUUGCACCAGCUUGCACAUGACUAUGCUACAAACAUGAAGAGGAAGCUUGACCAGAUGAAGGAAUCUGAUGGUCAGGUUUUACUUGAUCAUCAGCGGUUUGUGGGUUUGUUCUAAAGGCAUUUAUUACCGUCGUCUUCUGAGGCUGUACUGCGUAAUGAAGCUCCAAAUGAUCAACCUCCGAUGCCUCCUCCUUCUGGGGUUCUGUCCAGUACUGAGGCUCCGGAUAACCACCCUUCGGUGCUUUCUCUUUCUGGGGCUCUACCGACUGCUGAGACUUCCCCUGAGCAACCUUUGUGAAGGCUCCCUCUUGUUUGUUUAUUUUGAUUCAUGUAUAUGUACAUAUUUGUAACUUAUCGGAAAUAUCAAUAAACAAGAUUAUCUUCAUUUCAACGUAUUGUGUUAAAUACACCAAGGCAUUCUUCACUAAGUUCUUUGAAUUUUUCCUUUUGUUGAAGCUUGUAUGUUGAAACUUUGUGAGUGAAGCAUGUAGGUUGAGGUAGUGCUCCCUUAAUUUCCCGAGUGAGGAAAACUUCUCGUUUGGAGACUUGAAAAAUCCAAGUCACUGAGUGGUCGUGAGACUUCCGAGUAUCAAGGUGCAGUAGCAUAUGGUAGGAGUCCCCCAAGUCUCUGGUCGAGGGAGUUGACAAAUGAGGCAUUUCCUUUCGAAGUGGUAGCCCAAAACUCCUUCUUCAUAUAUAUUUGUUAUGAAAGUUGUUAGGCCCAAAGAAGAGGAGGCCUAGGCAAAUUUUUUUUUUUUUGAAUUUUCAAAUUUCCGGAUUUUUGAAUUUUCGAAUUUCCGAAAAAUAAAAAAUAAAAAUAAUAUAUAUAUAUUUAAAAGCUUUGUAGGUGAAGCUUUGGUGUUGAAGAUUUGUAGGUGAAGCUUUGAGGUUGAAGCUUUGUUGGGCACCAUGAAUUGAUUUUGCUUCACACUAUCUUGAUGAAGAGUGUGUGAAGCUUUUAUAUGUUUUGGUGUUGAAAUUUUGUAUUGUAGGUGAAACUUUGGGGUUGAAGCUUGAUAGGUGAAGCUUUGGUGUUGAAGCUUUAUAGGUGAAGCUUUGGUGUUGAAAGCUUUAUAGGUGAAAGCUUUGGUGUUGAAGCUUUAUGAAGCUUUAUGUGAAGCUUUGGUGUUGAAGCUUUAUAGGUGAAGCUUUUGUUGGCACCAUAAAUUAAUUUUGCUUCACACUAUCUUGAUGAAGAUAGUGCGAAGUUUUGGAGAUUGAUAUUUGUCCUCCAUUGAUGAAGCUUUUGUUGGCACCAUAAAUUGAUCUUGCUUCACACUAUCUUGAUGAAGAUAGUGCGAAGCUUUUGAGAUUGAUAUUUGUCCUCCAUUGAUGAAGCUUUUGUUGGCACCAUAAAUUGAUUUUGCUUCACAGUAUCUUGAUGAAGAUAGUGCAAAGCUUUUGAGAUUGAUAUUUGUCCUCCAUUGAUGAAGCUUUUGUUGGCACCAUAAAUUGAUCUUGCUUCACACUAUCUUGAUGAAGAUAGUGCGAAGUUUUGGAGAUUGAUAUUUGUCCUCCAUUGAUGAAGCUUUUGUUGGCACCAUAAAUUGAUCUUGCUUCACACUAUCUUGAUGAAGAUAGUGCGAAGCUUUUGAGAUUGAUAUUUGUCCUCCAUUGAUGAAGCUUUUGUUGGCACCAUAAAUUGAUUUUGCUUCACACUAUCUUGAUGAAGAUAGUGCAAAGCUUUUGAGAUUGAUAUUUGUCCUCCAUUGAUGAAGCUUUUGUUGGCACCAUAAAUUGAUUUUGCUUCACACUAUCUUGAUGAAGAUAGUACGAAGCUUUUGAGGAUUGUAGUUGUGUUCCAUUGUUGAAGCUUUGUUUUUCCUUUUUUUUUUUUUUUUUUUUUUUUUUUUUUGGGAAAACUAGAAAUUUGAAAAUGUGGGAGAGACAACAUAUACAAAUUUUGCUUCCAUACUGUUAAGCGAGAGAUUGUGAUGCAAGCCACAUCUUGUAGUAGUCGAAGGUUUGGAUGAACCAUAUAAAUUGAAUUUGCUUCGAACAGUCUUGAUCAAGAGCGUGUGAAGCUUUCUAUGAGUUGUAGUGUUUGCAUUGUUACAGAGGAGAAAUGUCUGAAGCAGAUGCAAGAGGGCUGAAGAGCUUGAUCUUCGUAUACCAUGCACUGAAGCCAUUGUUGGCUUGCAAUAAGACUUUGUUGGUGACUAUAGCUCUUGUUAGGCAUAAGUGCUCCCUUAGUUGAGUUGUAAAGCUUGAUGGUUUUUGAUUAUUUGUGAAUGCUAGGAGUUCACAUGUACAAGUUGUACCACUCGUCUUCUGGUUAGUGGAAUGAAGGGUGGGUUGCUUUCAUCACUUGGUUGGUGGUACGAAUGUGAAUUCCUUAAUCACCUUUCAUCACAUUUCAUCACCUGGUUGGUGACAUGAAGGAGAGUACGCGUUGUACAUUUCAUCACCUGGUUGGUGGCAUGAAGAUGAGUUCCUUCUUCACCUGAUUGGUGAUAAGGGUGGCAAGUUUCCAAAUAAUAUUAGAGUACGGGUUGUACAUUUCAUCACCUAGUUGGUGGUACGAAGGUGAGUUCCUUCAUCACCUAGUUGGUGAGAAUAAGGGCAAGGUGUCGAGGCACAUUGUGGCAAAUGUCGAAUGACACAAAGUGUGUUGAACCCUUUCGAAGCACAGUUGGCUUAUGUAUGGAUGUGUUGGAAUGUAUGAUGUUUAUGCAUGAAUGUGUUGGAAUGUAUGAUGUUUAUGUAUGAAUGUAUUGGAAUGUAUGAUGUUUAUGUAUGAAUGUGUUGGAAUGUAUGAUGUUUAUCCUUUGUAUAGUCUUGUUGACACAUACUUAGAUUUUGUUUUGUAUUAGAAACAUUUGCGUUGAAGCUUCAACACUUGAGUGUUUCAUUGCUCAGAAUGUAAAAGAGUUUAGGGCCGAGUUGGCUAAAUCACCUUUUUAUUGAAUUCAUACCAAAUGGUUUUGUUACAUAGGAUGCCGAACGGCUGUAGCUUAACACUUGUACAAUGUGAGUCUAUUUGUAAUAGUACUUCAAGUCGUCAGCAUUCCAUGGAUGGCCAAAAGUCUUGCUGUCGGAGCUUCUGAGCUUGUAGGAGCCAGGGCGGCUGAUGCUGACGACCUCGAACGGUCCAUCCCAGUUAGGACUGAGUGUUCCUUCAUUCGGGACUCUAUCACAGAGUAAUCUUUUCUUCAGUACCCAGUCUCCACUUUGAAUGAGCGAGGUUUGACCCUUGAGUCGUAGUAGUUGGAGAUGCGCUGCUUGUAGGCGACAUUCCUCAGAUGAGCCUGAUUUCUAUGUUCCUCGACUAGAUCCAGGUUGAGGGUGAGUUGUUUGUCGUUUUCACUCUGCAUGUAGUUCUGGAUUCGGUAUGUUGCUUGCUCAAGCUCAACCGGGACAACUGCUUCUGUACCAAAAGCAAGUGAGAAUGGAGUUUCUCCUGUGGAAGUCCGAUAUGAAGUGCGGUAUGACCAAAGAACUUGGGGUACGAAUUCUGGCCAACAACCUUUAGCUUUGUCCAAGCUAGUUUUCAGAGUGCGCUUGAUUAUUUUGUUAACGGCCUCGACUUGUCUAUUAGACUGGGGAUGGGCUGGAGAGGCAAAACAUAAGUUGAUGUUAAACUUAGAGCAGAACAUCCUGAAGUUCUUGUUAUCGAAUUGUCACCCAUUGUCCGUGACUAUCGCAUUGGGAAUGCCGAAUCUGCAAAGGAUGUUCUUCCAUACGAAGUCUUCUAUUUUUGCCUCAGUAAUGGUUGCCAAGGGUUCUACUUCAGUCCACUUUGUGAAGUAGCCAACUGCAACGAUUGCAUAGCGGACCUUGCCCUUCCCUGCAGGCAUUGGGCCGAUCAAAUCAAGUCCUCAUUGGGCGAAGGGCCAAGGGCUGAUCAUAGGAGUGAGCGGCUCGGGAGGGGAGUGAGGGAUAGUUGCGUAGCGUUGACACUUAUCACAUGAGCGAGAUAUUCUGAUGGCAUCUUGGUGGAGUGUUGGCCAAUAGUAUCAUUGGCGAAAAGUCUUGUGUGCUAGGGAUCGAGACCCAGCAUGAUCUCCGCAGACUCCUUCAUGUAUUUCCCGAAGGACAAUUUCCGCCUCCGCAGGUGUAAGGCAUCUUAGGUAAGGCAGGGUAAAACCUCGCUUGUAGAGUUGGUCAUUAAUGAUCAGGUAGCGAGCAGACUUGUAUCGAAUCUGCUUAGCUUGGACUUUGUCAUUUGGGAGGGUGCCAUGGGCAAGGAAUUUAUAAAUUGGGGUGAUCCAACUAUCUCCUUGUUGUAAAUUGCACACUUCUGCGACCAUGGUGCUUGGUGCUGCCAACAAUUCGACAUGAAUUUUUCUCCCAAUCUUGUCUUCCACUGCCGAGGCGAGGCGGGCCAAAGCGUCUGCAUGACUAUUUGCCGCUCGAGGAACUUGGGUGAUCUGGUAGUGGAAGUGCUUGAGCAAAAGUCGUGUUUGCGCAAGAUAUGUUGCCAUGGAGCUAUCCUUAGCAUCAAAGUUGUUCGUGACUUGGUUGACCACUGAUUGAAAGUCACUGAAGAUAUCAAUUUGUUUAACUCCAAGAUGCUUGGCCAAACGUAAGCCUGCUAGAAGGGCUUCGUAUUCGGCCUCGUUGUUCGAUGCCUUGAAUUUGAAACGAAGAGCGUAUUCUAUCGCCACUUUGUCAGGGGUAGUGAGGACUAAUCCUGCUCCGCAGCCCUGUUGGUUGGAUGAGCUAUCAACAUACAGACUCCAUGCUGGGGUUGUUGAUUUUGUCUUCUGAGCUUCCGAUGGUAAUGAAGCUAUUGCUUCAGGUGUAGAAGCUAUUGCUUCAGGUGUAGAAGCAAUGUCAACAGGAUAUGUGAAGUCGGCGAUGAAAUCUGCUACUGCUUGACCCUUUUCGGCUGGUUUUGGUUGGUAGGAGAUGUCAAACUCACCCAAUGCUAUUGCCCAUUUGAUCAUUCGCCCAUACGUGUCAGGACUCUAGAGUACCUGUCGAAGAGGGUGAUUGGUAAGCACGAUGAUGGCGUGUGCUUGGAAAUAAGGGCGAAGUUUUCCAGCAGACAUGACCAAUGCUAGAGCUAAUUUCUCAAUGUUGGAAUAUCGUGUCUCCGCAUCUUGUAGGGCCUUGCUAGCAUAGUAGACGGGCCGUUCGACACCACUGUCCUUUCGGAUAAGAACAGAACUGACUGCUGAAGCCGAGACCGAUAGAUAGAUAAUGAGAGUGUCACCAACUUCUGGUUUGGAGAGCAGAGGGGCUUUACUCAUGUACUCUUUGAGGUUCCUGAAUGCCUUGGCACAUUCCUCCGUCCAUGUAAUGUACUUCUUAUUUCCCUUGAGUGCUUUGAAGAAAGGAGCACAUCUGUCUGUGGCCUUAGAGAUGAAUCUGGUUAAGGCUGCCACAUUGCCAGUAAGGCUUUGGAUGUCUUUUGAAGUUACUGGCUCUUUCAUGUCGAGGAUUGCUUUGAUCUUUUCGGGGUUAGCUUCAAUGCCUCGUUGGCUAAUCAUGAAGCCUAAGAAUUUGCCAGAUCCCACGCCGAAGGCACAUUUGUUGGGGUUCAACCUCAUUCGAUACCUCUUUAGAAUGGUGAAAGUUUCAGAUAGGUUGGUGAUGUGUUGGUCAGCAUGUUUGCUUUUGACUAGCAUAUCAUCAACGUAAACUUCCAUGCUCUUCCCAAUCUAUUCGGCAAACAUUGAAUUGACCAGUCUCUGAUAAGUUGCUCCUGCAUUCUUUAGGCCGAAAGGCAUGACUUUGUAGCAAUAUAGUCCCUUGUCAGUAGUGAAGGCUGUGUUCUUGGUCUGAGGGGUUCAUGAGGAUUUGGUUGUAUCCUGAAUAAGCGUCCAUGAAGCUCAAGAGCUCACACCCUGCCGUAAAGUUUAUAAGUCUAUCAAUGAGAGGAAGGGGGAAACUAUCAUUCGGGCAUCCUUUGUUUAGGUCGGUGUAGUCGACACACAUUAUCCACAAGACCUUUUGAAGCAGAAGACUUUCUUUGGUCAGAUUUUUCUUAACAAGGACAACAUUUACUACCCAUGUUGGGUAAUUGACUUCACGGACGAAGCCUAUGUCCUUGAGUUUUUCAACUUCUGCUUUCAUCGCCUCGUAUCGUUCAACAUCAUAAGAUCUUCGCUUCUGUUUUACUGGUUUGGUCUUGGGAUCAAUACUCAAGUGGUGACAGAUGAUAUCGGGAGAGAUGCCCGGCAUAUCUUUAUAUGACCAAGCGAAGACCUCGGCGUUCUCUUGCAAAAAGGAGAUCAGCGACAACCGAAGGGGUGGUGACAAAGUGGUGCCAAUCUUCACCAUGCGAUCUGGAUGGUCUUUGGAGAUAGAGACAUUCUCUAACUCUUCAGCGGGUUGUGCUUGCUGGGUGAAUGAGUCAUCUCGAGGGUCGUCGGGUUGACUGUUGCCAUCAUGAAGAUCCGAGUUGGCUUCAUCUGGACUGGUCUUUACUACCUGGUUAUGUAUAGAGAGGGUCUCCUUGAGGACAUGCAGGUGUUGUUGCUUAACUGAAGUGUUGUAACAUGAUCGAGCACUAAGUUGAUCUCCCAUGAUGUAUCCAUUGCCGAAAGGGGUUGGAAACUUCAUCAACAACAUAUGUGUGGAUACCAUGGCCUUGAGAUCAUUGAUGCCUGUGCGCCCAAAGAUGACAUUAUAUGCCGUCGGGCAAUUGACCACUAGGAAGUUAGUGGUAAUAGUAGCUGUGUAGGGGCCUGUACCAAUGGUGAGGGGUAAGUGUAUACUCCCUAAAGGUUGCACGAUAUCGCCAGAGAAGCUUAUCAGAGGAGAAAUCGAGCGAUCGAGCAAGUGUUCAGCUACAUUAAGUGCCUUGAAAGCUUCAGCAAACAUGAUAUUGACUGAAGCACCUGUGUCUAUCAGGAUUCGUUUCACAUCAAAAUUUGCUAUGUGAGCCUCCACGAUCAGCGGGUCGUUGUGAGGGUAGAUGAUACCUCUUUCUUCCUCAGGGUAGAAACAUAUUGGAUCCCAGUUAGGUUUUUGAUACUUGCCUCCCCUGAUGUCUUCCACGUGAAACACUUGAUGGCCAUGUCUCAAAGUUCGUUCACUGUUUUUCAUGGCCCUAUUGGAAGAUUCAGACAUGGGUGUGCCGCCGCUUAUGGAGUAUAUCACAUUCACCUGGCGUUGGUUACGGUUAUCCCUUGGAGGAUGAAGGAGGAACUGAUCAAUUUUUCCUUCACGUGCCAAAGCUUCGAUAUGAUCAUGGAGGAUGAUGCAUUUCUCGCCGUCAUGGCCAUUAUACGUGGUAGCAGCAAAACACGCUCGUGUUCUUCGUGGACUUGUAAUUUGGCUGUCUUGGCUUUGGCUUUGGUAUCAGGUAAGCUAUACUGGGGUAGAUGGCCGCGCAUGUAGCGUUCAAAGGUGUGUAUGUCUCAUACCUCGGGGUAUGGCCUGUCUUGACACGCGAUUGGCCCACUGCGUUGACUGCAUGGGGAUGGGUGUUAUUGUGACGAUAUACUGAGUUAUCGUGAUAGUGCCCCUUAUUCUUUUUAUUAAAAUGAGAUUGGUGAGGAUGGAAAUCUUUCCUUUUGCCCUGGGAUUGAUAUGUCUGCUGACUUGGCGAAGCAUUAAAUGAGGCCGGGGGGUGUGCUGCUACCGUUUGGAAGGUUGAGGUCUUUUCAUUCGGUUGGAUCUGGCCUCCACUCCUACUUGCUGAUAAGGGGUGACUGUAGGGGGUUUCCCUUGAUAUGUCCUUGCCUCGGCAGAGGCAUGGUUGUAAGCUUGUGCCAUCACUUCAGAGUAAGUCUUCCAAGUGUUGGCAUUGAUCAUGUACUUGAAGAAACAGUCACGUAAGCCUGCCGUGAAGGCCUUGAGGGCGGUCUUGUCAUCUGCCUCAGCGCAGCGGGAAUACUCAUGGCUGAAGCGACCAGCAUACUUUCGUAAUGACUCGUCCGGCUUCUGGUGAAUAGUGUACAAGUCAUCUGCGGAAUGCAAGCGAUCGGUCUAGAAGAUGUGUUGAGAGACAAACAACUUCCUCAACUCUUCAAAUGAGUCUACCGUCUCGGGUAGAAGACGACAAUACAGUUUAAAGCUCCGCCAGAAAGGGUGGAGGGGAAGAGAAGGCACCGUUCUUCAUCGGUGUGUCUCCGGUAUACCAUGGUGGACUCAAAGAGGUUAAUGUGUUCAAUCGGGUCUUCCCUUCCAGUAUAGAGUUGUAAGUCAAGCUUCUGCUUUGUCUUCGCUUGGAGGGGGGUGUUGAGGAUCCUUCUUGUGAGGGGGCCAGGCCUGGGUUGGUUCCAGUCAGGUAUCUCGGCUUGACGUUCAGCCUUCAACUUGUUUACUUCCUCCAGGAGCUGUAGGACGAGGGGGUCCUGAGUGGAGUCGUGCAUCACUGGAGUUUUCUUCCGUAAGUCCCCAUCGCCUCUUGGAAGUAGGAAAGUUUGAUCAAGAUAGCAUGAUUUUUCCUUGGACUCGUCACACUGACUCCUAGAGUGAGUAUGUCGGAACAUUUCCGAGUCCCCUGUACCUUCAUGUUCUUCUGGGACUUGUUGCCCAUUCCCUAGAUUAACUGCUGGCCUGGGUCGUGGGAAAGGACCGAGUCUUUCAGAAACUCUUGGGUCAUUGAUCUUCGAGCUUAUGUGGAUGGGAUUCUCUCGACGUUGCUUUAGGAAGUCUCGACAAUCGCGAUAGACAGCUUUUGAUCCUUCCACUCCUUCUGUGAGGAGGUGCUUUCCUCUACUCUUUCUGCUUCGGGUUGAAGCAGCUGGGUUGAGAGAAGUCUCAUGUUGAUUAUCACAUUGAUGUGUAGCUCGAUCCCUAUCAGGGAUGUCCGUGUUGGAUAUUGGUGACCCUCCGUGUUGGGGGGCAUUCAGAUGAUUGUUGACCUCAGCAGGGGCGACGAGCUUGUGUGCUUGAGCAUGCCUAGCCUCGUGAAGCAUCUCGAAAAGUUUUUCAUACUGCUCCUGGAGGACCUCGUUCCUCAUCACUAUCUUGUUGUUCUGAGCUUCUAACUCAUCGACUUUAGCUUGAAGAGUAACUCUAUUUCCUUCCUGCUUUCGUUGCUUCAUACUAGGUCCAAUGGGGGUGUCAUUCUGUGUGCUAUGGCUUCUUUCGCUCCCCAUGUUGGAGAGAGAUGUUUGGCCAAAAGAAAGUGUACGGGCGGUGGAAACCAGCUUAACAAAGCUGAAGAGAGUGGGAGUAAGUGUCUUUCCCACAGACGGCGCCAAAUGUUGAUGCACAAAAUCAGCGAGGACUUUGGUACAACAGAAAGUGUCAGGUUUGUGACCUUCGCUUGGUUGCUUCGAUCACUAGUGAAGAUAAGUACGUAAAUGAAUAGGGACAGGGAAGCAAACACAAGAUGUACGUGGUUCACCCAGAUUGGCUACGUCCACGGAGUAGAGGAGUUCUCAUUAAUUGUGAAGGGUUUACACAAAUACAUAGGUUCAAGCUCUCAUUUUUUGAGUUCUAGUGAAUAGUUUAGUACAAAAUGACAUUAGAGAUUAUUGUGGGAGAAUGAUCCCUAUUUAUAGAAGAAAGUUUCUAGUUUUGUUCUAACAUUGACACGUGUCGUGUUGUGAUUGGCUUCUGAUGUUGACACGUGUCGCGCUGUGAUUGGCUUCUGAUGUCGACACAUGUCGCAUUGUGAUUGGCCUCCUGGUUGAAGGGAAGCUCUUCUGGGUCCUUGACGUAUAACGUUGACCGGUGGUAGAUGGCCGCGCAUGUUGAUGUGGCAUCUUCUUUGGAAGUACUUUUCCUUCAUCCAUGGGUGGUAUCUUUAACCGAUGAAGAUGCACAAGGUAAUGUAUCAAUUUCACUUGAAGCUUACUUAGAAGUUUCGUGAUUACUCAGUGGCUUGGAUCUUGCAAGUCCCCAACCGAGGAGCUUCCCUCACUCGGGAACUUAGGGGAGCACUGUUUGUACCAUACUUGACCAAUCCCGAAAACUACUGAGCACCGGUCAACGUUAUACGUCAAGGACCCAGAAGAGCUUCCCUUCAACCAGGAGACCAAUCACAAUGCGACACGUGUCGACAUCAGAAGCCAAUCACAGCGCGACACGUGUCAACAUCAGAAGCCAAUCACAACACGACACGUGUCAAUGUUAGAACAAAACUAGAAACUUUCUUCUAUAAAUAGGGAUCAUUCUCCCACAAUAAUCUCUAAUGUCAUUUUGUACUAAACUAUUCACUAGAACUCAAAAAAUGAGAGCUUGAACCUAUGUAUUUGUGUAAACCCUUCACAAUUAAUGAGAACUCCUCUACUCCGUGGACGUAGCCGAUCUGAGUGAACCACGUACAUCUUGUGUUUGCUUCCCUGUCCCUAUUCAUUUACGUACUUAUCUUCACUAGUGAUCGAAGCAACCAAGCGAAGGUCACAAACCUGACACUUUAUGUUGUACCAAAGUCCUCGCUGAUUUUGUGCAUCAACACAAUGUAUGAGAGAAGGAAAUGAAAGAUGAUGUGAAUAAGAGGGGAGAAAAUUCUACUCAUGCUAAAAACAAAAAAUAAUGAUCGACUCUGUAGAUAUUGGCCAAACCAAACAUUAGAUGUGAAAAAUUAGCACUUUGCCGAAUAAUAUUCCGAGUGAGCAAAAUAGAGAAAAAUAUAACAAUGGCACACAGAAAAAAUAUAAAAGUUGAGGAGCCGGGUGAUAUAAUAUUAGACAUUGCAAUUGUAGGCUCGGACGACUCAAGGAGAAAAAGGUUGCUUGCACCACUAUAGGAAAAUUACAAAUCAACAAUGCAGAGGUAACGUGCAUGGUCUUCUCUUCUGCCAUGAAAAAUUCAUGUUGCUUUCAUAUAAUUAACUAAUUAACUAGUUAUUAGUGUUAAUUAUUCUCUAACAUUUCCUUCCUCCAUUGUUUUCUUCUUCUUCAGAUCAAAGUUUCAAUAGUUUUUUUUUAUUUUUUAAAUUCCUUUUACUUUAACAAUAUUAGCGAUUCCAAUUCUACUAGCUAGUUUUAGGUUGUAUUUUAAUUGGCUCGUGUGCUUCUGUUGCAGGACGUGUUUGGGGAAAAAGGAAGGAUACUUGAACAGGCAGGAGCUGUAGCAAAGGUAGCCUCUAUGAAAAAACAUAAUGAACUCUUUGUAACGAAACAACUUCGUUUGACUCGUUUCAUUUAAAUUUUUUGUUUUUCUCAGGUGCAAAGCGACGUGGUUUUGUUAAAAAAAAAAAAAAAACUAAAACGGAGCAACGCCCCACUGCAGAAAACCAAAAUGCAGCACCGCAGCACCAGAGCAGAGGGGUGGAAACCUGGAUUUUGGGAACGAACUCCGGCGACCGAAGGUGCGAACACACCUCCUUGAACCUCUGUGGCUUCGCCAAUGAAGGUCUCGAUAUUAUUUAUGAGGAGUUCAUGAUAAUUACUUUAAAGUGUUAAUAACAAUCCUCUUUCUUAUUCUUAUGCUAGUAGGUCUGGUACUUCCUACAAUCUUAAAAUAUGCAUAAAUUCACUCAUAUAGAAUGGGAAAAUGCCAUACGUUACCAUUUGGAAAUUGGCGAGACAUGAAAAAGUCCUUGAACCUCGCUCCCCCCCGCAAGGCAGGCUUAAACUCGCCCGUGAUGAGAAGACAUGUCUUUUGUGAAUGACAGGAAAUAGGACAAAACCAUCCCUUCUCUUUUUUGUUAGUAAAAGCAUCCCAUGCUUUCUAUCUCUUCAUUCCACUGACUAUUUCGAACACAAAACAUCAAUACAAGUAUUAGUAAAAUGAAAACUUCUUUCUUUUAUUCAAUAAUUAUUAUGGGUUGUGUUUAUUGAUCAACCUGUAAGUAGAUAAAACACUAAUAAUACAAUUAGUUAGGUAAAAAAAAUCAGUUUUUUUUUCAAGUUUCUCAACUAACCGGGACCUAAGUAUUCCCUUGGCGUUCUUACACCAACAAAGAAACAACAACGAAACACACAGGAACACAAAAAUUGGGGACCUCUUUUUAUCUACUUGCCCACCAUCACAAAUAUUACCUUUUUUUUCUUGUAUGGUUUGGUGGUAGGGAACGAAACCUAGCUACAUUCACUUCUUCUGAUUUGCAGUUGACUCUGGUUUUUACAUGAGUAUAUACUGAAGCUCGAUGGACCCCAGGCUAUAUAAUAUUCGAAAAUAGUCAUUCCUUAUUUGUCCGUCAAUCACAAUAUAUAUAAUCAAUUUGAUGAGUAAUUUUGCGUACAUGUAAAGUGUACGUACAAUCCUACAGAGAAUAUUUACAUUAGUUAUAAGGCCUCAGCAUUUGAUAUAACUAAAAGGCAACCUGUAUCAACUCAUUCUUCGAGUCAAGAAUAUCUGAGCUUCUUAGAGGGGGAAUAUAGGCUCUAAAACCAUGUCUUGGUUUUUUACAGUUCUCUUUCUUGUUACUGCUCUUACAUUUCAUACUCCUUCAGAGGCUAGCCAUGAGAAGAACGAUCCUUCUGCAGUUGUUGUAGGCACUGUCUACUGUGACACAUGUUUCCAAGAGGAUUUCUCACAUACCAGCCAUUUCAUUUCAGGUAAAUUCAUCUCAAAAUUUCAACAAGUUCUUCAUCAAAUUUAUUUUUAUAUUGUAGUCUGACUAUAAAAUAGACGUCCGUUCAAUGAUUUCCGUACACCUUCUCCUCCAUACACUCAUGUUUAUUUUGUAAUCUUUAAAUUCAAAUGAAUCAAAGAAAAUCAAAAGAAAGGAAUAAAAAGGGUACAAAAUGAAAAAAAAGAAAGUAAAAUCCAAGAAAAUGACUGAAAACCUAUAUGUAAGUAUUUCCUAUAUAUGAGUCAACUAUACAACUACGAAAAGUAUAUAACAAAUCAAUUUCAAAAAAAUCUCGCCUAACUCCUUGGCGGUAAGACUCUGCAUUCAAUCACGAUUUCUUUCCAACAGACAACGAGUGGUAGGGAUAUUAUUUCUCUUGAAGAAAAGUUGGAGGAUAUGUCAUUUGUAUGUGUUGAUAUCAUUGUCGCCAAGUAUGCAUGUCAUCAGUAACUUUAAAUGAUUUAUCCCCAUACAAAGUAUAAUAGUUGAUCUAAAUGAUUUAUCCCCAUACAAAGUAUAAUAGUUGGUCUAAACCCUAAUUCCAUAAAGGACCAUACUGUUUAAAUGAAAUAAUUGCUCGGUUCCAUUUUACCCCUACAUUUUCUGCUUUUGUUUCGUUGCAAGAGUUUAACUUGUUAUUUGGAAUAUAUUGUUCACAGAAAGCACUUGUUCAGCAAUUUUUGGCUACUGAAGAUGCACUGAACAAAGCUGCAGAAGCGAGGGAUCUAUGUCAAAAACUUAUAAAACGCUUGCAUGGCAAUAGUGAUGUAAUUUCUUCAGGAACAUCACAAAAUGUGGGCAGUCUUAGGCAACUUGAGGUAAAUCUUCCUUGCAUAUUAAAAGUAUUAACUACCAAUAGUUUGGGUGGAAAUAGCACCAUGGGUGACAGGUUUGAUUAGUUUCAGUCUUUUGAUCGUUUCCAUAGUUGUAUACUGUAUACUAGGUUACUUUUAGCCUGCACUGUGUUCUCAUCUGAUUUUUUACAGUCUUCCAUUUGCUUUGUGUAGAUGGAGGUUUGGGCUAAGGAAAGAGAAGUUGCUGGCUUGAGGGCUAGCUUGAAUACACUGAUGUCUGAAAUACAACGCUUAAAUAAAUUAUGUGCGGAAAGGAAAGAAGCUGAAGAUUCUUUGAAAAAGAAGUGGAAGAAGAUUGAAGAAUUUGAUUACCGCAGAUCAGAACUUGAAAUCAUAUAUACCACAUUACUAAAAGUUAACAUGGUAAGGAUCUCAGCUUCAAUAGUGCUUAUAAAUUUACUAGUCACUUCAUAUACUGGCAUUGUAUAAGCCAUGUCUGGUCAUUCCAUGAAGUGUCGGCUCCUUUUCUUUAAGUUCCAGGCAAAAGUUCAUAUAUAUAAUAUAAAAUUCAAGACAAAUUUUCUAGCAGCCCAACGAGUAGAUGGACUCUUUUUUUUUUUUAAAUGAAAUCCACGGUCUCCUCUUUAGAUGCCCAAAGACCCUAUUUAUGGUUAUAGGUCUGGGGUUAACUCACCAGGAGACUUCAAUUUCCCUGGAACUUAUGCAAAUGAUAUCACCAAUUGCAUAGUUUUCAUUUGUUAUUCGUAUCAUAUGGUAGAAUAUUUCAAUAGAGGCAGCUAGGAUAAUGCUUAUCCAUCUCUUUGUCUUCUGUCGGGAAUAUUUUCUAAUGUUAUUUUUGUCUUGGUACAUGGUAGGAUGCUGCUGCCUUCUGGAAUCAGCAGCCAUUAGCCGCACGGGAGUAUGCAUCAAGCACAAUUAUUCCUGCAUGCACAGUAGUCAUGGAUCUUUCAAAUAGUGAAAAACAUCUUAUUGAAAGAGAAGUUUCUGCUUUUGACCAAAGUCCUGAUAAUAGCCUCUACAUGAUUCCAGCAAUUCCACAGGUUUGUGUUGGGGCUUAAAAAGACUUCACUACUUUGGAGAUGUUUAUCUCAUAAAGAAGAAUGUAACGCAGCGGAAUUGAUAGCCAAGAAAAAAGAAAGAACACUCAGAGUAUUACACAAAAUUUUUAUUCUCACACAAACUUAGUACAAGAGGAAACACUCAAACACUCUUACACUUCUUCACUCUUUUUCUCGCUUCUUGCUUUCUUACUGACUCUCACUUCUUCUUGCUUCUUUGUUACACAACACCACACACCUAUUUAAAGGUGGUGUUCCCCGACUAUCCUUGUUACCACCGACUUGAGCAUUGCAGCAAUGACCACAUGAUUUGCCGCCUCUAGAUCUUUCUUUAACUUGGAUAUUUUAGGUGAUAACCAUUUGAAAUUGCUGAAAUUUUCCAGCUAUAUUAUCGACAUAGAUUGCUAGCAUUUGCACACAUUUGCUUUGGGUUAGAUCACUUGUCUUGGGCCAAAGACAAGAUUACCUUUUAACAUCCUCCCUUAAUCUUGUCUUGUGACGCCGAUUGAGUUCCUCAGUCUAACAAAGUCUUCUUGUUUGAGUGGCUUGAUGAAUAUGUCAGCGACUUGGUCUUGAGACUUCACGGAUUCCACUUGCACAUCCUUUCUUGCAAUGCACUCUCUUAUGUAGUGAUAACGAGUAUCUAUGUGCUUGCUCCUGUCAUGGAACACCAGAUUCUUUGCUAGAGCUAUUACAGACUUGUUGUCGACAUUGAUCUCUGUUGGCUCUUCUUGUGGCCUGCUUAAUUCUUUCAGCACGUUUCUCAGCCAAAUUGCAUGACAGAUACAUGCGGUAGCAGCUAUAUAUUCAACUUCACAGGCAGACAGUGUGACAAUUGGUUGCUUCUUCAACAUCCAUGUGAAUGCAGUGUCUCCCAUGAAGAACACAAAUCCAGUAAUGUUUUUUCUAUCGUCGGAAUCUCCUGCCGAAUCACUGUCGCUAUAUCCAACAAGCUUGUAGUUAUUAGAGCUUGAAUAGAACAAGCCAAAGUUAAUAGUACCUUUAAGGUAUCAAAGAAUUCUUUUGGCGGUCUUCAAAUGUGUACUUAUGGGAUUCUCCAUGUAUCGACUAACUAAUCUGACGACAUAGAGAAUAUCUGGUCUUGUGCAAGCCAAUAGUGCAAGCUUCUAACUAGACUUUUGAAAAAUGUUGGAUCUACGCUUUCUCCUUUGUCAUGCUUGGUUAGUUUGACUCCGCACUUCAUUGGCGUGCUUAUGGGCUUGCAGUCUUCCAUUUUGAACUUUUUCAAUACCUCAUUUUGUAGCUUUCUUGGGAGAUGAAAAUGCCUUCUUCGUUUUGCUUAACUUCAAUGCCUAGGUAGUAUGUCAUCAGCCCGAUGUCGGUUAUCUCGAAUUCUUUGGUCAUCACUCUCUUGAACUCUUCAAACAUACUUGGAUUACUCACGGUGAAGAUUAGAUCAUCCACAUAUAAGCACACAAUCAAAAUGUCUCCAUCUUUGACUUUGAGAGCAUGUUCAUGAGGGCACUUGAUGAAGUUGUUCUCCUGAAAGUACUUGUCGAUGUGACUAUUCCAUGCUCGUGGCAUUUAUUUUAACCCAUAGAGGACUUUCUUCAACUUCAGAACUUUGUCUUCAUGCCCUUUGAUUUCAUAACCUGAUGGUUGCUGAAUGUAGACUUCUUCUUCAAGGACUCCAUUUAGGAAAGCGGACUUCACAACCAUUUGUUGAAUCUUCCAUUUGUUUUGAGCUGCCAAAGAAAUUAGUAAUUGUAUCGUUUCCUAAUGAGCAACGGGUGUAAAUACUUCAUUAUAAUCGAUUCUGGCUGUUUGACUAUAACAUUUCGCCACUAGUCUCGCCUUGUGUCUUUCGACCUCUCCAUUGGCAUUUUUCUUUGUUUUGUACACCCACUUGACUCCGAUGGCUUUAUGUCAUUUCGGAAGAAUAGUGAGUUCCCAUGUAUCAUUUUUUUGAAUUGCUUUGAUUUCUUCAUCCAUUGCUUUCCUCCAUUUAGUAUCCUGCACUGCUUCUUAGAAGUUGACUAGUUCACAAUCAGCAAAGAGACAGAAAAAUGUAGGAUUAUCAAGUCUUUUAGCCACCUCAUAGAGAUCUUGUAGACUUCUUGUGUGUGGUACUUCUGUUUCAUUUAGACUCCCACUUGACGAUGCUGAUGCUGGUAAAUUGCCAUGAUUGGUUGAUGUUGGUGAAGCAGGUAGAGUAGUGGAUUCUUGUUGAUCUUCUCUUGCUUGCUCCAUUAUUGUUUGUUCAUUAUCUUCUUCAAAUUGAGGAAAGAAGUGAAGAUCACCUGCAUGCAAGCCAAAAUCCCAUUCUCUUUCUUUAUUGAACGUCACUUCUCGACUAAUCACCGUCUUCCCAUUGUUCGAAGUAUACAGUUUAUAGCCUUUUGAAUUUGUGUCAUAGUUGAUGAAGAUGAACUUCUCACUUUUGUCGUCAAGUUUGGUGCUCCUCUUGUCUGGUACAUGUACAUGGGCUAUGCUUCCAAAAACUGUUAGAUGAAAGAUACCUGGCUUUCUUCCACUCCAUGCUUCUUGCGGAGUCCUUCCCUACACACUCUUUGUUGGAGACCGAUUGGAUAGGUAGACAACAUAUGUUACAGCUUCUGCCCACAAUUCCUUAGGCAAUCUCUAGCUUUUGAGCGUGCUUCGAGCCAUGUCGAGGGAUAGUUCGAUCUUUUCUUUCCGCCACACUAUUUUGUUGAGGGGAUCUUGGAACUAUCAAAGGUCAACGAAUUCCAUUUGCUUCACAAAACUCUUGAAAUUCAUUCGAAGUGAAUUCUCCUUCUCGAUCAGAUCUCAUGGCUUUGAUCUUGCAACCACUCUACUUUUCUACAACGGCUUUGAACUUCUUGAAUGCUCCAAAGACUUCUGAUUUCUGCUUCAAGAAAUACACCCAGGUUUUCCUUGAAAAAUCAUCAAUGAAGAGAAGGAAAUAAUUAUUUUUAGCCCAUGGAACACAAAAUUAUAACUUUUUGGACAACAAUACCCUUCUCUUUUUCAUUAAUUUCACUUCGAAAAUUAAACAAAAUUAAUCAAAAUUCCAGAGAUCUCUCAAUUUCUGCACAAUUAGCAUAAAAUAUUCAUUAAAAAUCAAAAUUUACCUCAACAAAUCAACUCAAAAACUAAGUUCUCUUGUUUUUCCAGGAAAUCAAGCUUAUUUGAUCGCACUUCAAAUUUUUUGGGAAACUGAGUGACAAAAACCCAACAAAAAGAAAUUUUCUCUAUGUUUGAUUUCUAUAUUCAAAGAAGAAAAACAGCAAAAUGAAGAAAAUCCAGAUCAGAUAAAGCAUUCUUGAGAAAGCCAAAGAGAGGAAAUUUUCUGGGGAAACAAACAUGAAGAACAGAAGGGUACCGGGGAAAGCCGAUGAAAGGAAGUGGCUGAUGCCGUCGCUCGAGGGAUGGGACAGCGAGGAUUAGGUGGAAGAUGUGAGGGAUGACGUUGAACUCGUAGGCGGUGGCUCAGGUAAGGUCGAACUCGUCGGAGUGGAUGGGUACGAUUGUCAUUUAAUCUUUCGUUCCAUUUCAGCUUGAACAUACACCAAAUGUAGCAUGGAACCUCCGUUCCGUCCUGUUUCGUCCAGUCUGUGUACUAAACGGUACCUUAUUGAAUGAAAGGAAAAGGCUUCUGCUUGGCUUAAUACCACUUUAGUCCAAUUGUCUUCUUGUUCUAGAAAUUGACAACUCUAUGUGAUGAAAAAACAUCUCAUGCUUAUUGUACGGAUGAAAAGUGCUGCUUUACACUAUUACAUUUAAAGUGAUUAGAAAUUCCGUGAAAAUUUAUAUUAUCUCAUUGCAUUGAUGAACGGGUGAGAUAUAGAGAAACAAAAUUUUAUACUUUCAUCUACUACAUUGAUGCUUAGGCGCACCGAAAGUCACCCAAAACCCUAAAAUUCUCCUCAUGAAUUAUGUGUCUAAUAUUUUUCAGAAGUUGUUAUCAGCACUUGCAAACAGUUUUUUAUGCAUGUCGGUCUGGAAGUUAUCUAUGAGGGGUCAUGAUAAUUAUUUUAAAAUGUUAGUAACAGUUAUCUUUUCUUAUUCUCGGUAGGCGGCUACCUCCCCCACACAGCAGCCCUAAACUCGCCCGUGAUGAGAAGACAUGACAUGUCUUUUGCGAAUGACAGGGAAUUGGACAAAACCAUCCCAUCUUUGUUUCAAUAAUUAUUAUGAAUUAUCGUAUACCGAUUAAUCUGUAAGCAGAUGAGAUAGCUACUCAUUUUCACCAUAAAAGGAAAACAUUUCAUCACAAGAUUGCAGUGCGGACAGAGAGGGUUGUGGUUGUCGUAGAUAAACCUAGGUUUCGUCACAAAACAGGAAAUUGAAUUAAGAACAAAACAAACAGAUUGUGGGUAGGAAAAGACAGAUUUUUUAGUGUGUUGAGAACACUGUUUGGUACACCAAGUAUAAUAAUACAAUUGGUUGGAAACUUGUUAAAAAAAAAAAUUUCCAACUAUUUAUAUCAUAUGGUGUAUUAGACCGUGUUCCCGAUAUCAACGAGAUUUGGAUGUCAUGCAUACAAAUAAAGCCCCUUAUUACUGUCACAUUAUUAUGUCUUGAUAAGAUCUUUAUUUAUUCCCUGCAAGUACCAUAUGAGAAAUGCUAAAGAGACUCUCUAUGGAUUCUCUGUUUGUCACUUCAUGUUUUUGACAUAAUAUUUUAUAAUGUUAGCACCAUAAUUGACUGUAAACUGUAAGGUAAUAUAGAGUAUAUGAAGAGUUCCACUUUAAGAGUGUCUCCUUAGCAUUUCUCAUACCAUAUUCUGACACCAUAGAAAGUAGCCAUUUUUUAUUGUAAGUUUUAGUUUUCACACGUAUUUAUGUUAUGCGAGACAACCGCAAAUAAAUCUUUUUGUAUAUACAACUUUUAUCAAGUUUAAGAGUUAUAAUUAAGAUAUUCCCGGUUGUAUAUAUUUAUAUGUUUUUAGUCAGUAUAAUUGGAGCUCAUCAUUAGUGUGUACGUGAUAGAUAUCCUCGGUUACACGGCAGAAUCUCACAGGAAUGUCAUAGCCAAUAAACUAGGCUCCUAUGCAUCAAUUUUUUAUGUGUGAAGAGAAAACACGAAUAAAUACAUGCAACAAUCUAUUGUUGCUGAUUGUGUACAACUUCAGACUCAUGAAAUUUGUAGCCACUCUACAUAUCUCGUGUGUAAAGUGGUACAUCAAAUGUGUCGAACUUGAUACAUCAAGUGUCAUAAUGCAAUUAAUUAAAAAACAAGAUUUCAAAUCUUUAUUUUCAAGUUUCACAUCUAACAGGGACCCAAUUAUUCUCUUUGGGACUUUUACAGCAACAAAGAAACAACCUCAAUCUACUUGCCCACCAUCCCAUACCUUUUUUUUUUCUUGUCUGGUUUGGUGGUAGGGAAUGAAACUUAUCUACGUUCACUUCUUCUGGUUUGCAGUUGACUGGUUUUUCCAUUAGUGUAAAAACGAAGCUUCAUGGACUGAUGCAGUACAUGGGGAACAAAUAUAUUUAAGGUUUUAGUGACUUCUUAUCUCUUAAAAGCCUUUGUGACCUUUCUUUUAAUUGAAUUGCCUAGUAACUAUCCUACUCUUAAAUAUUUAGUAUACCAAUGUUUGUAAUUUCCCUAUUUAAAGGGCUCCAUAUGUAUCCUUAAAGUGGUGAAAUUAGUGAAUUAAAGUUAAUCUAAGAAGAGAGUGGGCUUUCUCCUCAAAAUCAAGUGUGAGAUUUGGUUGUGUCGAGUGAAUCCACGAUUAGUGACGUGAGUGAAUCCGUUGCCCCUGGUCGAGUGAUUCCCAGGUUCUAUCCCUGUAGAGACGUGAGUGAUUCCGUCCCCCCUAGUUGAGCGAUUCCCAGGUUACUACCCCUUGUCUUUUCGAGACCCAUGGUUUUUUCUGCAUCAAGUGGCAUCAAAUAGAGAUGGCAAUUCAAACCGUUAAACUCGAUAACCGUGUAUAACCGCCUGAGAGAGGAUUUGGGUAUGAAAAUUUGGGUAUAUUAUGGAAAUGGGGAAAAAACGUGAACUUUAAUCGGUUAUGGUUUUGUAUAUGAUUAUAAGGGUCCCCAAUCCAUAUCCGUCCCCAAAUCCGAAUCCGAACCGAAUAAUAUAUAAUAUUAUUUGGUUUAUGUAAUAUAUAUAUAUAUAUAUUGUAUUUGAGUGAAGCUAUACCAUCAUUACCAUAUUCAUUAUUCGCUGCAUAAUGUAUUUAGUAUAUUAUUCGCCGCAUAAUGUAUUACAAAAUUCAUUUAUUGUUAUUGUGGAGCCAAAAAUAAUCAUAGGGCAACACAUGGAUUUUGGUAAAAAGGACAAAGUUACUCCUGAGACACACCGGUUCUCCUACGCCUGAGCAGUGGACAGUCAUUCUUUAAUCAAGCCAAGAGUGUCCAAAAAAGGUAACCAAUUCCAAAUUAUCUCAUCCAUCCUCAUCUUAGGUAAUUACUUCAUAACCUACAAAUUAUUCCAUAUACAUAGAGAUUAAUUGGCUAAUUAAUGGAUUAAUUCCUAAUUAAUCCAUUAAUCACCAAUUAAAUCACCCAUUUUCACACCUAAAACCUCUAAGGCCCGGCCACCUCCAUUCCCUAUAUAUAUGACCCUAUUUUUUCUAAAAAAAGGGUUCCACACUCUUGCAAAACUCCCAAAAACUCUCCAAAAACUUUUAUCUCUAAAUUCUAACUUUGGCAUCGGAGGUUCUUCGGCCAAAGCCUCCCAUUCAUUGUGGGCGGGUGAGGCUCUUGGCCUUGACCUAAGGUGUUAAUUGUUUUGUAGGUUCAAUUUUGUCAGGUGCAAUUUUGUCCAAGAAGAAGAAGGCGGAAAUUUGCAUUCAUAAAUUGGUGUUUUCAUUGAGAGAUGAGUACCACACUCGUAGAAGACUCUCGCAUCCAAGGUUUUCUAUUUUCUUGUCCAUUUGUAGAUUUUUCGUACGUUCUUAUUAUUAGAAUUUUUUAUUUGCAAAAAUUCUUUGAUAAAACGUAAAAGAGAAGUACAAUGGCUAGAAAUUUAAAAAAUUCAACAAAUGAAAAUUUCAACAUUUAAGAGAUGGGACCACGGCGAUUCACGAGGCUAAAUGUGACAAUAAGUGGAGCAGCACCACAACCACAAGUUUCCUCCAUGGGAACCACCGUGGUGGCUGCCUCGGUAGCCACUCGCGGUGAGGUCCAUGGCACCAUUACCGCGGCGAGGUCUAUGGCACCAUUACCACGGCCUGAGUCGUGCCAUUAAAGCAAUCCCAAUACAUGUCACUUCAAGCCCAAUGUGUUGCCAAGCCGAGCCCUAGCCUCGCACCCACAUACGCCACACGCCGAGCAGCCUACUCACGUGGCCCAGCCUGCCCCCAUGGCCGAGCCUGCUCCCGCCGAGUAGCCUACUCCUGUGGCACAACAUGCUCUAUCUAAGCAGCCCAUUCUCGUGGCACAGCCUGCUCCCUUUGAGCAUCUCAUUCUCGUGGCCCAACCUGCUCUCGCAGCUCUGCUUGCUCCCAUAACCCUGCCUGCUCCCAUGAUUUCCCAAGCAGCCCAAGUCGGCUCGAGAAUAUCUCGACCAUCCAGAGCAACCAUCAAGCCGGGGGCAUUUUUACCAUAUUUCUCCACAGAUUUGACAUUUCCCAACUCAAAUCUCAUGCCUAGAGUGUUCCAUACUUCCACUGCUUAAUGAGGCACAUUCUUUCUAAGCUCUUCCAAUCUAAAUGGCGAACAACACUUGUCUCGACAAGUCAUAAAGUUGACGAGCUCCCUUGCACAACAGACGACCUUGAUGAAUCAACUUUUGCAAUGCACCGAGAUCUAACGUGCCUUGGACAAGGUAUCCCUAAGUAGGACAAGGGUAGACGAAUCUUUCCAGCAGCAUCCCGGUAAGCAGCUACUCGACCAGCCACGAGCCGAGCGUUCGGGUAGUGUACAUUUCUGAUUAGGCCCCCAAGAUAGCAUAUACUUCCAUCUUAUAGCACGGAGGAGCGUGCACUCUCGACUAGGCCUGAGGAUAAGUAUACACUCACGAUUGGGGCUACACUUAGAUAAUCAACAUGAGCAGCCUUCCAGGCAAUGCAUUCAUUCGCAGCUAGGCCCGUAAAGAAUAUCAUCCACAUCAUAUCGGAGCAGACAACACAGCAGACGGAAAGAAGCAGUCACUCAAUCCGGCUCAAGUUCAACCAGUAGCCUGUGAGUUACACACUCGCCUGCUAGGAAUAUACCACACCCACCGUAGCCGCGGCAUAGACAAGCCGAACAUAUGGAAGAACAGCUUAGACUAUCACAUCACGAUCAGGGGCAAUCAAGAGCUCUGCCACCCCAACAAAGGAAAAUUCAGGAAGAAGUAGAAAGGCUCCUGACCAAGCGAUUGCGCAAUUUCUCGCGCCAACCAAAGCCUCAAAAGGGCACAAGAUGAAACACCUAAUGAUGGCGCAAUAAUUCAGAGAGCAGCUCAUUGCGUUUACACCUUAACGUGGGUUCCACAAACAGUUCACCAAACAAGACCUCGCAGUCUGAAGAUUAUUUCAGUUGUCUAGCAGUCCAGCUUUCCUCAGCUGCACUCACGACAACGACUUCCAUGAUUUCCAGUGCGAAAGGAUAAACUAAUUGCUCUCCAGUGCGAGAGGGUAAACCAAUUCCCCGACACCCAUAUGGGUUUGCUCUCCAAUGCAAGAAGAUAAACUAAUUGCUCUCCAGUGCGAGAAGGUAAACCAAUUCCUUGACACUCGUAUGGGUUUGCUCUCCAGUGCGAGAGGAUAAACUAAUUGCUCUCCAGUGUGAGAGGGUAAACCAAUUCCUUGACAUUCAUAUAUGUUUGCUUUCCUGUGCGAGAGGAUAAACUAAUUGCUCUCCAGUGCAAGAGGGUAAACUAAUUGCUCUCUAAUGCGAUAGGGUAAACUAAAUCCCUGACAGCCAUUUGGGUAAGCUCUCCAGUGCGAGAAGGCUGCAUAGUUUAAAAGAUCAAAUGCUUGAAGAUCAACUAAGCAACAAAUGGUUAGGGGGCAGCAGCCACUUUUACACUUAAUAGUUCGCUCAUCCGACACUUCAUUUUCAGAAACUCUGAUCUUGGCAGCUUUAUCCUUGACUGCUCCAUCUAUGGCAGUUGAAAAAUCAAACUUAAGCAGUUUCCUCAUAUUUAGCAGGCAGCCCAAACAAUUGCCUAUUCCACGCCACUUCCUCGGCCCAUGUCGAACCAAUCAUUGGCUUCAAUCCAGCCGAGUUGCUCAAGCAAUGGCCCCUGCCACAUCACCUCCUUGGCUCAUGCUAAGCCGACUCUUGGCCCCUGCCAGCUGAUGUGUCGUACCACCCUGAUUACUGCCCUGUGGCAGCACCACCCAAGAAGAAGACAAGAAGAAAUUAAGUUUUUAUUACAUUGGUGCGGCAUAGAGAAGACGAAGAAAGCAACAAAAGACGGUCAUUUGCAUGGGCAAGAUGUAGAAGAUUGCUAAAUGAGGGGGAACAAAUAUCCUCUAAACUCUCUCUCUCUCUUGUAAGGUAGAAUAAAUCACUCUCCAAAGUUGAUUUAAUAACCCACUUAAGGUGGACUUAAAUAGGUUUUGAGAGAAAUUUAUUUCCCUUUCCUAGAAUGAUCUAAUUUCAUAUUAAAGAGGGAUUCUACAUCAAAACAGGAAGCGGUUCUAAGUUUCCUAGAGCAAAAAGAUCUUUACACCUGCUGCCCUUUCUUACGAGUAGCCCAACAGGUGUGGGGGCAUUUGUGGAGCAAAAAAUUAUCACAAGGCAACACGUGGAUUUUUGGUAAAAAGGACAAAGUUACCCCUGAGACACACCGGUUAUCCUACGCGCAAGCAGUGGACAAUCAUUCUUUAAUCAAGCCAAGAGUGUCCAAAAAGGGUAACCAAUUCCAAAUUAUCUCAUCCAUCCUCAUCAUAGGUAAUUACUUCAUAACCUACAAAUUAUUCCAUAUAAAUGGAGAUUAAUUGGCUAAUUAAUGGAUUAAUUCCUAAUUAAUCCAUUAAUCACCAAUUAAAUCACCCAUUUUCACACAAAAAACCUUUAAGGGCCGGCCACCACCAUUCCCUAUAUAUAUGACCCUAUUUUUUUUCUAAAAAAGGGGUUCCACACUCUUGCAAAACUCCCAAAAACUCUCCAAAUACUUUUCUCUCUAAAUUCUAACUUUGGUAUCGGAGGUUCUUCGGCCAAAGCCCCCCCCAUUCAUCGUGGGCGUGUGAGGCCCUUGGCCUUGACCUAAGGUGUUAAUUGUUUUGUAGGUGCAAUUUUGUCCAAUAAGAAAAAGGUGGAAAUUUGCAUCCACAUUUAUGUUUUAUUUAUUUAUUAUUAAACGUGGCUAUUUAAUGACAAAAUUAGUAUUCACUAAAUUAUUGUGCGCCAAUUGGAUGAAUAUAAUUUUUUGUUGUUGACGAAGAUGGAUAUAACCAUUAAUUGAUAGGAAAUCCGUUACCCGGUGGGUAUGGUUAUGGAUAAUUCCCGAUAGUUAUUUUGCAGUUAUGGAUAUGGUUAAUUAUCAUGGUUAUGGAAUAGAUAUAAGAUUUCCGUCCCCAAAUUGAACCGUUGCCAUCCCUAGCAUCAGUGCAGGUUUUCUGCUAUGGAGUUAAAAGGAAAAAAAAAAUCAUGUUGUUGAUUCUACACUUCUCUUCAAAUUUCAGUUCUCUUUGUCCUAAUCACCCAAAAGGUUACCUAUAAUUGGAAAGGUCUGCGAGUCCACUUUCUAACAGAACAGACAGUGCCUCAAUCAAAAUUUUUUUUGCAGCAAUUUGCUAGCAAAUAGUGUAAGGUGUAUGUUUUGUGCAAAAUCUGCAAGGCGCAGUUUCGUUUUCAACGAAGAGAUAUACCAGCAUCUUGUUCCAAUGAAUAAUAAUCAGGUAUAUGAAAACCACUCUAGUAUGAUAUUUAUCGAGGAAGAUCUGUUUUAUUCACAAAGAAUUGAUUGGAAUUUACCUCCACUAUAUGAUGAGUAUUCGGAGGAUGGUGUUUUGAUGAUUCCUAUCCAAACAGGUGCUAACGUUGAAGUGAAUGUUGAAGAACAUGCUUUGAUAGAUAUUUGCAGCUUGGAAAGUUCAGAAUAUGAAGGAUUUGGAUUUUUUCAAGAUGAGAAGAUUGAUAGUCCAAUGUUAAGUUCAUCAAUAAGCUACGGGCAUGUAAAAUUGUGGUCACGGCCAAGUGAUGAAGGAGCUGUUCAAAUUUGCUUUUUAAUUCUCCAGCACAUUGUUAAAGAUCAAGUUUUGGGGACAUUACAACCGAUGGCAUAUCGUUGGGAAGGUCGAAAACCUAAAUUCAAAUUAAGAUUAAAAAGAUACAAACUCGAGGACGAGUUUUUUUCGAGAAGAGUAGAAUCAUGCAGUGCAUGGGGAACAAAUAUAUUUAAGGCUUUAGUGACUUGUCAUCUCUCAAAACCUUUGUGACCUUAUCUUUUGAUUGAAUUGCCUAGUAACUAUCCUACUAUUAAAUAUUUUGUAUACCAAUGCUUUGUAAUUUCCCUAUUUAAAGGGCUCCAAAUGUAUCUUUAAGGUAGUCAAUUAGUGAAUUAAAAAUAAUCCAAGAAGAGAGAGAGUUUUCUCCUUCCUUAAAAUCCAGUGUGAGACUUGGUCGUAUCGAGAAGAAGAAAAUGAUGCAAUGCAUGGAGAACAAACACAUUUAAGGCUUCGUGGUUUCUCAUCUUCCAAAACUUUCUGUCACCUUCUCUUUUAUGAGUUGCCUGCCUAGUAACGAUCCUAUUAUUAAAUAUUUAAUCUACCAAUGCUUUGUAAUCUCCCUAUUUAAGGGCUCCAAAUGUAUCUUUAAGGUAGUCAAUUAGUGAAUUAAAACUAAUCCAAGAAGAGAGUGAGUUUUCUCAUUCCUUAAAAUCAAGUGUGAGACUUGGUCGUGUCGAGUGAAUCCACGGUUAGCGACAUGAGUAAUUAUGUUGCCCCUAGUCGAGUGAUUCCCAGGUUCUACCCAUAGAGAAGUCGAGUGAAUCCAUUGCCAUUGGUUAAGUGAUUUCCAGUUACCCCUUGUCUUUUCGAGACCCUUGGUCUUUUCUACGUCAAGUGGCAUCAUAGUAGGUUUUUCGCUGCAGUUAAAGAUCAUGGCUAUGAUUAUCAAUCCGUUUCAAGAUCACAUCGUUGAAGAGAUUAGUUUUGUCAAUUGAAAUUCUCCGCCAAUUUAUGACAAAUAUGUUGAUGACGAUGAGUUUACUGUUGAUGUGGCUCAUCAAGGAGUUUAUCUGCUGCUAGGAGAUGAAGGCUUUGUGGAUUGGGGUUAUCCACAUAAUAUGAGUACAAUGGCGGAAACAUUUUACAUGUAGCUUCAUAAAGAGGAACUAAGGUGUACUUGCUUUGGAAUAACAUGGAAGCGGAGUUCAAAGGAAUAUUUUGUGUGACAGAACAACUUGGACUGCUCUGGAUUUGCUUUUGCUAUUGUGGCUGUUGUGGAAAAAAAUUGAAAGGUAUCCAAAAGAUCGAGGAAAACAAAAUCAAAGGAAACUCGAGGACGAGUUUUUGUUCGAGAAGAGGAAAAUGAUGCAGUGCAUGGAGAACAAAUAUAUUUAAGGUUUUCGUGGCUUCUCAUCUCCCAAAACCUUUGUGACCCUCCCUUUUAAUUGAAUUGCCUAAGUAACUAUCCUACUCUUAAAUAUUUAGUAUACCAAUGCUUUGUAAUUUCCCUAUUUAAAGGGCUCCAUAUGUAUCCUUAAAGUAGUGAAAUUAGUGAAUUAAAGUUAAUCUAAGAAGAGAGUGAGUUUUUUCCUCCUUAAAAUCAAGUGUGAGACUUGGUUGUGUCGGAUGAAUACACGAUGAACGACGUGAGUGAAUUCGUUGCCCCUAGUCGAGUGAUUCCCAAGUUUUAUUCCCAUAGAGACGUAAGUGAUUCCGUCCCCUCUGGAUGAAUGAUUCUCAGAUUACUACCCCUUUAUCUUUUCGAGACCCUUGGUCUUUUUGCAUCAUGGACCCCAAGUUAUAAUAUUCCUAAAAUAGUCAUUCCAAUUUGUCUUGUCAAUCACAAUUAAUUUGUUGAGCUAAUUUUGUUGUGUACGUGUAAAAUAAGCCAAUCAGUGUCCUUUUUAUAUCUAAAAAAUUGUAUAAUCCUACAGAGAAUAUUUAUAUUAGGCCUCAGCAAUUGAUAUAAAAGGCAACCUGUAUGAACACAUUCUUAGAGUCAAUAAUAGCAGAGCUUCUUAGAGGGGAAAGUAGAUAGGUUGUAAAACAAUGUCCUGGUUUCUUACAGUCAUCUUUCUGGUCACUACUCUUACAUUUCAUACUCCUUCAGAGGCUAUCUAUGAGGAGAUUCCAGCCUUCUGCAGUAGUUGUGGGAACUGUCUACUGUGACACAUGUUUCCAAGAGGAUUUCUCAAAUACCAGCCAUUUCAUUUCAGGUAAAUUCAUCUCAAAUUUUCAACAAGUUCUUCAUCAAGUUUUAUUUUUCUAUUGUAGCCAGUUCAAUAAUUUCCAUACACCCCUUCUCUUCUUCUAUACACACUCAUGUUUAUAUUUUAAUCAUUAAAUUUGAAUAAAUCAGAGAAAAAUUAAAAGAAGGAAAUAAACAAAAGUGUACAAAUGGAGAAAAUGUAAAAUCUAAAUUGACUGAAAACCUUUAUACAGGUAUUUCCUACGAGUCAACCAUACAACUACGAAAAAUUAAUUAACACAAAUCAACAGCAAAAAAAAUCUCACUUAAACUAAUUCCUUGACGGUAGGAUUCUGCUUUCAAUCACGAUUUCUUUCCAACAGACAACAAAACGUUGGAAGUUAUGUCAUCGUAACUUGUCAUUUUAUUGUCAGUCAACAAAACUUCCUGACAUGAUAUGGAUGCAUUAUCCAUCAAUAAUCUUGUGGGGGUUUUUGUGCAGGGGCUUCUGUUGGUGUGGAAUGCAAAGAUGGGACUUUAACAAAACAAAGUUUCAACGCACAAGUGAAAACAAACAGCCAUGGGCAGUUCAAAGUCCAUCUGCCCUUCUCAGUGAGCAAAGAUGUCAAGAAAAUUGAAGGAUGCUCCGUGAAACUAAUCCGCAGCAGUGAACCCUACUGUGCUGUGGCCUCAUCAGCCACCUCAUCUUCCCUACACCUCAAGGCAACAAAACAAGGGACUUACAUAUUCUCUGCUGGUUUCUUCACCUUCAAGCCUCUCAAGCAACCCAGCUUAUGCAACCAGAAACCCAACAUUCAGAAUUCCAAGAAAUUAAAUUCCCAGAAGUUCUCAGAGAUGGCAUUCCCAUCCUCCUCUCAGGUGGACCCCAAAAUGCCUGAUCCCUCUCUCAACCAAUCUGAUCUCCUAGGUCUCCCAGGUCUCCCAGGUCUCCCAGGUCUCCCAGGACUCCCAGGUCUCCCAGGUCUCCCAGGACUCCCAGGACUCCCAGGACUCCCAGGUCUCCCAGGCCUCCCAGGACUUCCAGGCCUGCCCCUUGCUGCUGAAAAAACUUCAUCCAAGUCCUCCAACUCCAAAACUUCAAGGAAUGGGCAACUAGGUGAUAAUAAAGAAGUCAGCCCAUCCAGAUUCUCCACCAGCAGGUUCAGCACCAUGAUUCCCAACCUACCACCUAUCCUGAUUUCUGUUGGGUUCCUAUCCUAUUGGGCGUAACCCGUUUAAGUAGAAUAAGCCCAUUUAGGUCUUCUGAGUUGUGGUUUCCUGAAGUUCUAUGUAUUUAGGUCUCUUCCUUCUCUUUCGAGAAUUAUGUGAAAUAUUGAAUGUUUAAGUUUUAUCUGCUUUUCCCAUUUUCUCUCUACUUUUCCCUCUUUCUUCUCUAACGAGAAUGUGUCGUUCAUAGACAGCUACAAGUACGGUAAUAUAAUACGAUUCAAUUAUUAGUUAAAUACAAUGAUUAUAUCGUUGAAACUUAAAAUUUCAAGAUAAGAGAUUCAAAGAUAAUAUAAUAUAUAUAUAUAUAUAUAUAUAUAUAUAUAUAUAUAUAAUAUUAUAUAUAUCAAUUAUUGUUGAAUCUUACCCAAGGAUGAAAAAGGGUAUGGGUAUUCUUUGCAGGGGUGGAAAAACAGAAGUGGGUCGGCCAUGCUUUUACUAUGUGGGCCCCUUAGAGAAAACCUGCUAAAAAUGAACCGUUUCAACAGAAGGAGGCAAAUAGCUGUACGGAACGACGACGUCCCUGAAUUAAGGUCAUCUUCUUCGAGUGCGGACGAGCCGUAUCACAUACCUUUCCUGUUUCCAUCGAGUUUGAUCUACUUCAACUUCUGUUUCGACAGAGUAGCAGGGUAAUGAUUUUGGGAAAAAAAUUUAAGGUUAGGGUUUUGGAGAAUAAUUUUGUGACUAGGGUUUUAGGGUUUUGGAUUGUUUUCACAAAAUCAUUCUCCACUGGUGAAAUAAAUCACCAUAAUAAUAGCAGUAGGCUAUGAUUUUAACUUAAUCAGUACCCAAAUGUAAAAUUUUAUGCUUAUUUCCGCAAAUACUAUUAACAAUUUAACAUGGAGUUUUAAUUUUUUAUGAAAUUUUUGUAGUUGAUUGGGUUUGUAUGAUGAAUAUUAGUGUUUUGAGCCACACUUGUUAGUCCAACUUCAAGCAAAUUUGCAAUCAGCAAGUCCAUUCUCUCUAGCUGCGACCUUCCUUGCAAAGGGAGGAAUCUUAACAGAGUCUUCAACCCUUCCCCAAAAGCUAUGAAUAAAGUCUUUAGCGACGACGGUCCAAUUAAGCACUCUAACUUUGGCCUUAUUGGUAUCGGAACGGGCCUCCCUGGAUCAGUGACAGCCGCCGCAGCUUCUACUGCCGUAAAAACUGUUCUUCACGUACCUUGACACUAACCACUUUUAUGGUGACUACUGCGCCUUUCUUCCCAUUGAUGAUUUGACUGUCUACCUAAAUUCUCAUGCUUCCCAACCCUCCGCCACUACUACCACCAAUUUCACCUCUACAAGUACAAGCCAUGAUGAUUGCAUCGCCUUACCCCUCACCCGCCAGUUGCUGUACGCCGAUACAGAGACCGUUACAUAUGCCCCUUAAGUCCUUGCACAAUAUAAUAGAAGCAAACCUCGGUCAAAUAAUAUAAACUUGAACUCCAUUUUGAGCAUUGUGAGAUAAGGGAAUGUGCUAGAAACUAUUAUGUUAAAUUCAUUCUUAUUAAACCUUUCAAAUAUGUGAUGUUUAUUAAUAAGCAUUUUAGGAAUAUCUAUGACUAUGUUUUUAGAUUGUUUGUACCAUACUUGACCAAUCCCGACACUACUAAGCACCGGUCAACGUUAUACCGUCAAGGACCUAGAAGAGUUUCCCUCCAACCAGGAGGCCAAUCACAGCGCGACACGUGUUGACAUCAGAAGCCAAUCAUAGCGCGACACGUGUCAACAUAAGAAGCCAAUCACAACACGACACGUGUUAAUGUCAGAAUGAAACUAGAAACUCUCUUCUAUAAAUAGAGAUCAUUCUCUCACAAUAUUUCCUAAUGUCAUUUGUACUAAAUCAUUCACUAGUACUCACUAAAGGAGAGCUUGAACCUAUGUACUUGUGUAAACCCUUCACAAUUAAUGAGAACUCAUCUACUCCGUGGACGUAGCCAAUCUGGGUGAACCACGUACAUCUUGUGUUUGCUUUCCUGUCUCUAUCCAUUUACAUACUUAUCCACACUAGUGACUGGAGCAAUCUAGCAAAGGCCACAAACUUAACACUUUCUGUUGUACCAAAGUCCUCACCGAUUUUGUGCAUCAACAUUUGGCGCCGUCUGUGGGAACGACACUUAUUCUCACUCUCUUCAGCUUUGUUAAGCUGGUUUCCACCAUUUGUACACUCUCUUUUGACCAGGCAUCCCUCUCCAACAUGGGGAGCGACGGAAGCCACAACACACAGAAUGACACCCUUCUUGCACCUAGUGUGAAGCAACGAAAGAAGGAAGGAAAGAGGGUUGCUUUUCAAGCUAAAGUCGAUGAGCUAGAAUCUUAAAACAACAAGAUAGCAAUGAAGAAUGAGGUCCUCCAAGAGCAGUAUGAGAAGCUCUUUAAGAUGCUCCACGAAACUAGGCGUACUCAAACACGCGAACUCGUUACCCCUGUGGACAUCAACCAUCAUCUGGAUACCUCCCAACAAGGAGGGUCACCUUCCUUCGACAUGGGUAUCCCUGAUGAGGAGCGAGCUAAUCAUCAAAACAUUGAUCAACAUGAGACUUCUUUCAACUCAGAUGCUUCGACCCGAAACAGGAGAAGUGGAGGAAGACACCUUUUUGCAGAAAGGUUGGAAGGAUCGAAAUCCAUUUAUCAUGACUGCCGAGACUUCCUAAAGCAACGUCAAGAGAAUCUCCUCCACAUAAGCUCGAAGAUCAAUGACCCAAGGGUUUCUGAAAGACUUGGUCCCCUCCCACGUCCCAGGCCGGCUACCAAUUUGGGGAAAGGGCAACAAGUCCUAGAGAAACACGAAGGUAUAGGGGGCUCAGAGAUGUUUCGACAGACAUACCUUGAAAGUCAGUACGGCGAGUCCAAGGAAAAAUCACAUGCUCUUGAUCAAACCUUCAUACUUCCAAGAGGAGAUGAACAUUUACGAAAGAAAGCUCAAGUGGUACAUGACUCCACUCAAGACCUUCUUGUCAUACAGCUUCUUAAGGAAGUAAACAAGUUGAAGGCCGAACGACAAGCUGAGAUACCUGAUUGGAACCAACCUAGGCCUGGCCCUCUUACAAGGAGGAUCCUCGACACCCCCUCCAAACAAAGACAAAGCAGAAGCUUGGCUUGCAACUCUAUACUGGAAAAGAGGACCCGAUUGAACACCUUAACCUCUUUGAGUCCACCAUGGCAUACCGGAUGCAUACCAACGAAGAGCGAUGUCUUCUCUUCCCCUCCACCCUCUCUGGCGGAGCUCUAAACUGGUAUUGUCGUCUUCCACCUGAGACGGUAGACUCAUUUGAGGAAUUGAGGAAACUGUUUGUUUCUCAACACAUUUUUCAGACUGAUCGCUUACAUUUUGCAGAUGACUUGUACACUAUUCGCCAGAAGCCGGACGAGUCACUACGAGAGUAUGCCAAUCGCUUUAGCCAUGAGUAUUCUCGAUGCGCUGAGGUAGAUGACAAGAUCGCCCUCAAGGUCUUCACGGCAAGCCUUCGUGAUUGUUUCUUCAAGUACAUGAUCAAUGCCAACACUUGGAAGACUUACUCUGAGGUGAUGGCAUAGGCUUACAACCAUGCAUCCGCCGAGGCAAGGACAUAUCAAGGGAAACCCCCCACAGCCACCCCUUAUCAGCAAGUAGGGAGUGGAAGCCAGAUCCAACCAAAUGAGAAGACCUCGACCUUCCAAACAGCAGCGGUGCCUCCCUCUGCCUUACUUAAUAUUUUGCCAAGUCAACAGACAUAUCAAUCUCAGGGCAAAAGGAAAGAUUUCUAUCCUCACCAGUCUCAUUUUAGUAAAAUGAGUAAGGGACACUACCGCGAUAACCAAGGGUAUCACCACGAUAAUCCCCGACCCCAGGCAGUCAACACAGUGGGUCAAGCACGUGUCCGGAUAGCCCAUACCCCGAGGUAUGAGGCAUACACACCUUUGAACGCCACAUGCGUGGCCAUUUACCCCAGCAUAGCACACCUGAUACCGAAGCCAAAGCCGAGGCACCUGGAUUACAAGUCCACGAAGAACACAGGCACAUUUUGUUGCUACCACGAGUAUAACGGCCAUGACGGUGAAAAGUGUAUCACCCUUCGAGAUCAUAUUGAAGCUUUGGCAUGUGAAGGAAAAAUUGAUCAAUUCCUCAUUCACUCUUCAAGGGGUAACCGUAACCAACCCCAGGUGAAUGUGAUAUAUUCCAUAAGUGGUGACACACCCAUAUCUAAAUCUUCCAACAGGGCCAUGAAAAAUAGUGAACGAGCUUUAAGGUAUGGCCACCAAGUGUUUCACGUGGAAGACAUUAGGGGAGGCAAGCAUCAAAAGCCUAACUGGGAUCUAAUAUGUUUCUACCUUGAGGAAGAAAGAGGUAUCAUCUACCCUCACCACGACCCAUUGAUCGUGGAAGCUCACAUAACCAACUUUAAAGUACGACGAAUCCUAGUAGACACGGGGGCUUCGGUCAAUAUCAUGUUUGCCGAAGUUUUCAGGGCACUUAAUGUAGCUGAACACUUGCUCGAUCGCUCGAUUUCCCUUCUGAUAAGCUUCUCCGGUGAUAUCGUGCAACCUUUAGGGAGCAUACACUUACCUUUCACCAUUGGUACAUACCUUUACACAUCUACCAUUACCACUAACUUCCUGGUGGUUGAUUGCCCAACGACAUACAAUGUCAUCUUGGGACGCACAUGCAUCAAUGAUCUCAAGGCCAUGGUAUCCAUAUAUAUGUUGUUGAUAAAAUUUCCAACCCACUAUGGCAAUGGUUACAUCAGAGGAGAUCAACUUAGUUCACGAUCAUGUUACAACACUUCGGUCAAGCAACAACACCUGCAUGUGCCCAAGGAAACCCUUUCUAUACAUGACCAAGUCAUAAAAACCAGCCCAGACGAAGCCAACUUGGAUCUUCACGGUGGCAACAGUCAACCCGAUGAUCCUCGAGAUGACUUUUUUACCCAGCAAGCACAACCCACUGAAGAGUUGGAGAAGGUCUCUAUAUUAAAAGAUUAUCCGGAUCGCAUGGUGAAGAUUGGCACCACCUUGUCACUACCCAUUCGGUUGGCAUUGAUCUCUUUUUUGCAAGAGAACACUGAGGUUUUCGCCUGGUCAUACGAGGACAUGCCAAGCGUCUCUCCCGAUAUCAUUUGUCAUCGCUUAAGUAUUGACCCCAAAACCAAGCCAGUGAGACAGAAGCGAAGAUCCUAUGACGUUGAAUUUGUAGGAGACAAUGAAGGCAGAAGUUGAAAAAGUCAAAGGCAUAGGCUUCGUCCGCGAAGUCAAUUAUCCAAUGUGGGUAGCAAAUGUUGUCCUUGUUAAGAAGAAUCCGACCAAGGAAAGUCUCCUACUCCAAAAGGUCUUGUGGAGAAUGUGUGUCGAUUACACCGACCUAAACAAAGGAUGCCCGAAUGAUAGCUUUCCUCUUCCUCUCAUAAAUAUACUUAUAGACUCUACAACAGGGUGUGAACUCCUGAGCUUCAUGGAUGCUUACUCAGGAUACAACCAAAUCCUUAUGAACCCUCUGAACCAAGAACACACAACCUUCACUACUGACAGGGGACUAUAUUCACUAGUACAAAAACAUGUUUGCGCGACGAAAACUUACGCGACGCAUAAAAUUACGUCGCGCAAAGCCGUUUUGCACGACGUAGGUGUACGUACGUCGCGCAAAACGUCUUUGCGCGACGUAAUUUUACGCGAUGCUGUCCUUCGUCGCGUAAACUUUUGGUGCCAAACCAAAAGAAUUUACCGUUUUUUCCCAACUUUGUGCGACGCAUGCCCACUUACGUCGCGCAAAGUUGUUUUGCGCGACGUAGGUGGGGAUGCGUCGCGCAAAGUCAACAACUUUUUUUCUUUUCAUUUGAUCAGUUUGGGAGGCAGAAACUGCAUACCUAGCUGCAGCAACUACCUCCAUUGCCCAUCUCUCUCUUCAAAACCGUCUACCAGAUCAGGUUUGAAGUUUGAAUUGAUAUCAAUUCUUUGUAUUUUUUCGAUUGCAAUCCUUCCCCUUUGCUCUUAAACAUGAUGUAAACUGAAUUAAUAAUAUGUAGAUCCUUCAUGUGAUUCAUUUACGAAAUUGAAAUUGCAAAAUCAAAGGAGAUAACUAUCUUGCUGAUUUUCUUUUUCUCUAUACACCAGAUCUCUUCUUUCUGUAGCGACUUAUUUGUUCGUACAUAAAAGCAGAGGUGAUAAAUUAGUUGGGGAAGACAAAUAGGCUUAUAUCCAGGUGAGGAGGACCCUGAGCACAGCUUAAGAAAUUACUAGGAAUAGCAUUGUGAGGCCUAAAUGUCAAUUGGCCAGGACUCCAUACAUGCGCAAUUUUGGUCUUUAGUAAAAACAUCUAAAUGAUGAUGGGUAUGUCCUUGAUGAAGUACCCGGUUAGCUGUUUUUACGAAGGACAAAAUACCGUAUAUGUAUGGAUUCAAACGCCACCAUCAAAUGGAUAAGAAAUUAGCGUCCAAUCCAUCGAAGCAAUUCAUGAUGUCUCCAACAUGUUGGAAGAUUUAAUUGGCAAUGGGAAGUUAGACCCAUUGAGAUGACGAAGAUGGUUUUCUCACGACGUUAAGAGUAGAAGUGUCAUCUUGAGCUCCUAAUCAAUUGUUAUAUUCCUACUGUAUAUGGUUAAUUUAUGUCUCCACCACUCAUGUAUCAUUCUUUGCAUGCGAUCCAAAAAUAAGGAUUCAAUGACCAAAAAACAUGGUUGUUGCAAAUUCAUCCAAAUUCAUGGGAAAUAAAUUAUGCUUAUAUCUUUCUCAUGAUGUGUACAUAUUAUUGAAUUGAUCUAUUCAUUUGUCAAAAAAGUGAACUAGUCGUGUUUAAUUACAUCAAAUUUGUCAAGCUGAUGUUGCCUAGCUGGUAUUCGUGUCGCCUACUUGCCAAUACGUUGAAAAUACACUCACUACUUGCAUAGAAUUUCAUAAUUGUAGGUUGUAUUUGGCUUGGAGACAUUGUGUUUUUACUUUCUUUACCAUAUUUUGGUUCAGAAAACCAGCAGUUCCGAUGACUGGAGGAAAGUCACUCUUCAGCUGGUACUCACAUUAGUUACGCGAACAAGAGCUACUGCUUACGUAAGGUUAAUGAUGGUGCUUGUCUUACUAACAGUUUCACAAUAAGUGAAUCCGUGAUAGGUGACAUGGUUUUCUGAUAAGUUGCAGUCUUUUGGAUAUUAUGCAAGCUAUUGCAGAUAUGAAUGGUGCAGAUAUUCGUCUUACUCUUCAAUCAUUCAACAGCCACUGAGCACAGCUUAAGAAAUUACUAGGAACAAGAGCACGGCUUAGCGGCCUUCUUUUAGUGUAGAUAAUAUCAUUUGUUAGAGAAAUUUUUUAUAUAUAUAUAACAAGGAAGAAAAUGAAAGAGGACAAAUAAUAAGAGAGCAGACACACGAUCGCCUACAAACUUCCAUGUAAACCCAGCCUGCUUUAUUCGUUUUUUCAGACCGAUUAAACAAAGCACAGAACUUAUUCCUCCUUUUUUAAUCCCUUAUUAAUCCCAAGUCUAUGUCUUAAGACAUUCUUUAUCUUCAACUACUUGCAUGUUUGACAUAUCUUAAUAAUAUUUCGUGUGUAACAUUUAGCUCUGAGUACUUAUCAAACAGACAUUAAGAUGCUGCCAAUCCUCAGACUGCAGCCUAUCAUCAUUUGAACACUUGUUCAAGUUUACAGUUUUGAUCCCCUGUCAACACCUACUCCCUUCUUUGUUUUGAUCCAACACCUUAUUUCAAAUCUGCAAAUAGUCACUUGCUAAGAGAAUGAGCAAUGUAACUGUUGCAUUUAGAAGUCGGAUUGUGUCAGUCGAGUGUAAGCAGGCAAUGAGCCUUUUAGUAACGCCAUCUUCUUAUGUUCAUAGAAGUCAGCAGUCUGCAAGUUUAAGCACCUUGUUUGUACAGUUUUACGUUUGUGUACCUAGUUCCAUUCAUAAGUCAGAUUUUAUCAGUUGAUUGCAAAUGCAAUCAGCAAGCAGAAUAUGUCAAUGUAUUUAGUAACAAAUGUCUCAUGCUUAGUAAAUGACUUGCGUAUUAUCUUCGUAAAUUGGCUUUCAUAACUUGUAUAAGAUUAGCAGCAUCCAUAAAUUUCUGUAGGGAAAGUUUUGAAAUUGGAUUUGUGCAUGAUAUGGGAAUUUGUGAGGAUGUAUGUUUGCUCUUGUUGUCUGUGGUCCUCCCCUGCCUUUUUCUUUAGGUUUGGUUAAAGUCUAAGCUACAUCUCUUUCUUAUUAUAAGUCGCAUGCAGAGAGAGAAGAUGAUGACGAUGGUCCUGUAUGUAUAUAUAUAUAGCUACCUCUUCUUUAUUUUUAUGAUUAUAUGAUUACUAAUUAGUCAUUUUACGUUGAUCAUAUUGAUUAAUCUAGAAUGUUAAAUCUAGUAUAUUGUUCUUGCAGACUUGUAUUUUGAAGGUGAGCAUAUGUUGUUUAGGGGGUUCCAAGCUAUGGCCACCCCACUUCACUAAGCUGUGGCCUCCCAAGUUCAUAAAAACAAAGACGGCUAUUACAUGUUGCAAAGGAUGUGCUCACAAAAUCAAGAAGAAAUUGCAGAACUUAACGGUACAAAAUCAGUUUUUUACUUCCCUCUUGCAGUUGAUCAUCAAAUUAGGAAUAUCUGCACAGAUAAAACCGGUUAAAAAUUCUUAACAAAAAUUAAACUAGGAAACGAUUUUAUUAGAACUUUGUAAUUGGUUCUGUUUGUUCUUAUGGUAUUAGUUUGUUUCUUUUCACUUGUUACUGCCUUUUGUAAUCAACUUUUUCACUGUCAUUAUUUACUCUGAUUGGUGAUGACAGAGGCAUGGCUAUUGUAUCUCAUAUAAGAGGAGAACUAAUAAGGAGAACUAAGGACUAAAUUAAGAGAUAGAUACGUAAAGUGAAAUAAAGGGUGCAUAAAUCACUUUAUAUUAAAAUGAAGUCUAAGAGACAUUUAACUACAUUUGAGAUGUCACAGUGUACAUAAAUCACUUUAUUUUCUUCGCUAAAUUAAUUUUUAUUAAUUUUAUCUAUUUUAUUUAGUUUUAGUAAUUAUUGUGAUUUAGUUUAUUUGUAUGCACAUAUUUUUGUACAUCACCUACAAAAUUGUUUUGUGUUGUACUAAGUUAAUACUACUUAACUUCAUACCCUUUUCUCAGGAAAAGCUUAGUUUCCCGUUUGAGAAUUAGUUGGAUUUCGUGCAUGGAUGUGAAAGCAUGACUGCGGUCCAAUUAAUUAUUGAAUUGUCCCAUUUUUUGGACAGUUUGGGAAUGCCCUAGUUAUGUGUUGUAGUUUGCGGUCCACAGAUUAGCUUUCGAUAGUGGAAAUUUUGGUAACAUUUCCCGAUGUUCUUUGAGUACACGGUGGAUAUUAUGUAUCUACGACGUGCACUUGAAGAACUGUAAGGAGAUGCUGGGAAAUUAGCCCACGUCGAAAUUUAAUCCAUUGGAAUCGUAAAUUACGGCACAUAACUGUGCAUUCUUGAAUGGGAUAGGGCCCUGACCAGAGGAAUAAGGUGACAAGACAAUAGUUUUCAUGUCCUAAUCUGUCUCAUAAUUUGCUUCAAUUGUACUUAAUUCCAAUUUUUGAAUAAAAUGAAUGAAUGCCAGCAGCGGUGUAGAUUUUCAAUGGCAUCCAAUUUCAUAUAGUUUAAUUAGUUAUAUCUCCAUUUACCUAUAUACCUAUUCAUUCCAAUUUUAUAUGAUCGCUUGAUGCAAAACUUUUCUAGAUAUUAUUAGUUGUAGCAGUUGCAUCUCUUAAAGAUCUAUACAACUUAUUCUCACUGGUUCACGGUGGAUUUUGCAGUUACUUCUCGAGCGUGGGGAAGCACGAAGGGUUAUUCCUUGGUAACACAUUUAUAAGGAUUCCGUUGUAGACGUUGUUGUAAUUCUUGUACUUUUAUUCGGAUUGCAGACAAAAUGGACAAACAGUGGAUACAUAAUCAUAAUAGAUGUGUUGUUGAGUACUUGGAUGGAAUACAUGCGUUCAUUGAAUUCGCAACUAGACAUAACCUAGGUUCAACUCAUAUCCGAUGUCCAUGUAGGAGGUGUAACAACUCAACGUGGGAGACAUUCAAGAAUGUUUGAUUUCAUUUAGUAAGAAAUGGGAUGAUGGAGACCUAUACUACUUGGUGUCAUCAUGGAGAACGAUUAGACCAAGCUUCGUCUUCAUACGUGACACGAGUGGAAACUGUUGAAUCAAAUGUGGAUCCUAAUGAACAAGUUAUGAAUAUUCUAAAUGACGUUUAUUCAUACGCCUCGAGCAACACCAAUCAGGAAGAGGGAGAAGAGGGAGAUGACGGCCGUCCAACCAUGGACAGUGAGGCAUUCAAAAACUACGAAAAACUAUUGAAAAAUGCCAAGCAAGAAUUAUAUCCAGGUUGUGAGAACUUUUCAAUGCUCACAACAAUUGUGGAGUUGAUGCAUGGCAAGAUCAAGUUUCGUUUGUCAAACAAGUGUUUUGAUUACUUUUUGGGAGUUAUCAAAAGGAUGGUUCCAAAGGAGAAUUGUUUACCUAAAGAUCAUAAAAGUGCCCAAAAAGUGUUGAAGGGUCUCGGAUUGGGGUAUGAAAAAAUUCAUGCAUGUGUAAAUAAUUGUAUAUUGUUCUAUAAGGAGAACAAAGCAUUGGAUAAAUGCCCUGUCUGCAAUGAGCCGAGGUUUAAAAUGACAUCACAGAAUAGAAACACCAAGAUUCCACAAAAAGUAAUGCGCUAUCUUCCAUUGAAGCCUAGGUUGCAGCGAUUGUACAUGUCGAUGCAUACCGCAACCGACAUGAGAUGGCAUAAAGAAGGAUGGGUAAAUGACGAUGUUAUGAGGCAUCAUGCAUAUGGAGAGGCAUGGAAAGAAUUCGAUCGGAUGUACCCUGAUUUUGCAGCUGACCCGCGCAACGUCAGAUUGGGACUUGCCACCGAUGGAUUUAAUCUGUUCGGGGUUUUAAACCUAAUGCACAACACUUGGCCGGUCAUCGUGUUUCCUUAUAAUUUGCCACCUUGGAAGUGCAUGAAAAAAGAAUACAUGAUGUUAAUUCUAUUAAUUAACAAAGAUCCAGGAAAGUCCAUUGAUGUUUAUUUGCGGCCGUUGGUUGAUGAGCUAAAAGAUUUAUGGGAAAACGAUGUUUGUACAUACGAUAAAUAUACUGGGCAGAUGUUCACCAUGCGAGCGGCAGUGAUGUGGACAAUAAAUGAUUUUCCCGCUUAUGCAAUGGUUUCUAGAUAGAUGACUAAGGGUUAUUUGGCAUGUCCAAUAUGCAAGGAGAACGUAACAUCAUCUUGGCAUGCAAGAAAAGUUUGUUAUCUUGGUCAUCGUAGAUGGCUCCCUUGGGACAACGAGUGGCGUCAGAAUGAUAAAUCCUUCGACAGCACAAAAGAAACUCGGCCAAGACCAAGAGAAUAAUCCAGAGAUGAGAUUUUGGAUCAGUUAAACCGUUUGGAAUUUGGUCAUUUCGGCAAAGGGGUCAGUAACCCCAAACCAACUACACAUCUGAACUGGACACACAAGAGUAUGUUAUUUGAGCUUCUGUAUUGGUCAAAGUUAAAAUUGAGACGCAACCUCGAUGUUAUGCAUAUUGAGAAAAAUGUGUUUGACACUUUGAUCGGGACAAUUCUAGACAUUGAAAGAAAAACAAAAGACACGAUCGAAGCUCGCCUCGAUUUGGAACGAAUGGGUAUUAGGUCAUCCUUGUGGAUGAAGAAUGUCGGUGGUACAUUGAAGAAAGGCCAUCCCUUUUUUACAUUUAAGCCGAAUGGGAAAAAAGAGUUUUUCAACUUUAUUUCUUCUGUAAAGUUUCCAGAUGGGUAUGCUUCCAAUAUCUCGCGUUGUGUGAACGUGAAGGGGUGUAAAUUUCAAAACAUGAAGAGUCAUGAAUGUCAUGUGAUACUCCAACGCCUUCUUCCAGUUGGUAUUCGACACUUAUUGCCUCUUGAUGUGGUGAAACCAAUCGUGUUGUUGUCGAGAUUUUUUUCGCAGUUGACUGCAAGGUGUUUGUGGAAGUCAGAUGUUAAACAAUUGCAGGACGACAUAGUGAACGUCUUAUGCAAGUUCGAACAGAUAUUUCCCCCAGCUUUCUUUACAAGUAUGAUUCACGUGAUGAUUCACUUGCCAGAUGAGGCAUUGCUUGCCGGACCAGUGAACUGUCGAUGGAUGUAUCCAAUAGAAAGGUACUUAAUUAAGCGUCUAUAUAUAUAUAUAUAUAUAUAUAUAUAUAUAUAUAUAUAUAUAUAUAUAUAUAUAUAACAUAUUCAUGAUCAACGAACGCUUUGAAUAAUUUGUAGCAUACCUUUUAUUUGUGCAUAUAUCUUGGUGAGUUGAAAACUUGUGUUCGAAACAAGGCAAAGCCCGAAGGAUCACUUGUGGAUGCAUGGGUCACAUAUGAGUCACUUACUUUUUGUGCAAUGUAUCUUGAAGAUGUUGAGACAGCUUUCAAUCGUCCAGAACACAAUAAUGAUGGUGGUGUCAGAAAAGAGAAACUGUCUAUUUUUCCCCAAAUUGCACGACCAUUCGGCGAUCCUGUAAAAGACGAAUCGUUUACCAAAAAGGACAUGGAGGUAGCGCAUUGGUUCAUACUCAACAAUUGUGACGAGGCUUUGCCAUACCUUGAAGAGCAUGAACAAUUGAUGAAGCGGGAACAUCCUUCACAUUUAUAUGCCAAGAAGCACCGUGACUUGUUUCCUUCGUGGUUUCAUGCACAUGUAAGUUGUAUGUGGUUUGAAUUGAGCAUAUUUUCCAACUUGUUCAUGCCCGUCUUUAAAUUUGGUUAUACUAACAAGUUAAUUUUUUGUAUAUGUUAUAUUAGAUGAACAAAUUGAAGGAAUUGAAUUCACCCUCUUACGAUGAAGAAUUAUAUAACUUGGCGAGAUGACCGCUUCACGUUGAAUUGUUCUCAGGUUGUCAUGUCAACGGGAUCAAGUUCUUGGGGGAAACACGUGAUGACAAGUUGUCUACUUAAAAUAGUGGUGUCCAUGUCCCAGGUGCGGGUGAUAGUGAAGACAUUGAUUUUUUUGGCAAACUAACUAGUGUAGUACAAUUGCUUUACAAAGAUAGGUGUCAAGUGAUAUUGUUUAAGUGUCUUUGGUUUGAUACAAACCCACAUAACCGAACGAGUGUUAAGCGAGACCAUGGUUUACUAUCAGUAAACAUUAUGAGACAUUGGUACGAUGAAGACCCAUACAUUUUGGCAACAAUGGCAAAACAAAUAUUCUAUCUAGACGACCCUAAAGCUGGCAAUGGUUGGAAAGUUGUUCAAAAGAUUGAUCGAAGAGGGCUAUAUGAUAUUCCAUAACAAGAUCAUGAUGACAAUUACGAUAACGUCGCUGACCAACAGUUAUCAUCUUCGAUAGAAAUUGGUGAAGAAACACUCCGGGAUACUAAUAUUGUCCAAGAACCGUUUGACGUAGUUGGAUUUCCUGAAUUCGAAAUAUCAAUUGACCUUGGUGAUCUACCUCAAUACAAUGCAUCGGAAGAGGAAAACGAAGAUGAAGACAAAUGGGAAUCCGGAAAUGAUAGUAGUGAGGAUAGCGAGAGUAAUUAUUGUAGUUCAGAUGAUGAUUAAUAUAAACUUGUAAAGAAAAAUCGUGCUUUUUCGUUUAUAACCGUCAAAAAGUUUUGUCCCUUUACAUAAUCUCUGAAUGUUUGUUUUUUGCAAUUUUUGGCGUCUGCGAUCUCGAAGCAUAUACAAACAAGUUUGACGGUUGGAUAGUUGAAAUUAGUUUUGUACAAUGCGUUUCCCAUCAAGUUCAAUGGUAUAUAUAUUUACUAAGUUGAUUUUAAUUUAUUUAUUUUGUACUUAUAACACUUAAGAAAUUUAAUGAUAUAUAUGUAAAAAAAAAAUUAUUGUGAGUUUUUGUUAGAAAAAUAUAUUAUUGUGGGGUUUAUGUAAAAUAAAUUUGAAUUUGAAAGAAGUAAAAUCACAUUUUUAGUAAUUUUUAUAAUAUUUAAAAAAAAAUAAAAUAAAAAAACCUUGCGCAACGUCUUAAUGUAGUCGUUGAGCAAAACUACUUUGCGUGACGUCAAUUUGUAUACCUACGUCGCGUCAUGUGAUAAUUUUGGCGCUCUAAUAGUGAAAAAUAGGCGUUUGUUUUCAAUUUUCCAAGUUUGGCAAACUUUUGAACCCCAUAGAUCUCUCUCUUCCCGUAUACCUCUCUCUUCCCACUCGCUCUUUCUUUCCCGCACGUAGACAUGCAUCUCUCCCUCUCGCUCUUUCUUUCCUGUACGUAGACCUGCAUCUCUCCCUCUUUCUCUCUCUUUCCCGUAGACCUCUCUCUCCUCUUCGCAACCUUCAACCCCCAAAUCUCAAAGCCGACGCGACGUAGGUUCCCAAAAUCAAGGUAAGGGUUUCUCAUUUUCGAUGGGUUUUUGUUAUUUAGGGUUUAGGGUCAAAUUGCAUGUUGAUUUCUGAGUACUUUGUCGAAAUCUCCAGAUAAAAUUGGAUGUUGGUUCUGAUUUGAUAGGGUUUCAGAUUUGUGAUGGUUUGAGGUUAUGUGGGUCUGUUGAUUUUGUUCAGUUGAUAGGGUUUGAGGUUCUGAUUUAGCACAGUGGUGGGUUUUCUCGAAGAACCUUAAAAGCAUGAAUCCUUACUCUGUCGUCCCUGGUACAAAAUUUCAACUUAUUUUUGUAUAUUUCUGAACCAAAUAUAUAUAUAUAUAUAGCAUCUUGAUCUUCUUCUUCACAGGGCAUGUUCAUCGGCUGUGAGGUGGUGGUUAUCUGUCAGUCUCCUGGUGAAAUUCUCAAUCUUUCUCUCUUAAUUAAGUGUUAAUCAUAGCUUUUAAACUGUUUUUCUUUCACUCAUCAGUCAUCACAUCCACACUCAGCUCAUCCUUCUCCAAAUUAAACUCAUUUUCUGGGUUUUUUUUUCUUUCAAAAGGGAAAUCUCAGUCACAAGGACAUGUAAAGUUCAUUACCCGUAAAUUUCAUUUGGUUUUUGUUACAAAUGGAACAGGAAUGGCUUACUUGCAAUUUAGGACUUGUAAUUUGAUAAUAAUAAAAGAAGGACGUCUGUUUAUUGAGAGAUGCCUAGGACUGGUUUGAUGUUUGUCAACGAAAGUAAGCUUUGAAUUUCAGUAGGCGGUGCUACCAAGCUUCGAACUUAAUUUGACCUACCACCAUUUGUUUUACUUCGAAUUAAAACAUGGAGAGAUCCUGCUAUAGAUUUGUAAAUAUUAUGCUAGCAAAGUCUUUUGAGCAUUAUGAUUUUCUUGUCCUGUAGCAGCAUAAUAAUGCUCAUAUAUGAUGCUAACUGUUACAUCCCAGACUCAAUCGUCAGUUAAUUAUAUUAUGAGUGAGUUCGGGAAUAACAUGAACCUAAUAGGUAAAUACCUCAGAAAUUUUCCUUUUGCUUAUUUAAUUGGCAUUGACUUGCAUAUAGUAUUCAUGCAUGUUAGAUGUAUUCUGGAAUAUCUUGUUCUUUUAAAUAGUUGUUGUGAAAAACCUGUAUUCUUGUUCUGAAGAAUGAGCCCUGCAUAUGGCUUUUCCAGAUUUGUAGGAAGUGUUAACUUUUCACAGGGGAUUGAAACUAGAAAACAUUUGAUGCACAUACUUAUAUAUGAUAUGCCUGAUUGCUUAACCCACUGCCUCAAGCUAUUACGGUAUUACCUUAGAUGAGAAUUUUACUUGAAUAGACUUAAGCAGUGCAGGACCCGACCAUUUAAAUACUGUACUUUUGAGCAGUUGCAUUAUAACCCACAUAUCCCAUGUAAAGUUUAUUCUAAACCUUUCAUGAGGUGGAACAAAUUAGUGAAAAAAUCUAUCAUUUUUGCUCACAAAAUACACAUACUGCCACAGUUUAACUAAUUUGAUCCUUAUAUAGUGAUUCUCUUUUAGGGUUUGUUCAGAUGCAAGAAAGGAUUAGUUUAAAUAUUCUUGUAUUGAUAUUAUUGCUCUAAUUACUUAUAUUACUUUGGUUGCUAUUUUAUUAGUUUCAAAUGCAAGAAAUGAUUAGUUUCUAAUGUUAUAUUUGUAUGGUUCAUAAAGUGUAUAGAUGUCGCAGUUGAUCACUCGUCGUCGGAGUGUGUCCAAUGCAGCUCCUGCAUUAUCAGCAUCUAGUGCUCCAGGUGUGAGUGCUCCAAGCGUGAGUGCUCCAUUGAUUGGGGAGCCUACACCCCUUACGGAGGCUACUCCUACGACGUCCCAGGUGCCCGUAUCAUCAACGUCAUCAGUGUCAGUUCAACCCCUCAGUGCACGGCGGCCUCCCUAGCGCCGCCGCGAGCCGGAGCCUUCUGAUCACACUUCCUUGUCCUCCAGAGUCGAGGAUGGGGCCUCCCAACCAGGUAGUUUUUUUUCUAAUUCUCACUACGUUGCAUUUUUUUUUCAUUUCAAAACUAUUACUUUUAUGAUUGUGAAAAUGUGUUGCGGGUUGUGAAUUACUGUUUUAAGGUACUUUUAUGAUUAGGGGAGGUUUUGCCGAAUUUUUUGUACAAAUUUAAGCUUAGGGUUUUUACCAUUAAAGUUUUUUUGGGUAGCUAAAAAAAAACACCAAGGGGCCCAAUCGAAUGUUGAAGGAGCUACAGCUUGUACGUAUGUCUGCCUCCUUGAUCAAGAUUGCGUAUGAUGAGCGACAUUGUGGAGCGGUUACCUCACAGCAGCAUAACAGCGUCGUUAAUUGCUGUGGUUUUAUUAUUAGGAAUUUUUGUCCUAUGCGGUGGGAGAGUUGGGCAAAAAUUCCCGAUGAGACGAGGACCCUGGUGCGAGAUAAUUUGGAGGUUAGUAAAUUAAUUUUUAGCAAAGUCAACAUCUUUCUCUGCUUAAACUAUUGCAGGGCCAUCAUCUUGAUUAAUAAAGUCAAGAUCUUUCUCUCAAUUUCUGUUUGGUUGCUAAGAAAAUGUAGGGGGGAAAGAGAAAUCAGGUGCAUUUCAUUGUUUUGCACCUGAUAGCCGAGUGUUGUUGUGGUGAAUAAUUUGGUCAUGUAUUUUGCACACUCUUCUUCUAUUCAUAAUUGGGAGCAGGUGUGGUCCUUUAGUUUUGGUUAAUUUCAGUGAUUUGCGGCACUGUUCUUUGUUGUCUGAAUGCUUCAUGGGAAGGAAAUUGAAAAAUAAUUCCGUGAACCAAUGUUAAAAUAAUGAUUAUGUUGGUUAGGUGGAAGGAUUACUAUCUUAUCUGAUGCAUAUUUAUGGGUUUUUAGUUUUGGUCUACGUCCUUGCUUAAUGAUUUAUGAUAGUGUUUAAGUGAGUAUGCAUGCCGUCUCUAGUACAUUGCUUUGCUUGUGUUGUGCAUCAGUUAACCUGAUCCAUAGUAUCCACUGGUUGAGCAACAUCGUGAUACCUAAACAUUAUGCCUAUACAUGCUGUUUUGUUUUAAUCAUUAAGUGCUUCUUGGGACUGGCUAUACUAAUCAAAUAAUCUAUCUUUUACCGAGCGAGUCCUAUGUAUGGUUCUUGACUUUGCCUCAAUUUGAUAGUGAAUUGUUUUUAGUUGUUGUCCUGGUUUUAUUUAUUAAAGUGAACUACGAAAGCAGCCUUAAAUAGUCGAGUUAAAUCCUUUGUUGAGAAAUUGUGCUAAGGAAAGGAAUUUGAUAAAUAAUUUGAGUGUUAACCUUAUGGUUUGAACAUUAAAGGUUUGACACUUGCGUGAAGCUGAGGUUUGACACUACUUUCCGAACUAGUAUGAAUGAUCCUAUAUAUAAAAAUUGUUUAUAAUUUUGUAAGCUUCCUGUAUAUUACUGUAACCACUUUCUACACAUUUACUUACCUUCUUAUGAAGUUUUUCUUCGAAUCUGCUAAUAUUUGUUGGGUCAUUUAGAAAUGACAUGCUUACUACAUGCUAUUCUUAGUGGGUUGCAGUUGGACAAGAGUCUCAUAAACAUGUUACACAAUUUGAUUUCUGUAGUUGCAGCAGCAUAAUUUUCAUUCUGUCAGUUUUACUACUUCUGGAUUGUAAGCACAACCAGUUUAAACAGGCAUGAUGUUGUAAAUUACUUUAACGAAGCUCACAUCUUAAGGGGUAAAUUGGUUUUUGGUUGUAAAAAUUAGAGCAUGUCCUUAGUAACAGCUAUUUGGAAGCCAACAUGAUUAACUGACUGUUAAAGUGGGAUAUGAAAUGCUUGUAUGCAAUAGGUUACCUUUAUGGAAUUGCAUUAAAUUGUACAUGCAUGACUUUUUUUUUCUUUUUGGGUAAAGUAUAUAUAAUAGUAGUUGGCUUACAUCCUAACAAAUCAUUUAACAUGCUACUGGAAUAGUUGAUCUUGAGUUACAGUCAGUGCAGUUACAACCUCUCUAUAAAAUGUUGAAUUUCCACCUUUGGUCUCUGUACCGGUGGAAAGAGGCUCACAUGGGAGAUCAAAACCCCACUCUUGAGAUCUUUCAUAAUAUAAACAUUAUAUUGUUUGCUUCCUAACAAAUUAAGAUUCUAGUUAUUAUUGUAAACCGACAAACUUUAUCAGUAUCUUAUAAACUAGUUGUCAAUUAUUCUGAUACAUGGUCAUUUUGUUUGUCAUUUUGUUUUUCAUAUUUGUAGGUCGUUUUUGAAAUGGAGGACAUAUCCCCUGAGGUCAGUGCCUACUUAGAGGAGACCUUUGCAAGCCGGUACAAAGAUUGGAAGAGCACUCUUCACAAGCAUUUUUAGCUAUGGGAAUCUCCGGAGAUUGCUCGCCUACAGGGUUGCCCACUCGAGUAUAAGGAGCGGCGAGAGGAUUGGGAGUGGCUCUGCACACAUUUUACGGAUCCAAAAUUUGUGGUAUGUACAUAAUACUUUAAUAAUAAUUUAUUGUUUUUGUUAUUUCAUUUAAGCUUUUUUUAAUAAUUUCUUUCAAAUAGUCGCACUAACAUGUAUAUUGUAUGUUUAACAGAAUAAAUCUGUUGUUGGCAAGAAAGCUCGGGACUCAAAGACACUUCUCCACCAUUCCAGUUCGAAGCCCUUUUCGUAUAGGGUUGAGGCACGACGUGAGGUAAAAGUAUAUUAAUUUUGAAAUUUUAUACAAUCUAUUUUUUAUUAUUGAUUAAUAAAAUUUUCUUAAUGUUUUUUUUUUCUUUAGAAGGGUUCUAAGUUCCCACAGAUUGACCUGUUCAAGCAUGUUUACGUUCAUCCCAACAAUGAGAAUAGUGACCAGCUUUAUGUAAGUAUAUGUAAUUGUUAUUUUUCUUAUUUUUAUGAAUCGUUCAAAUAUUAUUUAUAUUUUGUUAUUAAACAUAGUGGAAAAGAGCACUGCUAUUCUCCAAGAAGCAACAUCGCAGCUUCCCCCAAAGACCCCGAUCGAGGACGUCAUUGUACCCAAGGAUGCAAAUGUUCAGAUCGUGACUGAGGUCCUGGAUCAGAAGUUCGGUCGUCAUCAUGGUAAGGUUGUUAGGUGUACGGGGAAGGCGGGGGUUCGUGAAACGGGUGCCUCUUCUUCCAGAUUGUCCACAGGAAAGGUCAAUUCCUUGAAGGAGGAAGUGACAACCCUAAGAGGUCAGGUUACGGCCCAGGGCGACCACAUUAGGGCCCAGGACGAGAGGAUGAAUAUGAUUGUUCAGGCCUUAGCGAUGUCUGGCCUCCAAAUCCCGACGAUGCCAACACCUAAUGUUGCUCCACCUUCGACUUCCCAGCCACUUUACCCAGAUGAUACCGAGUAGCAUGAUGUAUUAAACUUAGAAGACUUGUAGUUUUUUAAUUUCUUGUUCGGACAAACGUACAUUUUCAUAUAUUCUAUAAUUAAUUACUUUUUCUUGGUUUAUUAAUUAUUGUUUAGAAUUUAAUUAUAAUAUUUAUUAAAAAUUAAAUAAAAAAAUAUAAAUGACAAAAAAAAAGGUUUGCGCUACGCAGUGCCUACCUACGUUGCGCAAAGCUACUUUGCGUGACGCAGGACCUACGUCGCGCAAAUUUACUUUGAGCGACGCAGUGCCUACGCGACAUAGGACCGUCGUCGCGCAAAGUCAAAAAUACGUCGCCCAAAAAUUAGCUAAACGAACCUUCAUCGCGCAAGAACCGUCGCGCGAAGGUAGUGAAGGAAGGGUUUGUGCGACACAGUGCCUACCUACGUCGCGCAAAGCUACUUUGCGUGACGCAGGACCUAUGUCGCAUAAAUUUACUUUGAGCAACGCAGUGCCUACCUACGUCGCGUAAAGCUACUUUGAGCGACGCAGGACCUACAUCGCGCAAAGUAGCUUUGCGCGACGUAGGUAGGCACUGCGUCGUACAAACCCUUCCUUCACUGCCUUCGCACGACGGUUCUUGGGCGAUGAAGGUUCGUUUAGCUAAUUUUUGGGCGACAUAUUUUUGACUUUGCGCGACGACGGUCCUAUGUCGCGCAAAGUCUUUUUUGUACUAGUGAUUGCUAUAAAGUCAUGCCCUUCGGCCUAAAAAAUGCAGGAGCGACUUAUCGGAGACUGGUCAAUUCAAUGUUUGCCGAACAGAUUGGGAAGAGGAUGGAAGUUUAUGUUGAUGAUAUGCUAGUCAAGAGCAAACAUGCUAACCAACACAUCACCAACCUAUCUGAAACUUUCACCAUUCUGAAGAGGUAUCGAAUGAGGUUAAACCCCAACAAAUGUGCCUUCGACGUAGGCUCUGGCAAAUUCUUAGGCUUCAUGAUAAGCCAACGAGGUAUUGAGGCUAAUCCCGAGAAGAUCAAAGCAAUCAUCGACAUGAAGGAACCGGUAACCUCAAAAGACAUCCAAAGCCUUACUGGCAAGGUGGCAGCCUUAACUAGGUUCAUCUCUAAGGCCACAGACAGAUGUGCUCCUUUCUUCAAAGCAUUUAAGGGAAGUAAAAAGUACAUUACAUGGACUGAUGAAUGUGCUGAGGUAUUCAAGAACCUCAAAGACUACAUGAGUAAAGCCCCUCUGCUCUCCAAACCUGAGGUUGGUGACACUCUCAUUAUCUAUCUGUCGGUAUCAGCUUCAGUAGUAAGUUCCGUUCUCAUUCGAAAAGAUGGUAAUGUCGAACGGCCUGUCUACUACGCUAGCAAGGCCUUACAAGAUGAGGAGACACGAUACUCCAACAUUGAGAAAUUAGCUCUAACAUUGGUCGUGUCUGCUCGAAAACUUCGCCCUUACUUCCAAGCACACUCCAUCAUCGUGCUUACCAAUCAUCAUCUUCGACAAAUACUCCAAAGUCCUGACACUUCUGGGCGAAUGAUCAAAUGGGCAAUAGCAUUGGGUGAGUUUGACAUCUCCUACUAACCAAAGCCAGCUGAGAAGGGCCAAGCAGUGGCAGACUUCAUCGCCGACUUCACAUAUCCUAUUAACAUUGUUUCUACGCCCAAAGAAGUGGUUUCAUUACCCUCGGAAGCUCAGAAAACAGAACCAACAGCCCCAGCAUGGAGACUAUAUGUUGAUGGCUCAUCCAACCAACAGGGUUGUGAAGCAGGACUAGUCCUUACGACCCCUGACAAAGUGGCAAUGAAGUAUGCUAUUCGUUUCAAAGUUAAGGAGUCGAACAAUGAGGCCGACUAUGAAGCCCUCCUAGCAGGCUUAUGUUUGGCCAAACACCUUGGGGUUAAACGAAUUGAUAUCUUCAGUGACUCUCAAUUGGUGGUUAACCAAGUCACCAACAACUUUGACGCUAAGGAUAGCUCAAUGGCAGCAUAUAUGGCACAAACACAAUUGUUGCUCAAGCACUUCCAGUACCAGAUCACCCAAAUUCCUCGAGCGGCAAAUAGUCAUACAAAUGCUUUGGCUCACCUCGCCUCAGCGGUGGAAGACAAGAUUGGGAGAAGAAUUCAGGUCGAAUUGUUGGCAGCACCAAGCACCAUGGUUGCGGAAGUGUGCAACUUACAACAGGGGGAUAGUUGGAUUACCCCGAUUUAUAGAUUCCUUACUCAUGGCACCCUUCCAAAUGACAAAGUCCAAGCUAAGCAAAUUCGAUACAAGGCUACCUGUUACUUGAUCAUUAAUGAUCAACUUUACAAGUGGGGUUUUAACCUACCAUACCUAAGAUGCCUUACGCCCGUAGAGGCGAAAACUGUCCUUCGGGAAAUACAUGAAGGAGUCUGCAGAGAUCAUGCUAGAUCUCGAUCCCUAGCACACAAGGCUUUUUGCCAAGGAUUACUGGCCGACACUCUACCAAGAUGCCAUCAAAAUAUCCCGCUCAUGUGAUAAGUGUCAACGCAACGUAAUUAUUCCUCACUCCCCUCCCGAGCAGCUCACUCCUAUGAUCAGCCCUUGGCCUUUCGCCCAAUGGGGACUUGAUUUGAUUGGCCCAAUGCCUGCAGGGAAGGGCAAAGUUCGCUAUGCAAUCGUUGCAGUUGACUACUUCACAAAGUGGGCCGAAGUAGAACCCUUAGCAACCAUUACUAAGGCAAAAAUAGAAGACUUCGUAUGAAAGAACAUCCUUUGCAGAUUCGGCAUUCCCGAUGCGAUAGUCAUUGACAACGGGCGACAGUUCAACAACAAUAAGUUCAGGAUGUUCUGCUCUAAGUUCAACAUCAACUUAUGUUUUGCCUCCCCAGCUCAUCCCCAGUCUAAUGGACAAGUUGAAGCUAUCAACAAAAUAAUCAAGCGAACUUUGAAAACCAACUUAGACAAGGCUAAAGGUUGUUGGCCAGAAUUUGUACCCCAAGUUUUUUGGUCAUACCGCACUUCGUAUUAGACAUCAACACGAGAAACCCCAUUCUCACUUGCCUUUGGUACAGAGGCAGUUGUCCCAGUUGAGCUUGAAUAAGCAACAUUUCGAGUCCAGAACUACGUGCAAGGCGAAAAUGACAAACAACUUACCCUCAACUUAGAUCUAGUUGAGGAACACAGAAACCAGGCUCACUUGAGGAAUGUCGCCUACAAGCAGCGCAUCUCCAACUACUAUGACUCAAGGGUCAAACCUCGUUCUUUCAAAGUGGAGGAUUGGGUAUUAAAGAAAAGAUUACUCUGCGACAGAGUCCCGAGUGAAGGAACACUUAGUCCAAACUGGGAUUGACAGUUUAAAGUUGUUGGCAUCAGUCACCCUGGCUCCUACAAGCUUAGAAGCUCCGAUGGCAAGACCAUUGGCCAUCCAUGGAACGCUGAUCACUUGAAGUACUAUUACAAGUAAACUCACAUUGUACAAGUGUUAAGCUUCAACAGUUCAUCAUCCUAUGUAACGAAGACUAUUUGGCAUGAAUUCAAUAAAGAGGUGAUUUAGAUAACUCGGUCCUAAUCCUCUUACAUUCCUAGCAAUGAAACACUCGGGCCCAAAGCUUCAACUCCAAAGCUUCACUUACAAAAGCUUCAACACAAAAGCUUUACCCACAAAAGCUUCAUCAUUUGAGGACAACUACGAAUUCUCAAAAGCUUUACACUAUCUUGAUCAAGAUAGUGUGAAGCAAAAUCAAUUCAUGGUACCCAACAAAAGCUUCAACUCCAAAGCUUCACCUACAAAAACUUCAACAUAAAAGCUUCACCCAUAAAAGCUUCAACACAAAAGCUUCACCCAUAAAAGCUUGACCCACAAAAGCUUGACCCACAAAAGCUUCACCUACAAAAGCUUCACCCACAAAAGUUUGACCCACAAAAGCUUGACCCACAAAAGCUUGACCCAUAAAAGCUUGACCCACAAAAGCUUGACCCACAAAAGCUUGACCUACAAAAGCUUCAACACAAAAGCUUCACCUACAAAAGCUUCACACUAUCUUGAUCAAUUCAUGGUGCCCAACAAAGCUUUAACCUCAAAGCUUCACCUACAAAGCUUCAACACCAAAGCUUCACCUACAAAGCUUAAAAAUAUAUAUAUAUUUUUUCAGAAAUUCAAAAAUUCAAAAAUUCAAAAAAAAAAAUUCAAAAAUUCGAAGAAAAAAAAUUCGCCUAGGUCUCCUCUUCUUUAGGCCUAACAACUUUCAUAACAAAUAUAUAUAUGAAUGAGGAGUUUUGGGCUACCAUUUAAAAAGGAAAUGCCACAUUCGUCAACUCCCUCGACCGGAGACUUGGGGGACACCUACCAUAUGCUACUGCACCUUGAUAUUCAGAAGUCUCACGACCACUCAGUGACUUGGAUUUUUCAAGUCUCCAACCGAGAAGUUUUCCUCACUCGGGAAAUUAAGGAAGUACUACCUCAACAUACAUGUUUCACUCUCAAAGCUUCAACAUACAAGCUUCAACAAAAGAAAAAAUUCAAAGAACUUAGUGAAGAAGGCCUUGGUGUAUUCAACACAAUACGUUGAAAUGAAGCAAAGCUUGUUUAUUGAUAUCUUCGAUAAGUUACAAAUAUGUAUAUAUACAUGAAUCAAAAUAAACAAACAAGAGAGAGCCUUCACAAAGGUUGCUCAUGAGAAGUCUCAGCAGUCGGCAGAGCCCCAGAAAGAGUAGGCAUCAGAAGGUGAUCAUUCGGAGCCUCAGUACUGGUAGAGAACCCUAGAAGGAGGAGGCACCAAAGGUUGAUCAUUCGGAGCUUCAUUACGUGGUACAGCCCCAGAAGACAAAGGCAAUAAAUGCCUUUGGAACAAACCCACAAACCUCUGAUUAUCAAGCAAAAUCUGACCAUCAGAUUCCUGCAGCUGGUCAAGCUUCAUCUUCAUGUUUGUAGUAUAGUCAUGUGCGAGCCUGUGCAACUGUUUAUUCUCAUGCUUGAGCCCUCUGAUCUCCUGUUUGAGACUUAUCACUUCAGCCGCCAAUUAUUCAACUUGGCGGGUUCAAGCAAAUAGGUGUUGGGCCAUAUUAGACACAGAACCUGCACACUGAACACUGAGAGCCAGAGAAUCCUUAACAGUCAACUCAUCAGACCGUUUGGAAAUUAGUCUGUUAUCUUUAAGAGUGAGAAGGUUCUUGGCCACCACCGCAGCGGUUAUAUCAUUCUUCAUCACAGAGUCCCCAACGGUAAGAGGACCAGUAAGGGAUAAGAAGAAUGGGCGCCAUAUGUUGUCUUGAGAAGGCAUGGCUGCCUCUUCACCAAAGUUCAAGUCAAAACGACGGUCGGAAGGGCCAUACAUUCUCAGAAAUGAUGAAGGAGAAAUGAGGUGCAAUAAAUCUCUGAAGUAAGGGGAAAAUUCAUACAAGCAAUAACUCUCUGAAUGUACUUCUUGCACACAAUUGGUGCCCUUAUAAAAGAAAGGGUAACAAGGCCGUUGGUUCAAAAAUCGAAAAGGCAUCACUCUUCGGAUUUCAAAGAGACACCACUCUCCACACGCAACAUCAGCUCCUCGGGUACCACAGAUAACUUUGCCAAAGAUCUCUGACAAAGUUUAGACAUAUAAAUUUUGAAGGUCCAGCUACCCUACUAUUACUCACAAGGGUAAAGGAACAACACCACUACUUGAUAACUGAAGAGUCCCUAUGUGUGUCAACCUCCGUGCUCCGUGGCAAGGUAGAUUGGCAAAAAUGCCCAACCUUUACUCAUAUUCGAGAAAACACUCCCAAUAAGAUUACUUUCUAAAAAAUUGAAGAGGCACCGCUCUCCGAAUCUCAAGAGCCAGACUCCCAACAGGAUUGUUUUCUCAAAAAUCGAAGAGGCACCGUUCUUCGAAUCUCAAGAGCCAGAUCCCCGACAGGAUUGCUUGUUCGAAAACCGAAGAGGCAUCGCUCUCUGAACUUCGAGAGCCAAAUUUCCUUGGAUAAAGCUUGUCUGCAAUCUUCACACGCAACAUCAGCUUUCCAGAUACCACAUACCACUUUUUCAAAGUGCUCUGACAAAGUUAAAACACGUGAAGCUUGCAGCUCCCACUACAUUGCUACGACCAAGAAGGGUAAAGGAAUAGCAUUAUUACUUGCUUAAAAAUCAAAGAGGCACCGCCAUCUGAAUCUCUAGAGCCAGACUUCCAACAAGAUUACUUUCUCAAAAAUUGAAGAGGCACUGCUUUCCGAAUCUCAAGAGCCAGACUCUCAAUAGGAUUGCUUUCUCAAAAAUCGAAGAGACACCGUUCUCCGAAUCUUAAGAGCCAAACUCCCAACAGGAUUACGUGCUUAAAAAUCGAAGAGGCAUCGCCCCUUCGAAUCUCGAGAGCCAGACUUCCAACAGGAUUACUUUCUCAAAAAUUGAAGAGACACUGCUCUCCGAAUCUCGAGAGCCAGACUUCCAACAAGACUGAUUUCUCAAAAAUCGAAGAGGCACAAUUCUCUGAAUCUCGAGAGCCAGAUCCCCGACAGGAUUGCUUGUUCGAAAACCGAAGAGCACCGCUCUCAGAACUUCGAGAGCCAGAUUUCCUUGGAUAAAGCUUAUCUGCAAUCUUCACACGCAACAUCAGCUUUUCGGAUACCAUAGACCACUUUUUCAAAGUGCUCUGACAAAGUUAAAACACGUGAAACUUGCAGCUCCCACUACAUUGCUAUGACCAAGAAAUGUAAAGGAAUAACACUACUACUUAUUGUUAGGGAUACUCCUAUAUAUGUCGACCUCCAUCCUCCAUAGCCAGGCAAACCUGCAAAUAAAAAAAUGCUCAACUUUUCUUCACAUCCGAGAGGGCACUCUCAGCAGAGUCUCUCGAAAUACUUAGCUUUUUUUCCUCCCGAUAAUAUCUCUACAAACAAGCCACGCCAGAGCAAGAGUAUCUCAUAUCACCAGGGUUAAAAGAAAGAGUAUCCCAUAUCAUGUUUUUUCCCUGUCUUUUCCUUUGGCCUUAUUCUUACCUGCAAGACAAGGAGAAAGAGAGCAAUCAGUCAGCACUUAGAAUCAAGCUUCCAGUCAGGAACUGACUGCCUGGAACCCCUUGCUUGAUUACUUACCUGACAUUGCUCUCGAGUAGUCAUCUUCAACAUCUUAUGCUUCCAGAGAAGAUACCACAUCUGCCUGAGGAACAGAUAGGGCAAGUGAGAACGAUACAAGAAAGCAUGCGAAGACAAGCGUAACAGAACACGUGCCGAUAUAUCCACUACUUUGUCAACAGCAAAAGUAUCUCAUAUCAUCAGGGUCGAAUGUACUCUAGAUUUGAUGGACUUGUUUUGACCCUCAAAUUCUUAAGUUGGCCUUAUACUCUUGAAGAAACCAGAAAACCCUCCAGCCCAGUUUAAGAAUAAGCAUGCGGAAAGUUACUUGUUCAAAAGCAAAAGUAUCUCAUAUCAUCUCUUAUCCAUUUGCUUCUCAUUAUCCUUAGUGCUAUUUACGACAUAAGGAGAAAGAAAACAAUCAACCGGAAGUCGAAGUCGAACCUCCGAUCCAGGUUGCUUACUUGGAAGUCUGAUUGCUUACCUUGUCUGUUACCUCCUUCGGCAAAUCUCCUAGCCUGGCGACUUAGGGGACUCAUACUAUAGGGUUUGUAUCGCACUUGACCAAGCCCGAAACUACAAGUAAGCUUCAAGUGAAAUUGAUACAUUACCUUGUGCAUCUUCAUCGGUUAAAGAUACCACCCCUGGAUGGAGGAAAAGUACUUCCAGAGAAGAUGCCACAUCUACGUAUGAGACAGAUAAGGCAAGUGAAAAUGAUACCACACUUCGGUACUUAGAAGUUUCGUGAUUACUCAAUGGCUUGGAUCUUGCAAGUCCCCAACCGAGGAGCUUCCCUCACUCGGGAACUUAGGGGAGCACUGUUUGUACCAUACUUGACCAAUCCUGAAACUACUAAGCACUGGUCAACGUUAUACCGUCAAGGACCUAGAAGAGUUUCCCUCCAACCAGAAGGCCAAUCACAGUGCGACACGUGUUGACAUCAGAAGCCAAUCAUAGCGCAACACGUGUCAACAUCAGAAGCCAAUCACAACACGACACGUGUCAAUGUCAGAAUGAAACUAGAAACUCUCUUCUAUAAAUAGAGAUCAUUCUCUCACAAUAUUUCCUAAUGUCAUUUGUACUAAAUCAUUCACUAGUACUCACUAAAAGAGAGCUUGAACCUAUGUACUUGUGUAAACCCUUCACAAUUAAUGAGAACUCAUCUGCUCCGUGGACGUAGCCAAUCUAGGUGAACCACGUACAUCUUGUGUUUGCUUCUCUGUCUCUAUCCAUUUACAUACUUAUCCACACUAGUGACCAGAGCAAUCUAGCAAAGGUCACAAACUUAACACUUUCUGUUGUACCAAAGUCCUCACCGAUUUUGUGCAUCAAAAUAGAUUAACAUGUAGCAAGAGAAAAUUGUCAUGGAGAAACGGUUGCCCAAACUUAAGGCUGCAAUUUUGAGUGCUCAGAAGUGCUUGGAAGAUUGCAACUAUGUUAGGGGAUUGGUGAGUGACCAUCAUGUGCAGAGUUAGUCUGCAUUUUUUAGUUGUAUAGUAGUUGUAUAGACAGUCCAUUUUUCUACGUUAGCAGUACAAAUUCUUUUUGUUUUCAUCUUGUUUUUCCUCUCUUUAAUUGUCUGAACUGCAAUACGUUUCUGCAACUUGAUGAAUGGUGGGACUGAGAGAUGAAACCAGAAAUUUUACUAAAAGGGGGCACCUUAAAAUUUUUGAGCUCCUUUUUUAGACAAAUAAAGCUAGUUCUUUUACAAAUGCUAAUUUUGUCUUUAAUUGUUGACAAUAUAAUGCUCAUUUGUACUAAUUAAUCAAGAGAGCUGUUAUUCCCACCCCCAAUGUCUUAUUUUUUCACCCACCUUUUUAUGAAUUUUUUAAUUACAAAUUUGUCAAUUUGUAAAAUGACUAACAAGGACCUUAGUUACCCACUUUUGCAUUACUUUUUUUUUAUAAAAAAUAAAAAAGAAAAGUUUGGGCGUGAUAAUUCUCGCACUAUGUUUAGACGAUUUGUCUCCCUUAAACCCUAACUCAUCAUUCCCAUCUCUUUUCAUUCAGAGAAAGCAAAAAGAAUGAACUUAGCAAAUGAUGUUUUUAUGGAAGAAGUAGAUGAUUAUGUUUCCGUCGAAGAGGUAAAAGAUAAUUUUAUGUGGGUCAUCUUGAUUUGUCGACAUCAUAUAAUUGAAGUAUAGCUCUGUGACUUUUUAUCUCUAAUUAUAUAUAUAUAUAUAUAUAUAUAUAUAUAUAUAUAUAUAUAUAUAUAUAUAUAUAUAUAUAUAUUAAGGGUUAUUAGGAAUAAUAGUGGGUGGGAAAAUAACAUUUUAAUUUUUUACCUUUUUAUAGUGGGUGUAAAUAUAACAUGGGUGGGAAAAUAAGACAACGGGGUGGAUCUAGUAGCUCCCUUAAUCAAAUACAUGCAACUCAACAAGGUUUAGACAUUAGUGCGUGAGAAAAAUAUACAAGACAAAGGGACAUUUAAAAACUAAAAGAGGAUUCUCACUAUUUUAAUAUGAUUAAUUGAAUAAUCCGCAAAGCAAAAAAAUUGGGAAUGAUUAAUUGAAUAAUUUGUAAUGAAAAAAAAAAGGAUGGGAGGGGGCAAGUGCCCCCAAUAGGCCUUACCUCCCUCCGUCCAUGGUAGUGGGACUCCCACCCACCAUAACCGUUGCCCAUCCCUAGGUAGGAGCAACUAGCAGCAACUGUUGUUGACUGGGUCUGAGUCGAUGGAUUAAAUGUUGCUGCAUGGUAUAAUCAUGUGAAGCAACUCCUUGAAUUUUAUGAUCAGGAGCACUUGUGAAUAUUAUUUGAGUACUCAGCAAACAAUAUUUUAUGGGGAUCUAAUUAGUCUUCCUGUUGGCAGUCCCACAUCGGUGGGGGAAGUCAACAAUGGUGAUUUUAAAUAUGAGUACCCUACUUUAAUUAAUAAUGAUGUCUUUUAUGGUAAAACCCCACACUUGACAGAUUAGGCAGGUGGUAAAGUUGUCGAUCUAAAAAUUUCAACAUGGUAUCAAAAACCCAUGAUUAAGGGCAUGUGCAAGCCAAAAGCUUGUCACCAGGAAGUGUGGGAUUGGAAACAAGCUUGGACUCUUAACAUAGAGCCAGUCUCUGAGUUCUUAAGAGGCACUUCUUGAACAGAUUGAAACAAGUCUGGACUCCAUUGGAGCUAACCCUUAAGUUUCAAUUGAUGAUCCUCUUCUUGAAAAGAGUGAAAACAAGUCUGGACUUCAUUGGAGCCAACCUCUAAGUUUCAAUUGACGAUGUGUGGAUCUCUAUAUGUGAACCACUAAAUGGGGUUACAAGUGAGGGGGCAUGUUGGUAGUCCCACAUUGGUGGGGGAAGUCAACAAGGAUGGCUUUAAAUAUGAUUACCCUACUCUAACUAAUACCGAGGUCUUUUGUGAUAAAACUCCACACCUGACGGAUUGGGCAAGUGGUAAAGUUGGGGAUAGUAUCGGUAUCAUUUUCUUGAAAAGAUUGAAAACAAGUUUGGACUUUAUUGGAGCCAACCUCUAAGUUUAAAUUGAUGAUGUGUGGAUCUCCACGUGUGAACCACUAAAUGGGGUUACACGUGAGGGGGCGUGUUGGCAAUCCCACAUCAGUGGGGGAAGUCAACAAGGGUGGCUUUAAAUAUGAUUACCCUACUCUAACUAAUAUUGAGGCCUUUUGUGGUAAAACUCCACACCUGACGAAUUGGGCAGGUGGUAAAGUUGAGGACAGUAUUGGUGUCGUUAGGGGGCUCCUCGAGCUCGUUGAUCUAAAAAAUUCCAACACUUCCUGGAUCAUAUUUGCCACUUCUACAAAGCCCUUGUUUCAUUCAUUCUCGCAUCGCUAAAAAAACCUACAAAGGCUUAGUAGAAACUCAAGCUCAAAUUUAUGCUUGAAAGGUAAAUUUAUUAUCUCUUAUUGGUCGGGCCACUUUUGUUCAGUCUGUCACCUCCGUUGUCCAGUAUAUGCUUUGCAGACAAUAUUACCAAUUACCAUUACAGAUAACCUUGAGUGUCAAAGAUUUUUCUAAGGCAAGAGAAGUUUGGCAAAAGUUGGAAAGUAUAAACAAUAGUCAGACCACAUUGAUUUUCAUGAUUGGCUUCAUUUUAAUCUCACCACUAAUCACUCAUAUUGGGGGGGGGGGGGGGGGGUUUAGAGUAGAUGUUAGUAUUUUCCAUUGCUUGUUGGUUUAUUUGGUAUUGGCGAAAUAAAUUUGUUUUCGAGCAGGAUUUUGCAAUGUUUGAUGAGCUUACAGUCGCUAUUUGUGCAUAUUUUCAUGAAUGGUUAGCAUUCUAAUACUCACAAGAUUGAUAAACGCCGUAAGAUUGAAUCUUUGCUCCACUGGAAAGCUCUUCAUUCAAAAUUGAUUUAAACUUAAUGUUGAUAGUUUUAAGAAGGAAAAUAAUAAUCCUUACAUAAAUAACUGGCAGCCGUGCCAGAGGCAAUACGUGUAUGGAAUCAUAUACUGAGGAUAGGGUAUUUGGAAAACAGUCCAUUUCUAUUGAGCCACAACGAAGGGAGUGCAGAAAUUCACAGUUUCGUUUUUGGAUUUAACAGAGAGAUAAUGGAAAUUUGGUUUUUGAGCUUAAACCUAACGAACUUCACCAAAAGGGUUUAAAACCGAAUUUUUUUUACCACAUGGCUAUCUUCAGAAUACCCUAUCAUCACGAGGACUAUUUAUACGUGAACUUUCUUCAUUGAACGUGAAUAUCACAUGCUAAAACUUCUCUUCAUUGAACUUUCUUAAAAGCAAAAAAUACUAAUCGACUCAACACCUACUUGUGCAGAUAUUGGCUAAACCAAACAUUAGAUGUGAAAAAUUAGCACUUUGCCAAAUAAUAUUCCGAGUGAGCAAAAGAGAGAAAAAUAUAACAAUGGCACACAGACAAAAUAUAAAAGUUGAGGAGCCGGGUGAUAUAAUAUUAGACAUUGCAAUUGUAGGCUCGGACGACUUAAGGAGAAGAAGGUUGCCUGCACCACUAUUAGGAACAUUACAAAUCAACAUUUCAGAGGUAACAUGCAUGGUCUUCUCUUCUGCCAUGAAAAAUUCAUGCCUUCAUAUAAUUAAUUAAUUAAUUAACUAGUUAUUAGUGUUAAUUAUCUAGAGAGCACUCUCUAACAUUUCCAUCCUCCAUCGUUUUCUUCUUCUUCAGAACAAAGUUUCAAUCAAUUUUUUUUUUUAAAAUACCUUUUACUUUAACAAUAUUAGCGAUUAGUUUUAGGUUGCCUUUUAAUUAGCUCGUGUGCUUCUGUUGCAGGGCGUGUUCGAGGAAAAAGGGAGCAUACUUGAACCAGCAGAGGCUGUGGUAGCAUCUAUGAAAAAACUUUAUGAACUCUUUGUAGCGAAACGACGUAGUUUGACUCGUUUCAUUUUUAAAUUUUUGUUUCCUCGGGUGCAAAGCAAUGUUGUUUGGCUUGGGUUAAAAAAAAAUAAAAAAAUAUAAAAAUAUAAAAAAAUAAAAAAACUAAAACGGAGCAACGCCCUGUUAGCAGUCCAGAAAAGCAAUGACUUUAAAUAGGAAUACUCCACUGUAACUAAUACCAAUAUCUUUUGUGGUAAAUACCAAUAUCUUUUGUGGUAAAACCUGACGGAUUGGGCAGAUAGUAAAGUUGAGGACAGUAUCAGUGUCGUUAAAGUUGCCCCCCCCAAAGCCCAUCAAUCUAAAAAAUUUCAGCAUGGUAUCAGAGCCCACAGUUACGGGCCUAUGCAAACCAAAGGCUUGUCACCUGGAAGUGUGGGCUUGGAAACAAGCUUGAACUCAACAUAGAGCCAGCCUCUGAGUUCUUAAGAGUCACUUCUUGAAAAAACAAGUUUGGACUCUAUUGGAGCCGAUCUUUGAUUUUCAAUUUCUGAUGUGUGGAUCUUCACGUGUGAACCACUAAAUGGGAUUACACAUGAGGGGGCGUGUUAGCAAUCCCACAUCAGUGGGGGUAAAGAAAAGCAAUAACUUUAAAUAGAAUUAUACCCCACUCUAACUAAUACAGAGGCCUUUUGUAAUAAAACCUCAUACCUCACAAAUUAGGCAAGUGCUAAAGUUGAAGAUAGUAUCGGUGUCGUUAGAGCGCCCCCCUCGGACCUGUCGAUAUAAAAUAAUUUCAACACGCCCCACUAUAGAAAACCAAAAUGCAGCACCAGAGCAAAGGGGUGAAAACCUGGAUUUUGGGAACAAACUUCAGCGACUAGAGGUGCGAGCACACCUCUUUGCGUCUUUGUAGCUUCGCCAAUGCACGUCUCGAUAUUAUUUAUGAGGAGUUCUUGAUAAUUACUUUAAAGUGUUAAUAACAGUCUCUUUCUUAUUCUGUUAGGUCCAGUACACCCUACAAUCUUAAAAUAUGCAUAAAUUCACUCAUAGAAUGAGAAAAUGCCUUGUGUCAUUUUCAAGUUUGGAAAAGGAUCCUCCCCGGAUCCUUUUCCUUGGGAUCUUAAGAAUCCCUUGAUCAUGAUCAUGAAUCGUACAUUAUACGGUCAGUUUUUGUUUAGUACUAUUUAUAUUUAAUUUUAAAUUUUAAAUUUUGAAAUGAUUUCUAACUACACGAUAUACGAUGAACGGUCACGAGAUCCCUAGAAUCCCCAGGAAAAGGAUCCGGUGAGAACCUUUUCCGUCAAGUUUGACACCAUUUGAAAAUUGGUGAGACAUGAAAAAGUUCUUGAUCCUCACUCCCCCCCACAAGGCAAGCUUAAACUCGCCCGUGAUAGAAUUUGUACCCGCGCGUUGCUGCAGGGUUGAAAAUUAUAUGAAAGAUAUUGGAAAAGGUUACCACUUCAAUGCUUAUAUACAUCGAACUUAAUCUUAGAUAUAUCCAUAGAAAAUUGGAUGAGAACGACGACCACACAACGGCCUAGGAUCUUGCACAAAGAGAAUAAAAGUAAAAAAAAAAAAGUCUAAAGAGAGUGAAAAAAAACAUUAUAUUUCAUUGCAUUCUAUUACUCUAAUUAUACACUUCACAACGGCCUAAGGAAAGUGGUUUCUUAUUGAUUAAAUGAAGCCUCACUGACUCACACAUACAGACUGAUCUAAACUAUUCAAGAAUGUGCAUCUUCUAGAGCUCACUUGCCAUUGAAGCCUCAUAGUCCUAACCGAGUUAAACCAAUUAAUAAAGCUCAUUUCGAUAAAACUUGCACACAGAAUGAGAAGCCAGUCUCAAGUACAAAUGCUUACUUGAGUAAUAUGAAAAGCCUGCUCAAGACGCUGAAUUUGAAUCCAUUGUUCACCAAAAAAUGUUGUUCAUCUGCAAGCAAAGACAAAGAAGCCAAUUGCAAAAUGACACCAUACUCAUAGUCUCAUAGACCGAAGAUUGUAGGAAGCAUAUCAGCAUAUAGUAUACGACCUUUUGAGCAUGCGAGGCAACUGUUCCAAGUCGAUCCUUAGCAUCCCGUGCUUUCGACGAUCAAAGUUGAACCUUCUAGACGCCUCCCAUAAAAUCCAUACCUAAAAAGCAAUUCCAAAACUUAUUUCUCAAAGUCCAACACUGGAUUGAAAAAUUGCAAAAACAAACUGGAAAAUUCGAAAGAAUUUAUAAGGCGGUGGGAUGUUGUACAGGGUUGGUACCUGGAGCUUGAGAAAUCAAAGAGCUUGCCAGUUUGGGAAAAGAUGAUAACAACAGCUUCAGAUUCACACAGAAUGGACAGCUCUCCAGCAUUCUUCAAAUCCACUCUUCUCCUCUUUGAGAAGGUCACCUGCCUUGCCGGCAAGUAAUCGAUCUUCCUGAUCUUGAUCUUCUCCCUCAUCAUUUUCUCCAAUUCUUCCUACCCCUUUCAGAAACAAUAAUUCAAGUAAAAUAAAAUAAACCAACUACUUCGAAUUUCCACAUAUAUAUAAAUGUCCACAAACUCAAAAACUACGUUAUAUUUUCUGGGUUUCUGAUAAUUUUAAGGAUUAUUGACCACAAAACCUAGCAUUUCAAAUCUAAAUAAGUAAAACAAAACCCAGAUCAACCCAUCAACCACAAUCAACUGUCCAAUAUUUCGUAUUUACCAAACUUGAUUAACACCCAAAAAAAAAAAGAAGCAAAACUCCCUAAUUUUACAAAAUACAAUCAAAUCAAUAAAACCCAGAUGAUUUCAUGAAGCAAAAAACAAAUUCAAUCAGAGGCAGAACCAUAUAAACCCAGAAAGAAAUUCAAACAUUCCAAAUUUCUGAAGCAACAUAUGACCAUAGAGAUUGAGCGGAGAAGACCAAACAAAACUCUAAAAUCUUGAAAUCACUCACCUUAAAUAGAUAGGGAUUUGAAGGCUGCAAACAAAAGCCCCAAAUCCGAAGAACCAUGAUUUCCUAAAGAAAAAAAUAAAACAAAAGUAAACACCAUGAUGGGGAAUCCAAAGCUAUAAACAAAAUCCCCAAACUUAUACCGGGUCACCACGCCCUUGUCUAUGGAAUCCGACGGAACCCACGCUGGUGAACCCCUUUGAUUUUCUUAUGCUAAGCAGGAGAAAUGGAGGGUGAAUCGGUGCUGUAGCUGGUUGCGAGAUAGAAACAGAGAAGUCGAUGGAAAAUAAGGAAAAGAAAAGUGCCGAGGAAAAGAAGAGCAAGGAAGCAGGGGGAACACCCCAGCUCUUUCAGAGCACUUUCAGCUUUGGCUGGAGCUCGGGGGACAAGCCAGCAAAUAGGGCCUGAGAGCCCGGCUUAUUGACUCCAGCUUGUGGGAGCCCGAGGGACAAGCAGGCCCGAGCACCAGGCCUGUCACGAAUUGCCAACUCGUUAGCCCAAAGGCUAUUUGACGCAAGGCUAACAUCAGCUCCUUUUUUAUUUUUUUCUGUCAGACGCGUGCACUGCACCCGUGCUUUGGGCGCGUCACCCGAAAUGUUUUCAGCGAAUGGGGCAUGCGGCGCAGUUUCAAAUUAUUACCGUUGGGAAACCACGUGGCUUCCCAUGGUCCGUUGGAUCUCAACAGCAAGAAAAUGUGGACCGUCAAAUUUGCAACGGUAAAAAAAAUAAAUAAAUCUUAUUUAAUAUCAACCGUUUGAUCUGGGAUCAACAAUUUAUAUUAUUUUCCUUUAUAAAUAAAAAAAAGAAAAAGUAGUUUUAAAAUUCAGAAAUGUUACCAUUGUGCCAUGUGGCACAAUCUGGAGUGUUGGAAUUCAAUUUUUUUUAAAUCCAAAGGCAGAGAUUAAUUAGUUGAAAAAAAAAUUUAAAAAUAAAUAAAAAUCCGAAAAAAAAAUUUUGAAAUUUUUUAAAAAAAUUUGUUUUUACUUUUCUAUAUAUACCUUCUCAUUAUCAUCUACCUUACACCACAAAUUUAUAUUUUCUCAACUAUUUUCAACCACAUUCUUAUCUUUCUCUCAAAGUUUCAGUCCAAAUUUUUUUAACAAAUGACUACUAAUGCAGGUACGAAUAUGACGCUUCUUGAAGAUGUUGCGUUGUGUACUAGCUGAGAUGCAGUUGCGAAAAAUGUGGAGUCUUAUUCAUACCAAUUAUCUUGAGAAAAUGGGUGGGAAAAGAACCAAAGAAUCAAUGACUCGACAGGGCCUGCAAAUCUAACCCACAACUUGGAUGACUCGACGGGAAUGUGAGGCUCUGCCCAUUCUUGCUUCGUCAUCUUUCCUUCUACACUCUUCAUCCUCUUCCCUCUCAUUUUGGGCCACCUGGAGAUUGAACAUUCCUUCUUAUUGGUUAAACAAUUAUUCCUCUUGCUGAUCGAUUUCCCACAUCAUCCUUGAAGAAGAAGACAUUGUAAAAAUGAAGCAGAAACUAUGAAUAAUGAUAGAGAUCUUGAGAAAAUUGGUGUGAGAUUUGUGAGGAUGGAUGGUGGAUUAUAUAGAGGAUUCAGAAAGGAUUAGGUUGUAGAUAAUGUCACGUGGCAUGCCUUCAUUCGUUAAAAAUCUAAUGGAAAUCUAUCCUCAAAGAUUAUGACACGUGGCGCGACGUGAUUGGUUAAUAAUCUUAUCGGAAAUCCAUCACCAAUAAUUGUAUUUUCGGAUAAUGACACGUGGCGCAACGAGUAUGAUUAAAAAUCUUAUCGGAAAUCUAUCACCAAUAAUUGUCUUUUCGGAUUUUAUGACAUGUGGCUCAACGAGAACGAUUAAAAAUCAUAUCCGAAAUUACAAAUAAAAUUAUUUUGUAUUAUUUUAUAACUUUUCGGAUAAUAACACGUGGCGCAAAGAGAAUGAUUAAAAAUCUUAUCGAAAAUCCAUCACCAAUAAUUGUCUUUUCAGAUUUUAUGACACAUGGCGCAAGGAGAACGAUUAAAGAUCUUAUCCGAAAUUACAAAUAAAAUUAUUUUGUAUUAUUUUAUAACUUUUCGGAUAAUGACACGUGGCGCAAUGAGAACGGUUAAAAUUCUUAUCCGAAAUUACAAAUAAAAUUAUUUUGUAUUAUUUUAUAAAUAAAUAAAAUACUAAUAUUUUAUUGCCUAUUGCUAGGGCUAUUGAAGUGCAACGGUGGAAAUGCAAAAGGCGAUUACUGUUCAAUGGGUGGAUAGCAUAGUGUAUUGCCUGGGGGGUGUUCCCACGCUGGAACUGCUCUCAGCCUGCUUCCAUUUCACUGAUGACAAACACGUGUAAAACAUGGCGCAACUAAAAUCAAAUAGACCAAGCAGCGGCAAAUCCGCCAUUUCACUGUUAGUGAACAAUGCUCUCUCUCACAUGAUGAACGGUAUUUUUGUUGCUGAGUUUAGUAUAUAUAAAUAAAUGUCUUUUGUGAAUGGCAGGGAAUUGGACAAAACCAUCGCUUCUUCUUUUUAAAAGCAUCCUUUUUUUAAUGGGAAUUUUAACAAAAAGCUUUCAGUAUUGUUCAAUUUAACGAAAAACCACAUUUUUACAUUAAAAAGUCAAUCCUGGUACUAUUCACUUUACCCUUUAUUUUGUUUUUAUUGUUAAAACUCAAAAUUUUCAAGCCCUUUUUAUUUGUUUUUCCUUUUUUUUUUUUUUUUUUUGUUAAGUAAAAGCAUCCCCUUUUUUAACUUCAAUGUGCAUUCUCACUUCCUUCCUGACUAUUUCGAACACAAAACAUCAAUACAAGUAAACAGUGAGUCAACACUCUUAGUAUAUUAGUAAAAUGAAAAAAACUUCUUUCUUUUAUUCAAUAAUUAUUAUGAGUUGUGUAUAUUGAUCAACCUGUAAGUAGAUACAAACACUAAUAAUGCAGUUAGUUAGAAAAAAAAAAAUCAUUUUGUUUUCUUUCAAGUUUCUCAACUAACCGGGACCCAAUAUUCCCUUUGGCAUUCUUACACCAACAAAGAAACAACAACGAAACACACAGGAACACAAAAAUUAGGGACCUCUUUUAUCUACUUGCCCACCAUCACAAAUAUUACCUUUUUUUUCUUGUACGGUUUGGUGGUAGGGAAUGAAACCUAGCUACAUUCACUUCUUCUGAUUUGCAGUUGACUGGUUUUUCCAUGAGUGUAAUGCUGAAGCUCGAUGGACCCCAGGCUGUAUAAUAUUCGAAAAUAGUCAUUCCUUAUUUGUCUGUCAAUCACAAUCAAUUUGAUGAGUUUUGCGUACAUGUAAAGUGUGUAUAAUCCUACAGAGAAUAUUUACAUUAGUUAUAAGGCCUCAGCAUUUGAUAUAACUAAAAGACAACCUGUAUCAACUCAUUCUUCGAGUCAAGAAUAUCAGAGCUUUCUUAGAGGGGGAAUAGAUAGGCUCUAAAACCAUGUCUUGGUUUUUUUAUAGUUAUCAUUCUUGUUACUGCUCUUACAUUUCAUACUCCUUCAGAGGCUAGCCAUGAGAAGAACGAUCCUUCUGCAGUUGUUGUGGGCACUGUCUACUGUGACACAUGUUUCCAAGAGGAUUUCUCACAUACCUGUUACAAUUUGGUAAGGUUAAUUCUAUGGAAGAAGAGAAGAUGAAUAGUUUUGGAAUGAAACAGGGAGAGAAGAAUGAGGUUGUUCUUUUCUCUGCAAAGUUACAGAGGAAUAAUUGAUUUCAUUAAUUGUCUCUCACUAUCUUGCACACAACGUGCAAAGAGAGAUAUAAUGCCUUUUACAAAACUGAGCUGGAUCAGUACAAAUUGAAAUAGAUCUCAGCCACACAUUCAGCUAAUAGCUAAGAUCAUCACACAUGGCACUCAUGGCCUUUUAUACCUAUAUACCCUCUCACUUAGUAUUUAACAUAAGUGCAUACACAUAUUAACAUCACAACUUAUUUCUAAUCAGAUUUUGGACUUAUACUUCAACACUCCCCUUUAAGUCCAAAGCUGAUAUAACUCUUAGCUUGUCCCUGAGAUAGUUAAACCUGUCCUUUGGUAAUGCCUUGGUGAAAAUGUCUGCCACUUGUUCUUUGGUAGGACAGUAAACCAAGUCAAUUAUCCCUUGCUGCAAGGCAUCCUUGAUGAAGUGAUAUCUCCUGUCAAUGUGUUUUGUCUUUUGGUGAAACACAGGGUUCUUGGAUAUUGAGAUUGCAGAUGUGUUAUCACACUGCAGAGGGGUUGCAUCAACUUGUAACUCUCCAAAAUCUUCCAGAACAAAUCUGAGCCAUAUGGCCUGAGCUGUGGCUUCAGAAGCACUGAUAUAUACUCGGCUUCUGCAGUAGAAAGAGCAACACAGUGUUGUUUCACAGAGGCCCAUGAGAACACUCCACUUCCAAAAGAAAAUGCAUAGCCUGAGGUGCUUUUGCUGUCUUCAAGAGAUCCUCCCCAGUCACUAUCGCAAAAACCAAUUAAGACUGCCUUCUUGCCUUUCUCAUACUUCAAACCAUAGUCCAAUGUGCCCCUAACAUAUCUGAGCACUCUCUCUUAGCUGUUCCAUAGUGUUUAUUGGUAGGACAAUGCAUAUAUCGAGCUAAUAAACUAGCUGCAUACAUUAUAUCUGGUCUUGUAGCAGUAAGAUACAGUAAACUGCCUACAAGCUUUCUGUAUUUCUCUUCAUCUGCUGCACCACUGCCAUCUUCUUUACUCAACUUUUCAGUAGCCACAAGAGGUAUAGAGACAGAUUUACAUUCUUUCAAUCCAAACUUAUCCAACAGGGAAGAGGCAUACUUCUUUUGAUGAAUGAAGAUGCUAGAUUCUGUUUGAAUUAUCCCCAUUCCCAGAAAAUGAUGAAGAAGGCCCAAGUCUGACAUCUCAUACUUCUCCUUCAUAUCUUCUUUGAACUCAUCCAGCAUGUCUUGAUUGUUUCCAGUAUACACAAUAUCAUCCACAUAUAUGGAGACUAUUAGUAUAUCCUUUUCUCCCCUUGUCUUAGUGUAGAGAGUUGCCUCACUUAAGCUUUUCUCAAACCCACACUUAGUAAAAUAACUGUCAAUCUCUCCAUACCAGGCUCUAGGUGCCUGUUUUAACCCAUAAAGAGCCUUAUGCAAUUUGUAGACCUUGUCCUCCCUGCCAUUAACUACAAACCCCUCAGGUUGAUCUACAUAUACUUCUUCCUGCAAUUCUCCAUUCAGAAAAGCAGAUUUAACAUCUAGUUGAUAUAAUUUCCAGCUUCUCUGUGCAGCAAGAGCUAUCAAGGUUCGGAUUGUGUUCAAUCUUGCAACCGGGGCAAAAGUCUCAUUGUAGUCAAUUCCUGGUUUCUGCACAUACCCCUUGGCAACUAGUCUUGCCUUGUUCUUUUGGACUGAACCAUCUAAGUUCAACUUAGUUUUGAACACCCAUUUAACUCCAAUCACCUGCUUAUCACUUGGUCUGUCAAGCUCCCAAGUUCCAUUCUUCUCAAUCAUUUGCAGUUCUUCUUCCAUUGCCUUUAUCCAAGCCUGAUCUUGUGCAGCUUCUUCGAAUUUUUCAGGUUCCACAAUACAGAGAUUGCACUGUGCCAUAAUAUCAUUUAUGUUUCUCCAUUUCACUGGAGUAUGAUCAUAAGACUGAGGGAUCUCAACAGAUUCUUGAAUGCUGCUUUCUUGUUCUUUAGUAUGAGAGGAGGUAUAUGAACUGGAGGCACUGUCUUGAAUCUCAUCCAACUCAUGUGAAUUCUGAAUGUGGGUCACAGCAACAGAAUUCUCUGAAUGUUUCUUCCAAUUCCAGGUUAUAGUUUCAUCAAAAACUACAUCUCUUGAAAGAAUUAACUUCUUAGUGCAUGGAUCAAACACUCUGUAUCCCUUCUCACAUGUAGCAUAUCCAACAAACACACCUUUGACACUCUUAGCAUCUAGCUUCUGUCUUAUUUCAGAUGGUAUAUGCAUAUAGCAUACUGAUCCAAACACCUUUAAAUGGCCAACCCCUGGUUUUCUGCCACUGUAAGCCUCAAAUGGUGUUAAAUUAUUGAGUGCCUUUGUAGGUGAUCUGUUCAAAAUGUACACAGCUGUGUGUACUGCUUCUGCCCACAGAAAGUAUGGCAUGCUUUUAUCAUGAAGCAUUGCCUUAGCCAUUUCUACAACCGAUCUAUUCUUCCUCUCCACUACUCCAUUUUGUUGUGGAGUGUAGGCCAUAGAUAACUGUCUUUGAAUCCCUGCAUCUUCACACAGUUUGUUGAAUUCACAAGAUGUGAAUUCUCCCCCUCUGUCACUCCUCAAACAUUUUAUCUUAAAGUCACAUUGUAAUUCCACCAUGGACUUGAAUUUUCUAAAACAUAUCAAUGCAUCUGACUUGUAUUUCAGAAAAAAUAAACCCACAUCAUUCUUGUACAGUCAUCUACAAGAAGCAUGAAAUAUUUGUUGCCCGCAAGUGAAUCAUUCUGCAUAGGACCACACAAAUCCACAUGCACCAGUUCUAGAGGUUUACUUGCUCUCCAUGCUUGAUUCUUUGGAAACCACUCUCUAUGUUGUUUUCCCAAACUGACAACCUUCACAAACUUCAUCCAUUUCUUCUAAAACUGGGAGACCAUGCACCAUUUCUUUGUUUUUAAGCUGCUGAAGACCCCUAACAUGCAGAUGGCCUAGUCUCUUGUGCCAUAUCCAAGUAGACUUAGAAAUACCUGCCCUCAGUACAACCUGAUCAUUUGGUAUCAGUGUCAAGGGGUAACACCUGUUCUUUUUCAUUUCAACUUUGAGUACAAGACAAUCCAAUGAAGGUCCAUCAAAAAUACUGCACAUCUUUCCCCCAAAUAACAGAUAGUAACCGUGUUCAUCCAUUUGCCCCACACUUAACAGAUUUUCCUUCAACCCAGGUAGAUACAUUACAUCUUUGACAUAUUUUCUGCCUUUGCUAGUAUCUAUCAUAAGUGUUCCAAAACCUGCCACAUUCAUGAGUUCCCCUGUGGGCAUUUGAACCUUGCCAACCACAUUUGUCUUCAUGUCUAUUAACAAAUUAGAAUCCCCUGUCAUAUGGUUGCUACAACCACUGUCUACAUACCAUUCUCCAUUCACUUUUGAUUCAGUGAUUGUGCUAUUUGCAUAAAACAGGUUCCCUGUCACCUCUACCUGAUUAGCACUAUUUGCCUUUUGCACUAAUUUACCUACUGUGCACUCUCUAGCCCAGUGACCAAACUUUUCACAGUUAUAGCAUUUAGGUUUCCCUUUAUACCUACACUCUCCAAAGUGAAACUUAGAACAUACCCUGCACUGUGGUUUUGUACCUAUCUGCCCCAUUGACUGUGCAUUAUGUGCAGGACUAGCAGGAAAUUUCUGCUGAAACUUAGGUUUUGAACCCCAUUUCUUGCCCUUAUUAUUCCAAUUUUUCUGGAACUGAGAUGAACCAGAUUGACCUUCACCCCUAUUCUGCUCUUUUGAAUUCACUGAGAAAGAUGAGAAUGCUUUACCAGUAGUAUCAACAGUAUGCAGAUCAAACCGUUGUUCUUGACUCUUCAAGAUUGCAACUACUUCCUGCAAUUCUACAGUCUCUAGACACUUUUUGUGUUUUCUAUAACCAAACAGAUAGAAUCAUAAGGUUUACUAAGACUAAUCAGAACCUUCUGCACAAGUCUCUCAUUCGACAGAGAUUCACCAAAUGUUCUCAUUUGAUUAAUUAGCUCAUUCAGCCGUGUAAGAUAGCUAGAUAAAGACUCAUCAUCUCUCAUCCUAGCAUAUUCAAACUCUCUCCUAAGAUUCUGCAAUUUCACAGAUCGUACCUGAUCACCACCAUGAUACUCCCCGUAUAACAAAUCCCAUGCCAUCUUAGCUGAUUCGGCAUUGGCGAUUCGUGGGAAGAUCUGAUCCGAGACUGCAUUUUGAAUGAUUCCUAGAGCCUUCGCAUCCUUCAUGAACACAGCAGCCAUUUCUUCAUCGACUGCAUCGUCCGAUGACCCUUCAACUUCCUUCUUCUUCGAGUCAGGGGUUGUAAUCCCUUUGUCCACCAGCUUCCAUAACCCAAGCGAUUUGAAUAUCGUUACCAUCUUAAUCCGCCAGAACUCGUAGUUCUCACCGGAGAAGAUUGGGGUUCUCACCUCCGAGCUUCCAGAUCCAGACAUCUUGAUCCGUCUGUUGCUUUCUCGCCUCAAAUGAAAACUCCGGCGACUUUCACCGAGCUUUGACUUAGCUUAGUGACUUCACAGCUUCACGCCCAGAUUCAAUUGAUCGAAAAUCGGCUCUGAUACCAUGUUACAAUUUGGUAAGGUUAAUUCUAUGGAAGAAGAGAAGAUGAAUAGUUUUGGAAUGAAACAGGGAGAGAAGAAUGAGGUUGUUCUUUUCUCUGCAAAGUUACAGAGGAAUAAUUGAUUUCAUUAAUUGUCUCUCACUAUCUUGCACACAACGUGCAAAGAGAGAUAUAAUGCCUUUUACAAAACUGAGCUGGAUCAGUACAAAUUGAAAUAGAUCUCAGCCACACAUUCAGCUAAUAGCUAAGAUCAUCACACAUGGCACUCAUGGCCUUUUAUACCUAUAUACCCUCUCACUUAGUAUUUAACAUAAGUGCAUACACAUAUUAACAUCACAACUUAUUUCUAAUCAGAUUUUGGACUUAUACUUCAACAAUACCAGCCAUUUCAUUUCAGGUAAAUUCAUCUCAAAUUUUCAACAAGUUCUUCAUCAAAUUUAUUUUUAUAUUGUAAUCCGGCUAUAAAACAGACAACCGUUCAAUGAUUUCCGUACACCUUCUCCUCAUAAACAGACGUCCGUUCAAUGAUUUCCUUACACCUUCUCCUCCAUACACUCAUGUUUAUUUUGUAAUUUCUAAAUUCAAAUGAAUCAAAGAAAAUCAAAAUAACGAAAAAAACAAGUGUACAAAAUGAAAAAAAAAAAGAAAGCAAAAUCCAAGAAAAUGACUAAAAACCUUUAUACAAGUAUUUCCUAUAUCUGAGUCAAAUAUACAACUAUGAAAAGUAAAUAACAAAUCAAUUACAAAAAAAUCUCGCCUAACUCCUUGGUUGUAAGGCUCUGCAUUCAAUCACGAUUUCUUUCCAGACAACGAGUGGUAAGGAUAUUAUUUCUCUUGAAGAAAAGUUGGAGGAUAUGUCAUUUGUAUGUGUUGAUAUCAUUGUCGCCACAUAUGUAUGUCAUCAGUAACUUUAAAUGACUUAUCCCCAUACAAAGUAUAAUAGUUGGUCUAAAUGAUUUAUCCCCAUACAAAGUAUAAUAGUUGGUCUAAAUGAUUUAUCCCCAUACAAAGUAUAAUAGUUGGUCUAAACCCUAAUUCCAUAAACGACCAUACUGUUUAAAUGAAAUAAUUGCUCGGUUCCAUUUUACCCCCACAUUUUCUGCUUUUGUUUUGUUGCAAGAGUUUAACUUGUUAUUUGGAAUAUAUUGUUCACAGAAAGCACAUGUUCAGAAAUUUUUGGCUACUGAAGAUGCACUGAAAAAAGCUGCAGAAGUUAGGGAUCUAUGUCAAAAACUUAUUAAACGCUUGCAUGGCAAUACUGAUGUAAUUUCUUCAGGAACAUCACAAAAUGUGGGCAGUCUUAGGCAACUUGAGGUAAAUCUUCCUUGCAUAUUAAAAGUAUUAACUACCAAUAGUUUGGGUGGAAAUAGCACCAUGGGUGACAGGUUUGAUUAGUUUCAGUCUUUUGAUCCUUUUCAUAGUUGUAUACUGUAUACUAGGUUACUUUUAACCUGCACUGUGUUAUCAUCUGGUUUUUUACAGUCUUCCAUUUUCUUUGUGUAGCUGGAGGUUUGGGCCAAGGAAAGAGAAGUUGCUGGCUUGAGGGCUAGCUUGAAUACACUGAUGUCUGAAAUACAACGCUUAAAUAAAUUAUGUGCGGAAGGGAAAGAAGUUGAAGGUUCUUUGAAAAAGAAGUGGAAGAAGAUUGAAGAAUUUGAUUACCGCAGAUCAGAACUUGAAAUCAUAUAUACCUCUUUACUAAAAGUUAACAUGGUAAGGAUCUCAGCUUCAAUAGUGCUUAUAAAUUUACUAGUAACUUCAUAUACUGGCAUUGUAUAAGCCAUGUCUCGUCAUUCCAUGAAGUGUCGGCUCUUUUUCUUUAAGUUCCAGGCAAAAGGUCAUAUAUAUAAUGUUGAAUUGUAAUCUUGUCUUGGCCCAAGACAAUUGAUCAGGCCCAUACACAAAGAAAGAUUCAUGCACAUGCUAGAGAGUUCUAGCAAAUUCAAGUUGGUGGAAUGCAUGCAUAAAUAUCCAAGGCUUUUUGUAGAAAGAUCUAGAAUCUUGUAAAAUUGUGUGGUUGUUAAGCACUAGCUAGAAAGUUCUAGCAAUGUCAAAGUUGGCAAACGUUGCCUAUAAAUAGGUGAGGUGCUAAGCUAUGUGAUGUAACAACCAAGAGAGCAUGUAGUGAGAAGUGAGAGUGCCAAGUGAGAAGUGAGAAGAAGCAACAAAGCUUCUAAGAGUGUUUGAGUGUUUCCUCUUGUACUAAGUUUGUGAGUGAAUAAAAAUCUUGUGUAAUACUUUUGAGUAUUCUUUCUUUCUCUUGCCUAUCAAUUCCGCUGCAUUACAUUCUUCUUUGAGAGAUAAACAUCUCCAAAGUAGUGAAAUCUUUUUAAGCCCCAACAAUAUGCAUGCUCUGAUGUCUUAUUUUGUUCUAUUUCAUUGUUUGUGUGCCUGCUUAAUGGGUGCUUUCAGUUCGAACUUACAUUUACUGGAUAAAAGGUUUGGAGGGUUCAGACGCUGCCCUAGCAUCAAUCCUAGAGUCCCUGGAAUUCUGUUCGAAACUUCGUGGUUCUGAAGCUAGUGUGUUGGAGGACAUGGUAAAGGCAAUUAAUUUGGUCCAUACACCACAGGAUCUUGUUGAAAGUGGUCAUGUGUUGUUGAACCAUGCCUAUAGAGCUCAACAAGAAUAUGAAAGGUAAAACUUCACAUGGCCUUAUUUUACAGGAAACUAGACUGUGUUAUCCUCCAAAACCCGAAAGUUUCAGUAAGCGGAACUCGGUCAAAUAAUACAAACUUGAAUUCCAUUUUGAGCAUUGUGAGAUGAAGGAAAGUGCCAGAAACUGCUUUCUUAUUUCAUUUAAGAUUCACAUGGUUUGUUGCUCUGGAUGUUCUGAAUUUUUUUCAUCCAGAUUCUAAAUAUAUUACAGUUUGCUCUUUGUUCUAAUCUGUUGUCAAAACUCAGGAUGCAUAGCUCUGGUGUUACGUUAAAUUCAUUCUAAAUAUUAAACCAUUCAAAUAUGUGAUGGUUAUUAAUUAGCAUUUUAGGAUCUCUGACUAUUUGUUAGAUUAACAUGCACUUAAUUUGUAUCUACUACUCUGCAGGACAACGAGCUAUUGUUUAAAUGUGGCUGCUGAGCAAGAGAAAAUUGUCAUGGAGAAAUGGUUGCCUGAACUUAAGGCUGCAAUUUUGAGUGCUCAGAAGUGCUUGGAAGAUUGCAACUAUGUUAGGGGAUUGGUGAGUGACCACCAUACGCAGAGUUAGCCUGCAUUUUUUAGUUCUAUAGUAGUUGUAUAGACAGUCCAUUUUUCUACGUUAGCAGUACAAAUUCUUUUGUUGUCUUGUUUUUCCCCUCUUUAAUUGUCUGAGCUGCAAUACGUUUCUGCAGCUUGAUGAAUGGUGGGAGCAACCCGCAGCAACUGUUGUUGACUGGGUCCUAGUCGAUGGAUUAAACGUUGCUGCCUGGCAUAAUCAUGUGAAGCAGCUCCUUGCAUUUUAUGAUCAGGAGCACUUGUGAAUAUUAAUCGAGUACUCAGCAAACAAGAUUUUCUCGGGAUCUCCCUGGUCUUCCUGGAUCAAAUUUGCCACUUCUACAAAGCCCUGGUCUCAUUCAUUCUGGCAUUACUAAAACCACCUACAAAGGCCUGGUAGAAACGGCUCAAGCUCGACUUCCUGCUUGGAAGGUGAUUCUAAAGGGAUAACUCAUAGCUAACAGUUUUGUAUAGCUGUGUUUUACAGUUUUAGAUUCAGUUGUAACAGUUUCUGUAACUAAUCUAUGUGAUUAGAGAUUUAAUUAAGCACAAUUAGUCACUAAGCUUUAUUAGGAAAGUGUAUAAAUAUUGAGUUGUAUUUUCCUUACUCAUUAAGAAAGAAAUAAUACAAGGCUUAUUUCUUACAUGGUAUCACCACCUCUCAACUUCACCGCCUCUCGAUCCUUCUUCCUUGCGAUUUCUUCUUCGAUUGGUGCAUCUGCAAAUUCCUCUCGAUUUUUUUUCGACCUUUGAUCUUCGAUCAUGGCGUCUUCGACUUCGUCUCCUGUGCAGCCUAAAGUUGUUGCCCCAAAUCCUGCAAUUCCUUCCCCCAAUUUUGCAGCGAUAAACCCUAAUUCCUCAAAUUCUCUGAUCUCGUCGAUUUCUUCCAUCACUGUUCAGAAUAUCAGUUGUAUGGUUCCUCCGAAGCUUAAGCGUGACAAUUACCUUGUCUGGAAAGCUCUUUUCACUCCAAUUUUCCGACGAUAUAAACUUACCGGAAUCAUUGAUGGAUCUGAAGUUUGCCCGCCGCCUUAUGUUCUUGAUCAAUCUAGUCAAAACUCUGGAAUUCCAAAUCCUGACUUUGAAAUUUGGUAUGAAAAAGAUCAUAAUAUACUGAUUUCGCUGAAUUCUACUCUCUUUGAGGAGAUUAUUCCGUUCACCAUCGGUGUCACAUCGUCUCGAGUACUCUGGCUAAAUCUCGAGCAUCGAUUUGAUGGCGUUUCAGCUGCUUAUAUUCAUCAGCUUUGUUCUCGUCUUCACUCUAUUCACAAAGGUGAUCUUCCUAUCUCGGAUUAUUUACAAAGAAUUAAAGGCCUAUCUGAUUCUCUAAUGGCUCCUAGAGCUUCUGUCUCUGAUCAUGACUUGAUUAUUGCUACGUUAAAUGGCUUACCUAAUGAGUAUGAGUCGUUUAUUGACUCUAUCAUGGUCAGGAUUUCCACCAUAACACUGGAUGAACUUCAUGGUUUGCCGAUCAAUAAGGAAGUCUUCAUGAAUCGUAAAAAGAAAGGCAUUGCCUCAUCUGGUUCUGUGCCUUUUCAUGCCUUUGCUGUGCAGUUUCAACCUUCUCUUCUUCCUACACCGUCACAAUAUUACAAUUCUCCUCAUGCUCAUGUUGCUCAACAGUUUAAUCACAAUGCUCCACCAAAGUUUCACAACAACAAUUGACACGCCCCGAUCCCGAUGUCCUCGAGACAUCGGGAUGGUCACGUGCUGGCCAACACCCGAAGGGUGACGAAAGCCAUUUGAUUUAAGUAAAAGCUGAGAAAUAUACUAAAACAAGCAAUAGGAACUAAUAAUACAAAACUAAAGUUCAACUGCUAAUUAAUAAAAUUAUGGUUAUACACAUAAGUUCAGAGCAUACAUCUAUUACAGAGUACAAGCAGAAUUUAAGAUAGAGAAAUGCUAUAUUACAAUAGGUGUCGAAGCAGAGGAAAUAUAGCACUGAAUCACUGGUAGGGAAAUGCCUCGUAGCUCAAAUCGUAAUCCUCGUUCAUAGGUCCUGAAGGGGGCGCAAAACAAACAUAAGUGGACCAAUUUGAUAUAUAUAUAUAUAUAUAUAUAUAUAUAUAUAUAUAUAUAAUAAAACAGUUAUCAACCUACUAACCCCCAGAUUUAUGAAAACAUACAUAUAAUAAAAACAUAGGUUUUCCGAAACCUAGCAUGUUGUGUAAUGUCUCAAAUUCAUAACUUAUAUAUAUAACAAGCACUAGUGAUUUGUCCAAUAACCUCCAGGCCCCAUGCCGGCUCUCCGUCUUUGAGCAGACAGUCAAAGGAAAAUACACUUCAGGCCCCAUGCCAGCUCCCCAUCUUUGUGCUAAAUAGCCAGAGGAAACACACUCCAAGCCCUAUACCAACACCAAACCGUUGCUCGGGACGGACCAGAAUCUAUCCCUACGUCCCGUAGCGGAAAUGAUCACUAGGUAAGUACAAAACCAUUGAAUAUAUCUAUUUUGAAAAACAACUUCAUAGUAUAAAGUCAUCCAUCAUUUAUACUAUAAAGAGGUAUUCUAAACAUGUUCUAAAUAUCAUAUCGUCAUCCAUCAGAUAUUCUAUAAGAACAUGGGUUAUAUGAAAAAUAGUAGUAAUUUAAUCUAGCCUCAGUAAGCAUGUUAUCUCACAAAACAUUUCAUAAAACAUAAUCAUUAAAUCAUGCUUUUCAUGUAUGCAUUUCUAUUAUUAAAACAUGAUUUCACUCACCGUACACCGAUGGUGCAAAGCUGUACCAAAAAGGAAUAACGGAAUCACCGUUAAUAAUUGCACAUAUUCACAUAAAGGGGUACCUUUAGUCAAACUCUAUUCAAACGAUUGAAUUUGGAAAAAAAAACAUACUUCAAAAACAGGUCCAGGACGUCGAAAUUAGCCUAGGAGAGGUCCCGGACGAAACCCAGAAAAGUCAACUUAAAAAGUCAACGUUAACCGUUGACAGGUCAAAGUCAAAGUCAACGCUAACCGUUGACCAAGUCAACAGUCAACUGGGUCAAACGGUCAAAGUCAGACUGGGCUUGGAUUGGGUUGGGCCGAUUGGGCCCUAAAGGUUUGGGUUUGGAUUAAAGGUUAAUGGGUUUGGGAAAGGGUUGAAAGCCCAAGCUCUAAAUGGCCCAAAGGCCUUAAAUAUAAAGGUUUCUAUACACUCGGGCCUAAGGCCCUGAAUAAAAUGGCCCCAGGCCUUAAUUCUUAAAACUAUAAUUAAACAAAACCUAAAAAGGUUUUGGGUUGAUCUAAUGGGCCACAGGCCCUAAAAGAAACGGCCCGAAGGCCUUUAAGGGUUUUAAAGAAAUAAAACAAAAACAAAAACAAAAUAAAAACAAAAGGAAACAGGCUGGGCUAAAACCAAAACGGGCUUAAGGCCCAUGGGUUGGGAAACGACCUGAAAGGCCUUGGGUGCGCCGGGGAAGAACGCCGGAGCUUCUACAGCUCCGGCCGACUGCAAACCUAGUUUUUUAGGGUCCGAUCUAGGUAUCAAAUUGAAGUACAAGACGAGAAGAACAACGUUAUACCUUCCUUUUGCCGUAAAACGGUCGGAGGUGACCGAAAACUCCCUCGACACCCACGGCCUCCCCGGAGCUAGGUGUGCCUUCCCCCAACCUGAUUCCAUUCUAAAACCUCAACAACAACGUAAUACCUAAUUAAAACACAUUCACGCAAGAUUCUAAGACGAAUUAGGAAGAAUUCGAGGCUUACCUAACCAGAGGAAUAGGAAAUCUCGCCGGAGAGUUCCUUGGUUUCAUCCUCACAGCACGGGAAAGAGAUAGAGAGCUGAUGAGGGAUUGAUGAUGGUGAUGACUCCUUCUAGCACGAGCGUGCCUUUGCGUGUGAGUGUGUGUGCGAUUUCAGUGAAGAAAAGGAAAGAGAUGAGGAUUCCGAGAGAGAGAGAAGAGAAAGACAGAAAGAAGAAGAUGAAGCUCACGGGAGGGGUAGGGGACAGAGAGAGCAAUGAGAAAAGUCUUGGGGUGCUGCCAUGUGGCAGCUUGGGAAUAAUCCUGAAUGGGUAGUCAAAAUAGGACUAAAUUGAUAAAUUCAUAAUAUUUUGGGGAUACAUACAUAAUUAUAUUUUUAUAAAUGGGGGUGGGUGUAACAACAAUCGUGGCCAAGGAUCUUUUCAACGCAAUAAUCGUGGCAAUUUUCACAAUAACUUCAAUAAUCCUCGAGGUAACUUUCACAAUUUUGGUGGUAAUCAUGGCAACUAUAGAAACAAUUUUGGAAAUCGUAACAAUUUUGGUGGAAAUCGCUCUAAUUCUGGUGGAAGAACUCCCUGUCAAAUAUGUCAUUCCUUUGAUCAUGAAGCUAUUGACUGUUAUGAGAGAAUGAAUCAUGCUUUUGCUAGAAAAAUCCCUCUUACAAAACUUGCUGCUAUGUGUGCUCACACUAGCUCUCAGCAAUCUCAUCCUAUUUGGUUGAUGGACUCGGGUGCUACAUCCCAUAUUACUAAUGACAUAUCUGCAAUUCAAUCUCCAUAUCCAUACUCUGGCGAAGACAAGGUGUACAUUGGUGAUGGACAAGGUAUGGAUAUCCAUCACAUUAGUAAUUCUAUCAUUCCAACACCACAUGCUAAUUUCAGAUUGAGUAAUGUCCUUUAUGUUCUACUGAUGAAAUUCAAUUUACUCUUUGCCUAUCAAUUCUUAAAAGAUAAUCAUUGCUCUUUGACUCUUGAUUCUGAUGGUUCUGAAAUCAAGGAUCAUUCUUCUGGGAUGACGAUUUUUCGAAGGCCAGUUAAAGCAGGAUUUUAUCCCUUUCAAGGUCUCUCCAAUGUGCCCUUCUCACAUUCUGCUAUGUUCAGCACUAAAGCAUCAUUGAAGACCUGGCAUAACAGGCUCGGUCAUCCUUCUUCUGUUAUGUUUAGACAAGUAUUAAAUAAGCAUAAUCUUGUUCACAAUAGGGACAAGUUUGUAUCUUUCUUUUGCACAUAUUGUGCCAUAGGCAAAAAUCAUAAGCUAUCAUUUUCUUCCAAUACUAGUUCUGUGUCUACUAGUUUAGAGUUGCUACAUUGUGAAGUUUGGGGUCCAUCUCUAGUUUCUUCUGUCAGUGGUUACAAGUUUUACUUGUUGAUUGUGGAUGAGUUCACCAAAUAUACUUGGAUGUUUCCUAUGAAAACUAAAUUUGAGGUUUUCUCUAUAUUUGUAUCUUUCAAAGCUUAUGUAAAGAACAUGAUUGGCAAUAAAAUAAAAAUCUUGCGAUCAGAUUCAAGGGGUGAGUUCACUAGCUUUGUGUUCAACUUUUUUUUUAUAAAAUAGUGGUAUUUCUCAUCAAUAUAGCUGCCAUCAACUCUUGAACAAAAUGGAUGUGUUGAGAGGAAGCAUAGGCACCUUACAGAGACUGCAUGGACUCUAUUGGUUUCUUCUCAAGUCCCACACAAAUUCUGGGUUGAAGCCUUCUCUACUGGCAUUUAUCUCAUCAACAGAUUACCAAUUUCAAGACUGGACAAAUCUCCAUGGGAACUCCUCUUCAAGACAACUCCAGAUUAUUCAAAAUUAAAGGUGUUUGGCUACAGCUACUGUCCUUGGCUUAAACCUUAUGUUUCCUCAAAACUGGAAGGCAAAAGCAAGCAUUAUGUCUUUCUUGGUUAUAGUCUUCAGCACAAAGGAUAUCGGUGUUUAGAUCUUCAAUCUUAGAGAAUCUACAUUUCAAGGCAUGUAUUGUUCAAUGAGGGGCAUUUUCCCUUUCAUGAUGCUUAGAAGUUUUCUACCUCAUCAACACCACAGUCUCCAGUGCAUGCUUCUUCCAUAAAAUUUAAUCUUUCAUUUCCUAUAUCUCAGCAUGUUUCACCAUCUUCCACAGUGCCUGCAUCACAGUCAGCAGCAUCUCCAUCACUUACAACAUCUCAGCAACCUCUAUCUUCACAAGUACCAUCUCAGUUCUCUCUACAAGUAUCAUCAUCAUCUCAUUCAUUACCUUUGCAACCAGAUCAUUCAUCUUUAAUUCAGCAAUUGAUUCCUACCAACUCUCAUCUUAUGAUUUCAAGGUCUAAAGCAGGUAUCUUUAAAUCAAAAGCUCUAUCUGCCACCAAACAUCCAAUUGAUAUUGAUACUUUUGUGUCUACCAUUCAUCUACAAGCCUCGAAGCAUGCUCAUUGGAAUCAAGCCAUGCUCGAAGAGUUUCAGGCUCUAAAAACACAGGCACUUGGACCUUAGUACCUCAAUCUCCACAUCAAAACAUUGUAGGCUGUAAAUGGGUGUUUCGGAUAAAAAGAAAACCUGAUAAUACAUUUGACAGAUACAAGGCUCGCCUUGUAGCCAAAGGAUUUCACCAACAAAAAGGUAUUGACUUCACAUACACCUUUAGUCCAGUUGCCAAACCAGUGGCCAUUUGAAUUCUAUUAACUCUUGUUGUUCAAAAUGAUUGGUUUCUCAAUCAGUUGGACAUUAGUAAUGUAUUUCUUCAUGGUACACUCAAAGAAGAGGUGUUUAUGCAACAGCCUUCUGGUUUUAUUGAUGCUUCUCAGCCUUUAUUUGUUUGCAAGCUCAAUAGAUCUCUUUAUGGUUUAAAGCAAGCCCCUCGUGCCUGGUUUGAUAAGCUUGGUCAUACAUUACUGUCUCUUGGUUUCACUAACUCUUAAUCCGAUUACUCCUUAUUUGUGCAUACAUAUCCUUCCUUUGUGAUUGUAUUAGUCUACGUUGAUGACAUCUUAGUCACCAGUCCAAAUGCAUCCGAUUGUCAAGCUUUCAUUCACAAGCUCAGUUCUUUGUUUCAUGUCAAAAACUUAGGGCCUCUUCACUACUUCCUUGGUCUUGAAGUUCAUAGAUCAUCUGAAGGUAUUUUCUUGUCACAUGGUAAAUAUAUCAUAGAUCUUCUUAUCAAGAUCAAAAUGGAAGGAUGUAAACCUUGUGCCACUCCUCUUGGCACUCAUAAAUUGGAUCACAUUGGAACCUUAUUGUCUGAUCCAAAGGAGUACAGGUCUAUUGUUGGUGAUCUUCAAUAUUUAACAUGGACAAGGUCGGAUAUCUCUUUUGAUGUGAACCAUGUGUGUCAAUUUCUUCAUUGUCCUUGAGAUACUCACUUUCAGGCAGUUAAACGUAUUCCCAGAUUUCUCAAAGGCUCAGUUGAUCAAGGACUCUAGUUUAAAAAGAGUUCUCUGCAGCUAACAACUUUUUCGGAUGCCGAUUGGGCUGGAUGUGUGUUUGAUAAAAGGUCUAAAUCUAGAUAUUGUAUUUACUUGGGUUUCAAUCUUAUAAGUUGGAGUGCAAAAAAGCAGCCAACUGUUACAUGAUCUUCAACUGAAGCCGAGUAUCAAUCCUUUACUUUUACUACUGCAGAAAUUACCUGGAUCUGCAAGAUUUUCAAGGACAUCACUUUUCCUCUUUCUCAUGCUCCUACAUUAUGGUGUGACAAUGUUUCUACCAUAUCUUGGCUUCAAAUCAUGUGUUCCAUGCAUGAAUAAAGCAUGUCGAAGUUGAUUAUCAUUACAUCAAGGAGGUUGUUCUUGCCAACCUAGUCAAAAUUCUGUAUGUCAACUCUGAGCAUCAGAUUGUAUACAUUCACACUAAAUCACUGUCCAAGGCAAGGUUCAAGUAUCUUCAGUCCAAGUUUUCUCUGGGUUCCCCUCCAAUUAGCUUGAGGGGGUGUAAAGGGAUAACUCAUAGCUAACAGUUUUGUAUAGCUGUGUUUUACAGUUAUAGUUUCAAUUGUAACAGUUUCUGUAACUAAUCUCUGUAAUUAGAGAUUUAAUUAAGCACAAUUAAUCACUAAGCUUUAUUAGGAAAGUGUACAAAUACUGAGUUGUAUUUUCGUUACUCAUUAAGAAAGAAAUAAUACAAGGCUUAUUUCUUAUAAAUCAGUCAUAUCUUGCUGGUCGAGCUAGUCUUGUUCAGUCUUGUUCAAUCUUCCACCUCCACUAUCCCAGUAUAUGAUAUGCAGACAGGGUUUAGGGUUUAAAGUUUAGGUAUGCAGAGAAGGUUGGGCCAAGUUUGCCUUCCGAAGUCUCUUGGUGGGCUUGGCUUGAAAAACAUAAGAGUUAUGAACAACUCUUCUUGCUAAGAACUCUUGGAGAUUGAUGGAGGGGAUAAUGGUCUGUGGGCAAAAGUUUUUAGUGGCAAGUACAUUGACCAUUGGGUCAAUUACUCAAAGAUCAAACUGCUUUAGGCUCUUCUUGCACUUGGAAAAGUGUUCUUGAAAGGACUAAACUUUCGUACUACUUUGGCGAAUUUGGAAAUGGUAACACGGUAAAAUUUUAGACUGACAGAUGGGCUAAAUGUGGUAUUUUGCUUCAUUAUGGUAGCUGCCUGCUCUCGGACAAUAUGCUUAAGGUUACCGUAGCUGAUUAUUGUUACAAUAAUGUUUGGGAUAUACACUACUUGUUUUACCAAAUGAGGUUGUUGAACAAAUUCUUAGCAUUUUAGUUGGUUUUGAUACUUUGGAGGAUAAGUGUAGCAGGUGUGGAACACAAGUGAUGUUAAUAUGUUGGCCAUUAAUUCUAGUGGUUUUCCUAAUUUGCGAUAGAAUCUCAUUUGGAAUCUUCAUAUUCAUUCGAAAGUUUAGAGUUUCUUAUGGCUGCUCACUCUUGAUAAGCUCAUAACUAAUGAUCAAAGGCUGGAGGGAUUACGACUGAUAACCCUGAGUGUUAAAGAUGUACAUGUGGCUUUAAAUCAACGCCUCAUGUUUUUAAAGAUAGUCAUAAGGCAAGCAAAGUUUGGCUGAUGUUGAGGAUGUAUAACCAACUAAAUUGAUUUUCAUGAUUUUCUUCAUUUUAAUCUUACGACUAAUUCACUCAUAUUGGGAGGUUUAGAGUGGAGGUUAGUUUUUUCGUUGGUUGUUGGUUUAUUUGGUAUUGGCAAAAUAAUUUUUUUUAGCAAGAUUUUGCAAUGUUUGAUGAGCCUACAGUUGCUAUUUGUGCAUAUCUUGUGAGUAUUAGCCUUCAACCAUUCACGAAGAUUGGUCAAUGUCGUAUAAUUGAAUCUUUGCUCCACUGAGAAGCUCUUUAUUCAAAUUGGUAAUGUUGAUGGUUGUAAGAAGGAAAAUAAGAAUUUUUUACCUAACCAACCGACAGUAGACAAAGGAUAUGUUGAUGUUGAUGUUGAUGUUGAUGGUUGUAAGCUCUCUUCUCUUUUUUUUCCUCCCCUCCUGUUUAAACGCUCAAAAUUUUAUCUUUGUAAGGAGAAAGAAGAAAAAAAAGUAGAGAGGGAAGAGAAAUAUCUAGGAAAGAAGACUGGAGGGGAGAAAAAAAGGGAGGAGAAAGAAUACCAUCCUUAUAACUUGGUCCCUUAUUGAAUGAAAGGACAGGCUUCUGCUUGGCUUAAUACCAACUUCAGUCCAAUUGUCUUCUUGUUUUGGAAAUUGACAACUCCAAGUGAUGAAAAAACAUCACAUGUAUUAUUGUACGGAUGAAAAGUGUUGCUUUUUGCACUAUUGCAUUUAAAGUGAUUAGAAAUUCCGUGAAAAUUUCCAAUAUCUCGUUGCAUUGAUGAACGGACGAGAUAUAAAAAAAAACAAAAUUUUAUACCUUCAUCUACUACGUUGAUGUAUUAUAUCCAAAACCCUAAAAUUCUCCUCAUGAAUGAUGAGUCUAAUAUUUUUCAGAGUUGUUAUCAGCACUUGCAAACAGUGUUUUAUGCAUGUCGGUCUCGAAGUUAUCAAUGAGGGGUCAUGAUAAUUAUUUUAAAUUGUUAAUAACAUUAUCUUUUCUUAUUCUCGGUAGGCGGCUACAUCCCUACAAUCUCAAAAUAUGUUUAAAUUCACUCAUGUACAAUGAGAAAAUGCCAUAUGGCAGGUUUGACACAGUUUGGAAAUUGGUGAGACAUGAAAAGUUCCUUAAUCCUCCCUCGCCCACACGGCAGCCCUCAACUCGACCGUGAUGAGAAGACAUGACAUGUCUUUUGCGAAUGACAGGGAAUUGGACAAAACCAUCCCUUCUUUGUUUCAAUAAUUGUUAUGAAUUAUCGUAUAACUAUUAACCUAUAAGUAGAUAUGAACAACGACUUAAUUGCCACUCAUUUUCACUAUAAAAGGAAAACAUUUCAUCACAAGAUUGCAGUGGGGACAGAGAGGGUUGUGGUUGUCGUAGAUAAACCUAGAUUUGGAUAUGAUCUGGACCUCAGUGUCUGGAACCUGCAAGUCCACAAAUCUUGAUCGAUGAUUGGUGUGCAAGUCAAAUCAGGGCCGUUGGUUGUGUGUGGUGGGCUAGGAAAAUGAAUUAAUGGAGACCGUUGGAUUCAAUUUGUGCGGCCAAGAUUUGUUGACUUGGAGGCUCCGAACACUAAUGUUUGGAGUGGAUCCAAAUCCAAUAAACCUAGGUUUCAUCACAAAGCAGGAAAUUGAAUUCAGAACAAAACAAACAGAUUGUGAGUAGGAAAAGACAGAUUUUUUAGUGUGUCAAGAACACUGUUUAGUACACUGAGUGUAAUAAUACAAUUGGUUGGAAACUUGUAAAAAAAAAAAAAAAAUUUCCAACUUUUUAUAUCAUAUGAUGUAUCAGACCGUGUUUCCAACAUCAACGAGAUUUGGAUGUCACGCAUACAAAUAAAGACUUGUUGGGGCUUAAAAAGACUUCACUACUUUGGAGAUGUUUAUCUCACAAAGAAAAAUGUAAUGCAGCGGAAUUGAUAGGAAAGAGAAAGAAAGAAUACUCAAAGUAUUACACAAGAUUUUUAUUCACUCACAAACUUAGUACAAGAUGAAACACUCAAACACUCUUAGAGGCUUUGUUGCUUCUUCUCACUUCUCUCUUGGCACUCUCACUUCUCACUACUUACUCUCUUGGUUGUUACAUAGCUUAGCACCUCACCUAUUUAUAGGCAAGGUUUGCCAACCUUCCUUAUUUCUAUAUAUUUCUCGCUUUUUCCUAAUGUCCACAUAAUUUUACAAGAUUCUAGGUCUUUCUACAAAAGACCAUAGAUAUUUUAUGCAUGCAUUCAACAUACAUGCUUUUUCUAGAAUUCUCUAGCAUUUGCAUGAACCAUCCAUUGUGGUUAUGUUGCCUUUUUCAACAUGGGUUGGAUCCAUUGUCUUGGUCCAAGACAAGAUUACAAUUCAACAAGCCUUUUAUUAAUGUCACAUUAUUAUGUCUUGAUUGUAAGAUUAAACUUAUAAAAAAAUAUAAGUUAAGAGAUUAAGCUCAUGAACCACAAAUGUAUUCAAGUAUUAAAAUCACAAUUCGAUAAACACAAUGACAAACUAACCCAUAAACAUAGUAGAAGAAAAAGCCAAAGCAGACUUCUAAACAAUGCACCUUCUCCUCUCUUGCAAAACCAAAAGUACUCAAACUAACAAUAGGUCUUAGUUCAAUAUUGAGUGUGCAUUUUGUGAAAGCAGUGGCCACUAUUUAUAAUAGAUUAAUCCUAAUAAUUCUCUUAUUAGAAACACCAUAGGAUACCAACUAUGAAUCCAAAUCAUAUCUGAAUUACAAUCCUACAAGAAUUAGGAUAGUUUUAAGCUUUCUAGCAAGACUUUUCUAUGUCAAUUGAAACACUACAACCGGCUAUAAUAUUUAAUUUCAUACUCAUGUUCUAACAUUCUCCCACUUGAGUAUGAAACAUAUUAAUCACACAGUCUUUCAUAUUCAUAGAAGUGAUCGCCAAAUCUUUUGGAUAGCAAAAGCUUAACCUCACAUACAACUUACCAAUGCAUUUUAAAGUAUGGAACUUAAGAAUCUUUUCUGUUUUAUCACAGAAUUAACCCAAAAAUCACAACAUACUUAAUUUGCACUUUGUAAUUAUGUGAAUGUUGUGUAGCAAAACCAAACCAAUUUGCUCCCACUCAUCUAGGCCAUACUUAACACAACCAAGUUAAGUACAAGUUAAUAUCAACUAUAUUAACUAACAAUCAUUGCAAUACACUGAAUGACUUAUCAGAAUCAAUACAGUGAAUGACUUAUCAUAAUCCACAUAGGAAACCAAAUUCGUGUAGUUGCAAUCUUGUUCCUUAAUUAGCAUUCUUAUCAUAUGACCUUCUAUUCUAGUUUGAAUCAUACAAGCUGUCAAAAAUCAAUCCCAGCUUACUAUCAUGCUCAUAUCUUUAUAUCUUAUAUUCUCCCACUUGAGCAUGAACUAAGCUAAAUUUUCAGCUUCGCAAACUUUUAAUAGAAGUGAUCAAUGUGAUCAAUUAGUCUCAUCGCAUAAGAAAUUCACAUCACAUAUAUUAUAUCUAUACAUUUCAAAAUGUAGAAUCAAAGAAACAUUGCUGCAACCAAUAUGCAAACAGAUUCCAUGAUCACAUGCAUCCAAUUUGUAUUUAUAACAAUGUGUUUUUACUUGACCAGAACAAACACAUAAAUUAGUUUUCUCCCACUAUAUCAAGUCAAGUUUAGCUCCAACAAAUAGCACUAAACUUGUCAUUACUUAAACUAAUUAAGUAAGAUAAAUAAUUCAACCAAUUGCUUCAAUAAAACCAUAAAUUGGUUUUCAGCAUCCAAAUGAAUUAUAAUGACUGGCUUAAAUACUCUUAGCCUUAUGCUUACAUUCGAACAUAUGAUUCUCCCACUUAAGCAUAAGCAAAAUGUACUGCACAACCAAUAAAGAAACCGGAGAUAUGAACCAAUUGGUUCCCAAUUCCUCACCAAUUGCAUAAUCUCAGUUUAGUCAAUAUACUCCUAAACCAUUAUGCAAACAGUCUAUGUAUCAAAAGAUAGUCACAAUCCAUUCAGAAAAACUUAUCUCACAUAAACUCAAAAUCACCAGUUUCAACAAUGAUCAAAAUCAAAAUAGCAAGCACAAUAUUUUUGCAUUCAAUUUGAUCCUAGUUCAAUAUCCAUCAAGCAAGAUCAACCAAAUUUUGAUAAUGUCUGGAUAUAUAUCACAACAAUAUGUCUUGAUUAAAACGAGAUAAUCAAGACCACUAUUUCUUUUGGAGAACUCAAAAUUCAUUUUCCUCCCUAUUUGAGAUUUCAAUGAAAACAUAAUUGCGGAAGCAUGCAUCAUAAAUGAAAUCACAAAUACACCUAUACAAUAAGAAUGCAUCUUAAACUCCAUGAUUUUCACAAUACAAUAAGCACAUGCUUUCUUACGAAUUCAUAAAUUAAAUCAAUAUGCAUUCGGCAAUGUCAAUUUGUGUUGUACAAAAAUAUGGACAACAAGUCACAUAAUCUAAUUUGUUUCUCAUUCCUCUAUAUAAAUGACACAAGCUAAUUCUCAAAAUUUAUAGCUUGACUUAUAUAAUCAUACAAGUAAAUUUUUAAGGCUACGAUCAAUAUAUAUAGCCACAAAAUCUAAUUUGGGUCAACUAAUGAAAAAUAAGAUCAUUACAAGAUAAAACCCAAUUUAUACCAAUGUAUACAGAUUCGCCAUAUAUGCACAAUAACGAUUCUAGCCAAAGCAUAUUUCACAUAUAUAUGUUCAUUCAUCUGUUCACAUAUUUUCUUGUAUGCAUGCAUCAAUAUGCAAAUAAACUUAUGCAAGUUCUAUUUGAUAUAGAUACAAUAAGAUGUGCAUGUGCCGCUCCGUAUAAUUAUAUAUAUAUAUAUCGAGAUUCAUACGGGAAACAAUGCAUAACAUACAAAUCGUUAGCAUUCUUUUAAGCCGUCAGAAAGACUAAGCAUAUUUGCUUCAUCAUGACAAUCGAUGAGACUCAACCUAUACAAAAAUCCUUAAUCAUAUAUGCUCAUAAGUUCAAAUUUUGGCUUAACCAAUGUGAAUGGCAAAGUAGAUACAUGCACCAGCACACUAUGCAUCCAUGUAUAUAUUGAAAUAGAUUCGUGUUUGUGCUUCUUUAUACUUGGAAGCCCCUUGAUAUUAUAUAAUAUAACUUUUAUUAUAUAAUAUCCAUCAAAAUAUAAUUGAUGCACGACACUCAAUUUUACAAGCAAAAUGACAUGAUAUAACAAAUGUUCGAAACUGAGAAGAAAGGUUUAGCAGAAAAGGAUUCAAGAUAAAACCUUAUAAAAGCCCUAAUUCAAUUCAAGAUAAAACCUUAUGAAAGCCCUAAUUCAUCAUGCUCUAAAUCAUCACAGUAUAAUCAUGCAUAUAAGAGAACAAAUUAAUCAUGCAUGAAACAAUGAACUAAGUUACCUAAAUGCAUCACUGGACCUAUAUUCGUUGACCCGACCGAGAUUUCUCGACCACAAAUCAACAAAACAAAUUACUCAUCAAUCCUCGAGACCCAUCCAUGUGGAUUGUCAUCACCACCAAUUCCAGUGGACCCGUAUCAUCGCAGAUUAUCGAAGUACAUCGCCAUUGUUACAUACCCGCCGAACCCAUCGCCAAAGUGAUGGCCCAAAUCCCAUCGACACAAAUUCCCAGCAAAAAGACAAACCGUAAACGUUAAUAUCUCUUGGACAAACAAAAAACUUAUUAAUGUCUUCAAACCAAGAUUUCAUAUUUCUUUUAUCUUACUUAUAUUUGGUCUGUACAAGGCAUAUUUUAUGAACAUCUUUAUAAUCAAAUUCAUUAAUCCAAACCGAUCAGACCCACGAAAACAAUAGCUUAUGUACUCGCAUUCCAUAAUUACCCAAUGAAUCCUUGAUUAAUUCUUAUAAAAAUUCAUCAUCAUGGAAUCAAACACAUAGAAGAAAAAUUAAUAGCUGUUGAAGCUUAGUAGUUCAAUUUUACCAAAUUGAAUUCAACAUUUAGCCAUCAUUCGUUUGGCAGGCAAUCGUAAAUAUUACAAACCUGUAUUGCGGCAAACAUGAUAUGCAUAUAGCAAACUCAUUCAAAACCUACAUAUUAUCUCACAAACUAAGCUUGACAACUGCUAAUUUACCAUCACGUCUUUUGCUGUUUGUUUUUUUAUUUUUAUUUUUUUAACUUUCAAUUUGAAUUCAAGAGCAACAAUCUUAGGCUCUGAUACCACAUGUAAGAUUAAACUUAUCAAAAAAUAUAAGUUAAGAGAUUAAGCUCAUGAACCACAAAUUUAUUCAAGUAUUAAAAUCACAAUUCGAUAAACACAAUGACAAACUAACCUGUAAAUGUAGUAGACGAAGAAGCCAAAGCAGACUUCUAAACAGUGCACCUUCUCCUCUCUUUCAAAACCAAAAGUACUCAAACUAACAAUAGGUCUUAGUUCAAUAUUGAGCGUGCAUUUUGUGAGAGCAGUGGCCACUAUUUAUAAUAGAUUAAUCCUCAUAAUUCUCCUAUUAGAAACACCAUAGGAUACCAACUAUGAAUUCAAAUCAUAUAUGAAAUACAAUCCUACUAGAAUUAGGAUAGUUUUAAGCUUUCUAGCAAGACUUUUCUAUGUCAAUUGAAACACUACAACCGGCUAUAAUAUUCAGUUUCAUACUCAUAUUCUAACAUUGAUAAAAUCUUUAUUUAUUCCCUGCAAGUACCAUAUAAGAAAUGCUAAAGAGACUCUCUAUGGACUCUCUAUCUGUCACUUCAUGUUUUUGACAUAAUGUUUUAUAAUGUUAGCACUAGAAUGACUGUAAACUGUAAGGUGACAGAGAGUCUAUGAAGAGUCCCACUUUAAGAGGGUCUCCUUAAUAUUUCUCAUACCAUAUUCUGACACAAUGGAAAGUAGCCAUUUUUUAUUGUAAGUUUUAGUUUUCACAUGUAUUUAUGUUAUGCGAGACAACCACAAAUAAAUCUUUCUGUAUGUACAACUUUUAUCAAGUUUAAGAGUUAUAAUUAAGAUAUUCCCAAUUGUAUAUAUUUAUAUGUUUUUAGUCAUUAUAGUUGGAGCUCAUCAUUUGUGUGUACAUGAUAGAUAUCCUCGGUUACACGAUAGAAUUUCACAGGAAUGUCAUAGCCAAUAAAGUAGGCUCCUAUGCAUCAUUUGUUUCUGUGCGAAGAGAAAACACGAAUAAAUACAUGCAACAACCUAUUGUUGCUGAUAGUGUACGCUUCAGACUCAUGAAAUUUGUAGCCACUCUACAUAUCUCGUGUGUAGAGUGGUACAUCAAGUAUGUUGGACUCGAUACAUCAAGUGUCGUAAUGCAAUUGAUUAGAAAACAAGAUUUCAAAUCUUUUUUUCAAGUUUCUCACAUAACCGUAGGCCUGGCAAACGGAUCGUGUCUGUAGUGUUCGUGUCGUUUUCGUGUAACACCUGUUAUCUUAACGGGUCGUGUCAUGUCACACCUGUUAUCUUAACGGGUCCUUAAUAGGUCGGGUAAAGUGACCUAACCCAUUAUGACCCGUUAAGAAAAGAAAAAAAAUUUCCUUAAAUUUGCACAUACCACACAUUGCCACAUGCGAUCUCGAUCUCUGAAUGUUUGUUUUUUGCAAUUUUUUGCUGAUACGAUUUCGAAGCAUAUACAAACAAGUUUGAUGAUUGGAUCGUUGAAAUUAGUUUCGUAGAAUUCGUAUCCCAUCAAGUUCAAUGAUGAAUAUAUAUAUUUAUUAAGUAGAUUUAAAUUUAUUUAUUUUGUACAUAUAACACUUAAGAAAUUGAAUGGUAUGUAUAUUUAAGCCGAUCCAAUGGUCACCAAUUUUUAAUAUUUAAUAUAUAUUAUAGUUUUUAGGGCUAUAAAAUUGUUAAAUUAAUAUAUAUAACUAUUAUAGUAUUUUUUUUUAGGGUUAUAAAAUUAUUAAAUUAAUAUUUUACUUAUCGUGUAUCGUGUUACUCACAUGUAUAUCUGAACCAACCCGUUAUCUUAACAAGUGCUUAUCGGGUUACCCGAUAACGAUCCAAUUCGUUAUCGUGUCGACCCAAACACUUGUUAAUUUCAUGUUGUGUCGUGUCGGGUUAUCAGGUCGUGUCAGGAAUUGCCAGGUCUGCCUAACCGAAACCCAAUUAUUCUAUUUGGGACUUUUACAGCAACAAAGAAACCACCUCAAGGCUCAAUCUACUUGCCCACCAUCCCACACCUUUUUUUCCUUGUCUGGUUUGGUGGUAGGGAAUGAAACUGAUCUAUGUUCACUUCUUCUGGUUUGCAGCUGACUGGUUUUUCCAUUAGUGGAAAAACGAAACACGGAUACCCUCCGGAUCCAUCCAUUAUGUGAGGAUCCUACGGAUCCCUGUGGAUGCAAAUUUUCGCCUUCUUUUUCUUGGACAAAAUUGCAUCUACAAAACAAUUAACACCUUAGGUCAAGGCCAAGAGCCUCACAUGCCCACGAUGAAUGGGGGGGCUUUGGCGGAAGAACCUCCGAUGCCAAAGUUAGAAUUUAGAGAGAAAAGUAUUUGGAGAGUUUUUGGAAGUUUUGCAAGAGUGUGGAACUAGGUUUUUAGAGAAAAUGGAGUCCUAUUUAUAGAGCAUGACCAGCCCUCUUUGGAAGAAAGAGUGGCCGACCCUUGGGUAUUUUUUGGGGUGUAAUGGAUGAUUUAAUUGGUAAUUAAUGGAUUAAUUAGGAAUUAAUCCAUUAAUUAGUCAUUUAACCUCCACUUAAAUGGAAUGUUAUGUAGGUUAUAAAAUAAUUACCUAAGAUGAGGAUGGAUGAGAAUAUAUUUGAAUUUGUUACCUAUUUUGGACACUUUUGACUUGAUUGACGGAUGAUUGUCUGCUGCUCGCGCGUAGGAAUCCCGAUAUGCCUCAAGGGUAUAUUUGUCCUCUUUACCCAAAAAUUCACGUGUCACCUUGUGAUUAUUUUUUGCUGCACAAUCUCCACAUCUCAGCCGUUCAUCGUGAAUCAUGUAUCAAUUUUUGUCAGGUACUAUUUGUGUUUAAUUUAAAAUAAUAAAAAUAAAAUUAUUUAUGACCACACGAUUCAUGAUAAACGAUUAAAAUGUAGAGAUCCUUAUGAUUCUUGCAUAAUGGAUGGGAUCCGUUUCAGGAAAAACGAAGCUUGAUGGACCCCAGGUUAUAAUAUUCCAAAAUAGUCAUUCACAAUUAAUUAAUUUGUUGACUUAAUUUUGUUGUGUACUUGUAAAAUAGCCAACCACAUAAUGGAUGGGAUCCGUUUCAGGAAAAACGAAGCUUGAUGGACCCCAGGUUAUAAUAUUCCAAAAUAGUCAUUCACAAUUAAUUAAUUUGUUGACUUAAUUUUGUUGUGUACUUGUAAAAUAGCCAACCAGUGUCCUUUUUAUAUCUAAAACAAUUGUAUAAUCCUACAGAGAAUAUUUAUAUUAGGCCUCGGCAAUUGAUAUAAAAGGCAACCUGUAUCAACGCAUUCUUUGAGUCAAUAAUAUCAGAGCUUCUUAGAGGGGAAAUAGAUAGGUUGUAAAACAAUGUCUUGGUUUCUUACUGUUAUCUUUCUGGUUACUACUCUUACAUUUCAUACUCCUUCAGAGGCUAGCUAUGAGGAGAUCCAGCCUUCUGCAGUUGUUGUAGGCACUGUAUACUGUGACACAUGUUUCCAAGAGGAUUUCUCAAAUACUAGCCAUUUCAUUUCAGGUAAAUUCGUCUUGAAUUUUCAACAAGUUCUUCAUCAAUUUUAUUUUUCUAUUGUAGCCCGUUCAAUGAUUUCCGUACACCCCUUCUCUUCUUCUAUAUACACUCAUGUUUAUAUUUUAAUCUUUAAAUUUGAAUAAGUCCAAGAAAAAUUAAAAGAAAUAAAUAAACAAAAGUGUACAAAUGGAGAAAAUGUAAAAUCUAAAUGACUGAAAACCUUUAUACAGGUAUUUCCUAAGAGUCAACCAUACAACUACGAAAAAUUAAAGGAGAAAUUAGGUUCUCAUCCUUCCUUUUGCUACUUCAUUGAUUAAAAUCAUAUUCUUUUUCAAUUUUUUAUCAAGGUCUUUGGGUAUUAAUAACAUCAUUAAUUAUUUUAAUAAUAAAAUAUUUUUUUAUUUCUAAAUAUAUUCAUUUAAUGUUAAAAAUGUUACAAUUAGUAUAUUUAUAUUUAUGACUUAACAUAUAUUUUUAGUUUUAGUUUGUACCCAUUUUUAAUUUGUAAUUCUUUUUUAAUUUGUAUCAAUUUUCUUUUCAAUUUUAAUUUGUACCCAUAUAUUAAUUUAUUUUUGUGCCCAUAUUUUUUAAAGUUUAUUUGUAUUUGUACCCAUAUUUUUUUUAUUUGUACUUUUUAUUUUGCUAAAUGUACCCAUGCUAAUUAUAUGUACCCAUUCAUUUAAAACUUUUUAAUCUUCAAAUGUACUCAUUCUUAAAUAUACCAAUUUGUUAUAUGUAAAAUGUACCAUUUUUUUUAUAUAUAAUCUAUUCAAUUUUUUUCUAAUCCAUUUUUAAACUUAUAUGGGUACGUUCUUUUUUCUUUGAUUUUAAAAUGUAUCCAUGUCAAGUUUAAUCGAAGAAAUUUACUAAUGUUAUUAAGCUAUUAUCUUCUUCUUCUUUUUUUGUGAUUUUGAAGAAUUUACCCAUGUUUUGAUACAAUAAUUUUUUUGGUUAAUUUUGAUGAAUGUACCCAUGUUUAUAUAUAUACACACACAAUAGUAUAUUUAUAUUUUAAUAUUUUUAAUCCCACAAAUUAUGAUUUUUUAUUUAAAAUCUCAUUUAUAUAAACAACUAAAAUUUCUAAUUUUUAAUUUAAAAAAUAUAGUAACGUACAUAGAAAUAAAUUAUCACAUUAAUUUCAGGGACCUCGAUCAAAAAUUAAAAAUCAACAAGGUUUCAAUCAAAGAAUAUUCAUAGCUAAAGACCACAUCCAAAGUCUCCCAAAAUUAAAUAACACAUAUCAACUGCAAAAAAAAAUCUUGCCUAAACUAACUCCUUGACGGUAGGAUUCUACUUUCAAUCACGAUUUCUUUCCAACAGACAACAAAAUGUCCUGACAUGUUAUGGAUGCAUUAUCGACAAUAUCAAUAAUUUUGUGGGGUUUUUGUGCAGAGGCUUCUGUUGGUGUGGAAUGCAAAGAUGGGACUUCAACAAAACCAAGUUUCAACGUAAAAGUGAAAACAAACAGCCAUGGGCAAUUCAAAGUCAAUCUGCCCUUCUCAGUGAGCAAAGAUGUCAAGAAAAUUGAAGGAUGCUCCGUGAAACUAAUCCGCAGCAGUGAACCCUACUGUGCUGUGGCCUCAUCAGCCACCUCAUCUUCCCUACACCUCAAGGCAAGAAAGCAAGGGACUCACAUAUUCUCUGCUGGUUUCUUCACCUUCAAGCCUCUCAAGCAACCCAGCUUAUGCAACCAGAAACCCAGCAUUCAGAAUUCCAAGAAAUUAAACUCCCAGAAGUUCUCAGAGAUGGCAUUCCCAUCCUCCUCUCAGGUGGACCCCAAAAUGCCUGAUCCCUCUCUCAACCAAUCUGAUCUCCUAGGUCUCCCAAUCGAUCUCCCAGGACUCCCAGGUCUCCCAGGACUCCCAGGUCUCCCAGGCCUCCCAGGCCUCCCAGGACUUCCAGGGUUGCCCCUUGCUGCUGAAAAAACUUCAUCUAAGUCCUCCAACUCCAAAACUUCAAAGAAUGGGCAACUAGGUGAUAAUAAAGAAGUCGCCCAUCCAGAUUCUCCACCAGCAGGUUCAGCACCAUGAUUCCCAACCUGCAACCUAUCCUGGUUUCUGCUGGGUUCCUAUCCUAUUGGGCGUAACCCGUUUAAGUAUAAUAAGCCCAUUUAGGUCUUCUGAGUUGUGGUUUCCUGAACUACUACGUAUAUAGUCUCUUCCUUCUCUUUUGAGAACUAUGAAAAAUAUUAAGG